CCACUAGCAUGCACCUUACAAGUCUUUCUAAACAUUUCUGCAUCUCAUCAUGAGAGUUUUAUGGCAGUGAAACCCCAUCCCAUGCCUCCGUCAGUGAGGAUUCUAUAACAACAGAUUCAUAUAUAUCAUUCUCUAAUCCUUUUCUCUUGUAUGUGAAUAGAACAUAGCUCUGUUUGGAUCCAAGAAAGAAUGACAGAGGAGACCAAAACACUCAAAACACUGAACAUAACUUUAGAAAGUUCAAAGUUAUUUUCAGGAUUUGCCUUUUAUUUCUCCCAUUCUCUCUGAUAUAAAGACAAAACCUAAUACUUGUAGAAAGACACAUGGUUAAAUUUUUGUUGUCAACGCCAACAAAUCCAUGUAAGGUGAUGCUUUUCACUAAGAAGAGACUCUAAGAUUAGAUUCCCAAUGUAUAGAGUGUUUGCGCAGUAAACAAAUCAAUCACUUAUCAUUUAUAUAACAGUAGAAGUGUAUGGAGAGUGGGACUAACCUUGGAAGCAAAGGUCCCCUGAGGCCAGUUGAGCAACCCGGCAACCAUUUGCCCUGUUUGAUUGCAAUCGUCAUCAAUGGCCUAGAAAACCCAUGCCCACAUCAGAAAACAACAAUCCACCAUAAAAAGAGUCUAGGAUUUUCACGGAAUCCGCAAAUUUAUUUUUAAAUCGUUACCAAAAACCCUAAUCUCUGGGCACGAAUUCACAGACCUGUUUGCCCAGAAUAAGGAGGCCAGGCUUCUCCACAUCGACGAGAGCUUUGAGAAGCUUAGCAACUGAAAGUGGGUACAGAGUGGCGGAAGCUUCGACGUGGAUGGCCCUAUCGGCGCCCAUGGCGAGACCCGUUCUGAGCGUGUCGACGCACUGGCUGGGACCCACACUGACAGCGAUAACCUCCGACGCCAGACCCGAUUCCUUGAUCCUCAGAGCCUCUUCCAAACCUAUCUCACAAAAGGGGUUCAUCGACAUCUUGACGUUGCUGGUCUCCACGCCGCUCUGAUCGUGGGUUGGCGAUUGUUAUUGGAUGAUGAUGAAAUUACAGAUACUGAAUAACUUGAGAGUUUGGAUUUGGGUUACCUUGUCGGAUUUGACUCUGAUCUUGACAGCGUAGUCCACAACACGCUUUAUCGCCACCAUUAUCUUCAUCUCGUAUAUGGGUGGUUAUCUUCUCCGGCACAAGGGUAUUGGCAAAUGACUGAUGAUGAAGGACGAGGAUAUUCGCCCGAGCCCUACUGCACGACACCACAUCCGCUUAUAAAAUCUUUUGAUACGGAUAAGUACAAGGGAAGUGGAAAAAAAGGAUUAUUAAGAAAAAUAAAUAUAUUACCAAAAAAAUUAUUUAAAAUUUUGUUCAUGUAGAAAGAACCCGUGAAUCAGAUCGAAAAAAUUAUAUUAAAACUGCUGUAUAGCCGAAAAUUGUGUACAGAAUUUAUUUUAACAUUGUAUUAUUGAAUUUUUUAUUCAAAAAUUGCUUAACGUGAGAUAGAAAUUAAAAAAUCAUUAGUAAUUUUGUCCGAAAGUUGUUAUAUUUCAUGUGUUUUAAAAAUAGAUGUAAUUUAUUCCUAUUUGCAUUUUUAACGUACAUUUAAUUAAAUAACCCAAAAAGUUAUUGAGUUCACAUCAUCUAUGGAGUCUACCUCUCUUUGCUUUUGUUGCUUCCAAAAAUACCAUACUCCCAUAUUUUUUUGGUUCUACUCAUUUUACUUUAUUUUUUUCAUUCCAUUCAUUCCACGUGAAGUCUUCAAUCCUAAUAACAUUUACUAUAUUACAAUUAAGUUUAAUUUUUAAAAAACUUAAUUAGGGUUAAAUUUCCUUUGAGAGAACUUCAUUACAAUUAUUUGAGUUGUACGUUAAGUUUCAUUUAAAAAUAACUUAUUUAAAAAGAUGUUAAGCUUCCCCUAUUUUAUUUAUAAAGUUUAAUAUCUAUUUGAUUUUAUAUUUGAAAUCCAACUAAAACCUAAUAACGAAUUGUUGUAAAAAAACUCCAAUCAAAAUACUAACAAAAAUUAAAACAUAAAACUCUGAUAAAAAAUUGUUAAAAAAUCCAACAAAAAAACAAUCAUAAAAAACCCUAAUCAAAAACAUCAUGGAAGUUUAAAUGAAAUUGCCAAAAAAUAAAAAGUAUAGAAAACCCUAACAAAAAAACAACACCAAAACACCUGACAAAAAACAAUUACAAAUUCUAGCACAAAAACCCCCAAUUAAAAAUAUCUAUAAAGAAAAACCUAAAAAAAACCAAUUAUAAAACCUCCAACAAAAAAUAAAGAGAAAGAUGAAGAAUAUGAAAAAUUUUGAAGAAGAAAGAAACAUGAGAGAACUAUCAUUGAUCUUUAUUUGUUAAUCUUUGUUAUAUGUUUGAACUUCACUAGAAAAUGAGAGAGAGAGCAUAAACCUAAAGAGAGAAAGAGCUGAAAAUGAGAGGAGAAAUGAAUCACAAUGAGGGGAAUGACAAUUUGAGGAAAUAUAGAAGGGUUAAAUCAUUUGAACUAGGUUAACGUUUUUAUUAAAAAAAAAGAGUAAUGAAGGUCCUUGUUCUAAUUUCAAGAGUAUGUCUGUUAAUUACCAAAUGUGGCAACUCUAAAUAAAAUCCUUUGUUAUCAACUAAAACUAAAAGUCCCAUUACAUCAUAUCCAACUUUCAUUUGUUAUCAACAAAGUAAAACUAUAUACAACUAUUAUCACCAUCUCUCCUAUUUUGAUGUUAUUUUCUUAGAUGAAUUUGUAAAUCAAAAUUUACACCACCCAUAAAUUUUUUGAGCUUCCUAUUUAACACAACUUCAAUUUGUUAUACUUUGAACAUCACAAAGAUAAAGUAAUCAACAUUUUGCUUGGACAAGUUUUUCUUCUCUAAAGUUUAGAGUCCUAUUUCACUUCCCGUUUAUGGGUUGUUAGUUCAUCUAAUAUCUCACCAUCAUCCAUUCCAUGUACUGUGUUUCCGAAAUGAGUUGAUUCCACAUCCUAAAUGUCUGUGCAAAUUAAUAAGGAAUGUCGAGUUACCAAUUUUCUUAAAAGCUUAAUCUUGCAAGAUUUGGAUUCAAAAUGCAUAUCAUGCUCUCUUUAACACCCCUCCCCCCUCUCACAUGUAGCCCUAUACCCACACGUAGAGAAAUAGACUUAUAGGAAAAUUGGUAGUUUAAUAUAGUAUCAGCACUUGGUUUGGUGGGAGGUCUCCUGUUUGAGUCACCUCUCCACAAUUUACAUUUCUCCUAUUUGUUUAAUUUACAGUUCUUCCCUUAAUCUGUAAUUCUUUGGAUAUAAAUUUUCCCCCUAAUUUGUAGUUUUGUGGAUAUGAAUCUCUCUUCCAUGUUCAGGUAUGGGGCCACACAUAAGAGAGGGUGUUAAAGAGCAUGAUAUGCAUAUUAAACCCAAAUCCUAUAAGUUAAAACUUUUAGGAAAAUUGGUAGUUUAACGCUUUUAGGAAAAUUGGUAGUUCAACAUGUGUACACCCCAUUUUGGGGACUGCUAUUGCUCCCACUUCUUUUUGUCAAAUGGUGGAGCUUUUUAGGAGCACAUGUUGUAUUUGGAAAGGCUAUUAGAAAAUGGCAACAUGACUGUUAAUGGAAGUAAUGAUUUUCUAAAAAGGCAACCAUGGGAAGACACAUAACAAAGAUGUUUGGGGAGGAGGGAGAGUGUGCAUCAAGACUACUCAUGAGGGGUAAGAAACAAAAAAAAAAAAGUGUCGAAGAUAACUAAAAAAUUGGAGAAACAUAAAGGAAUAAGGAUUUUAGGGCUAUGGAUGGUGAACAAGAGUGAAUUAUGGGUGUCUAGGACAGCUAGGAAUGGUGAGAGGAGUAGGGAGCUGUAGAAGGUGAUGAGCUAGGUAAGAUGUAUUUUCGAGAAAGAAAAGAACCAAAGAAAGAAGGUGGUGAAUUAAGUGAGACACGUCUCAGAGAAGCAGAGAAAGUUGGCUUGAAGCCAAGCAAACUUUUGCUUGAGAUGAGCAUUGCCUAGUAAGAUUGUUUCGAUUCAUCGAUUAUUACUGAUCAUCAUACUUCUCUUGUCUUAUAUUCAUGUGAUUAUUUUACAUUGAUUGUGGGGUUGCUUUGGUUUGGUUAUUAUGGCUUCAUCCUCUAUUUCUUUAGUUUUAUUCAAGGAUAAAUCUAAUUGUGCUUUGAUUAGUUAUUCCAUAUUUGAAAAUCUUUGUGUAUUUUGGGUUUUUUCUCUUUAGAUAUUUUCUAGAUUAAUCCACUGACCUUUAAACCCACAAAUAAAGAAAAAUGAAAUGAGUUUUUUCAUAUUUGUUGGGUGUUUGGCCCUUGUUUAUCUUUUUUUAAAGCUUUAUUCCUUUAUAUUCUCUAUUUCUCCCCAUUUUGUACAUGGGUGUUUCAAUCAGAGUCUCUAUUUUGGCUUCCACAUUUGAGAUUUCUUUUAUGAGCGAAGACCCAAAAAUGGAGACUGGCUUCUUGUAAUUGAUAAAAUAGUUAGUCACCCAUUAGCUUAGAUGAAGCAUAGAUGUUAACCGGAUUGUGAACAUGGAUACUCUAUUUUGGGCCUAUUAGGCCUUCCAAUCCUCUCUUAGUUUCAUUAUUCUUGAGGAUAGUGUUUGGUUGUGUCUGCUACUUAUUCUGUGGCUUCGGUGGUCUGUUUGUUUAUUCUUGGCUAUUAUCAAUGCUAACAAUGGGAAAGAGACUGGUUUUGGUUAUGCUCUUACGGAUUUGAAGGUGAUCAAAGGGUCCAGUGAAGAGAAGAUUAGUAGGUCAUAUUAGGUUAAUUAAUUAAUUAGGACAUGUUUUGAGUUAUAUUAAGUAAUACAAGCUCUUAGUGGGCUUAAGUAACUUAAGCCUAGUGGGGAAUGCCAUAAAUACCCCUUAGGGGUUAGCAUUUCCAUAGGUUUUUCUAGAGAGUCAUCUUUCACCUCCAAAGAAGGAGAGUCAUAGCCUUUACCAUUUUUUCCAUCAUUAUCGAAGUGUGUCAAGAUUAAGGUUUAAGUCAUUGAGCGGAAGACUCCAGGUUUAUGAGACUUCAUACAACUUCGUUUUUCAUUUUCAUCAAAUGGAAUUAAUUUGAAAACAUUUGAAUCUGAAGUAUGGUUUUUGUUAGCAUAUUUCGAAUCCCUUUAAAGUUUAAAAAUGCAAAUUUUCCACUAUGUAUAGGAUUUAAAAUCGCUUAAGAUAGUUAAACAUGUUCCCCACUUGAUCUGAAUUGGGAAACGGAGAAAUCUGAUAUUUUCCCAUCACAAGGUAGGAUAAGAACUUGUGAUUGAUCUUUAUGGAUUGGACUAAUUAAUUAAUUGGAACCUAAUUAGGCUAAUUAAUUAAUUAAGACCUAAGCAAACUAGUUUAAGUUACACAAGCCUAGGAUGGACUUAAGUGACUUAAGCCCAUGGGAAGCUUAUAUAAACUCCUUUAGGGGUUAGGGUUUCAAACUUUUAUCAUCUAGUCUUCAAUUCCUUAAAGAGAAUAGAACUCGAGCCAACAACUCUCCUAAAGGAUUCUAUUGCUCCGUGUCAAGAUUCGAAAAAAAACUAUUUGAUGGAAGGUUGUUAUGUUUAUGAGAUUCGUUAUGUUUUUUUACACCUUUUCACUAAAUGGAAUUGAUAUAGGAAUGUUCAUAUCUCAAGUGCAACACACUUAUUCUCUUUAGAUUUAUAUUGCUUAUGGUUUUUUUUUUUUUUGUCAUGGUUUUCCGUUAAGAUUAGAUUAAGAGAGCCCUAUGUCAUAGAAUGCUUCAAAUGAGCCUCCCCGGGGGUUUGUAUAGAGCCCAUGAAGCUUCUAGAGACUCCUAUACUUAGCCAUUGGUGGGAAGAGUGUGAAAGGUUCUACAGAUGUCUAGAGAUAUUUACACAUCUCUACACUAUGGUGGAAGGCAUGAGAGGAGUCUAAGGCAUUCUAAAGAAUUAUAAAGAUCUCUUAUAUAUUCUUGUACAUAGGCUUGUACAUAGAAUUGUGUAGGAAGUUAUAGAUUAUUCUUGAGCUGUAAGGAACCCUCCAAGGUUCCAGAGAGUUCCAUUGGUGCCUAUAAAUAGGUGAAUGCCUCAUUUGGCCAAGACACUAAGCAAGUGAAUUCCAAAACACUUGUAAAGCUUCCUUUGAAUAAUAAAAGUUUCAAUUCUUCAAGAGUUGCCUAUUAUGCCUUCUAAAACUUCUAAGUCAUGAGCAUCUUAACCUAACAAGUUAAGCAUUGGGAGUAAUGCUAACUUAGCAAGAUCAAGGAUCUUGACUUGUCUAAGUGUUGCACGAUCUUAGGAAAAGAUUAAGUUUGUGACAGUUGGUUUCAAAGUGUGACUACGAAGUGAGCAUAGUAAAGGAAACAUGUCGAGCUUCAACAUGGAGGAAACUAGUGAGCAAACCCGUGGGAAAGAAACCGAGCCUACUGCAUAGGACAGGGACAUGAAGGAUAAAUCUCGUAAUGCCAUAGCCAACGUGGAGGCAAGGCUAGCCAAGGUGGAGCUAGCCAUGGCAGACACCCGGGAAGGGGUGGACUUAAUCGAGCAAGGCAUGGAAAAUGGCUUAGAGGAUCUAAAUGAGCAUAUCCAAGACCUUCAUGAGAGAGUGCUAGGCUUACAAGUUCGGCCGAUGUCAUAUGAGGAGUUCAUGUCCUUCCAAAACGAGGUCAUGAGCAUGUUUGCUAGCAUGGAGUCGAAGGUGGAGGCCUUGGCUGCACGCAUAGAGGCCCAAGACCAAGAGGUUCAACAAGAGCUAGCUAUCUACAAGACUGUCUUAUCAGCACGAGUCAUGGCCACUCAUGAGGCACUAAGGGUGGAAGUGCCCAAACCACACACGUUCAAUGGCAAGAGGGAUGCCAAGGAGUUGGACAAUUUCUUGUGGCACAUGGAGCUCUACUUUGAGGUUAUAACACUAAUAGAUGAAGCCACUAAGGUAUGUACCACAACCCUCUACCUCACCAAUAAAGCUACUCUAUGGUGGCGUCAGAGGUUUGCCAAUAUAGAAAAAGAAAUGUGCACCAUAGACACAUGGGAUGCCUUUAAGCAAAAGAUCAAAAAACAAUUAUACCUUAAUGAUGUGGCUUACCUAGCAAGGAAAAACACAAAAUGUCUUAAGCACACAGACUCGAUCCGUGAGUAUGUCAAAGAAUUCUCUACACUUAUGCUUGAGAUACCCAACAUGUCUGAGGAAAAGCUACUAUUCAACUUCAUGGACAACUUGCAAAGCUGGGCCGAGCAAGAGUUAAGGAGAAGUGGUGUCCAAGACCUAGCCACGGCCAUGGCGGUAGCGAAGUCCUUGGUGGAAUACAAAAAGGGAGACUCUUUUAAGCCCAAGCCACAGUCUAAGGGUAAUCAUGCUAAAGGUGGGGAAACAAGGGAUCAAGGAGGUACACUCCUAAGGAAUGAUCAAGCAAGACCUCUGGUGGCAAGGAUGGUAAGGGUAAGGAUAAACGGAAAUAGUUCACGCCUAAGAUCAAUUGCUUCCUAUGUGAUGGUCCACAUUGGGCGCGAGACUACCUCAAAAGAAAAGCCCUAAAUGCCAUGAUCGAGGAAAAGUAGAAGGAAGACAAUGCUCAUGUGGGAUCAUUACAACUCUUAAAUGAUAUCAAGGCUAAGUCAGUGCUUAAGACACCUCAAAGUAAAAGUCUAAUGUACAUAGAAGCCCUUGUAAAUAGGAAGGCUACCAAGGCUUUGGUGGACACUAGUGUCACUCAUAACUUUGUCUCGAAGGAUAAGACAAAGAACUUAGAGCUCCAAGCAUCUAAGGAAGGAGGUUGGCUCAAGGCAAUUAAUUAAGUUUCCAAGCCAUCACACGAAGUAGCACGCAGGGUGGCAAUGCACAUUGGCUCAUGGGAAGGAAUGGUCGACUUCACAGUGGCACCCAUGGACUACUUCAAGAUGGUACUGGGAAUGAACUUCCUAUAGAAAGACAAGGUCAUGCCACUACACUUCCUACAUUUAAUGGUUAUCCUAGAGGAUGAAAAGUCAUGCAUAGUCCUUACGGUCACCGAAGGUUCACCCAAGACCCCUAUGAUAUCGGUUAUGCAAGUAAAGAAGGGAUCAAAGAGGAAAGAGGUGACCUACCUCACCACUCUUAAGGAGGAAAAUGAUGAUGAGUUGGGGGAGCCCAUGCCUAAGGAAAUCAAGAGAGUCUUUGAUGAGUUCAAGGACGUGAUGUUGCCUAAGUUGCCUAAAAGACUCCUUCCUAGAAGAGAGAAAGAUCAUAAGAUCGAGUUAGAUGCAGGAACUAAGCCCCUUGCUAUGGGGCCAUAUAGGAUGGCACAACCCAAGCUGAAAGAGCUAAGGAAACAACUUAAGGAGUUGUUGGAUGCAGGGUUUAUCCAACCAUCCAAGACUCCCUAUGGCGCACCGAUUUUAUUUCAAAAGAACCAUGAUGGGUCCCUACAGAUGUGCAUCGAUUACCAAGCACUCAAUAAGGUAACAAUAUAGAAUAAGUACCCCAUUCCACUCAUUGUUGAUCUAUUUGAUCAACUUGGUAAAGCAAGGUAUUUCACUAAGUUGGACUUGAGAUCAGGCUACUACCAAGUGAGGAUUGUGGAAGGAGACAAACUGAAGACUACAUGUGUGACCCGAUAUGGCUCAUAUGAGUUCUUAGUGAUGCUCUUCGAUCUCACCAAUGUACCAACAAUGUUUUGGACACUCAUGAAUAAGAUCUUCCAUCCCUAUUUAGACUAGUUUGUGGUGGUAUACUAAGAUGACAUAGUCAUCUACAAUAGCAUCUUAGAGGAGCACGUGGAGCAUUUAAGGAAGGUCUUCAAGAUCUUAAGGUAAAACGAGUUAUAUGUAAAGAAGAAGAAAUGCUCAUUUGUUAAAGAGGAUGUGAGCUUCCUAGGGCAUCGCAUCAAAGAUGGCAAGCUGAUGAUGGAUGACAACAAGAUGAAGGUCAUCUAGGAAUGGGAUCCACCUACUAAGGUACCUCAACUAAAGUCUUUCCUUGGCUUGGCUAACUAUUACCAGUGGUUCAUCAAGGGUUACUCUACAAAGACAGCUUCACUCACUAAUCUUCUUAAGAAGAACAAGGCAUGGGUGUGAGACAAAAGGUGGCAACAAGCCUUUGAAGAUCUAAAAAGUGUUGUGAUUGAGGAGCCAAUGUUGGCAUUACCCAACCACAUGAAGGUUUUUAAGAUACACACAGAUGCCUCAAACUUUGCUAUUAGGGAAGUUCUGAUAAGAUAGACAUCUAAUCGCCUUCAAGAGUUGCAAGCUAAAUGACAUAGAGAGACGCUACAUGGUACAAGAAAAUGAUAUGACUGUCAUUGUCUAUUACUUGCACACCUGAAGACACUAUCUUCUAGGGUCUCACUUCAUAGUGAAAACCGACAAUGUUGUCAUUAGUUACUUCUAAACACAGAAAAGUCCUAAGUAAGCUAGGUGGCAAGACUUUCUGGUUGAGUUUGACGAUGCGCUGGAGUAUAAGACAAAAAGUACUAAUCAUGUGAAUGACGCCCUAAGCCGUAAUGUAGAGCUAGCAUUCAUGACGAGCCAGCCCCAAUGAGACAUAAUAGAUCUUCUAAGAGAGGGGUUGCAACAUGAUCUAGUGGCUAAGAGCCUUAUUACCUUGGCCCAUGAGGGAAAAACUAAGUGUUUUUAGGUAGAGGACGACCUACUCUACACUAAGGGGAGACUACUCUACGUGCUUAAGUGGGGGAACAUAAGGUAGAACUUGAUUAAGGAGUGCCAUGACACCAAGUGGGUUGGGCACCUUGGGCAACGACGCAUAAAGAGCACUACUCGAGUCAGCUUACUACUGAUCUUAGAUACAAGAUGAAGUUGAGGCAUAUGUGAGGACUUGUCUUGUGUGCUAACAAGACAAGGUAAAACAACAACAACCUAGAGGCUUGUUGGAGCCACUACCUAUAGCAGAGCGUCCAUGGGAGAGCAUCACCAUGGACUUCAUCAUCGGGCUACCUAAGUUGGAGGGCUAUGGCUCGAUCAUAGUGGUAGUGGAUAUGUUCUCUAAGUAUGUGACCUUCAUAGUAGCCUCUACUGACUGUACUGCAAAGGAGACAGCAAGGCUAUUCUUGAAACACAUGGUCAAAUACUGGGGGUCGCCUAAUUACAUCAUCAGUGAUCGCGAUUUGCAUUUCACUAGGAAGUUUUGGACAAAGCUCUUUAAGCUUAUGGGUUUGAAGCUUCACUUCUUCACAAGCUUUUCACCCGUAAACAGAUAGGCAGAUUGAGAGGGUGAACGCCUUAUUAGAGUUAUACUUAUCCUUCAUGAGUGUCAACCAAAAGGAAUGGACUAAGUUGCUAGAUGUAAUCCAAUUUUCAUACAACUUGCAAAGAAGUGAGACAACCAACAAGAGCCCGUUCAAGCUAGCCAUAGGGCAGCAACCAUUGACUCCUCACACACUACCAAUAGGCUAUACGAAGAGAAGUUCAGCGGCUUUGAAGUUCACUAAGGGGUGACACGAGCCAACUGACAUAAUAGCUCAUACUUGGAUAGGGCCGCUAGAAAGAUGAAGAAGUGGGCUGACAAAAAGCGACAUCACACUGAGUACAAGGUCGGAGACAUGGUCUUUGUCAAGCUCCUUCCUAAAAAAUUCAAGUCACUAAGGCCGGUACAUAAAGGCCUUAUGAUGAGGUAUAAAGGACAUUUCCCCAUACUUGGAAAGGUCGGCAAGGUGUCCUAUAGAGUUGAGUUACCACCGAGGUUGAAGAUUCAUAUCGUCUUCCACGUAAGUUACAUAAAAUCAUAUCACGAAGACAAGAAUUAUCCAAGCCAAGGGAUGUCCUAGAUGACACCUACAUCGAUUAUGACCUUCUAUGACAAGGAAGUAGAACACAUCAUUGCAGGCUGAGUCAUCAAGAGAUGAGGCGUGCCUCCUGCUACGGAGUACUUGGUGAAAUGGAAGGGACUACCAGAGAACGAGACUAGCUGGGAGCCAAUAGAUGCACUAUGGCAAUUUCAGGAGCACAUUAAGUGGUUCUAGGUGGAAGGUGCGACAAGGACGUUUACGGUUUAGGUAGGGGAGAGUGUCAUAGAAUGCUUCAAAUGAGCCUCCCCAGGGGUUUAUAUAGAGCCUAAGAAGCUUUUGGAGACUCCUACACUUAGUCAUUGGUGGGAAAAUGGUGGAAGGUUCUAAAGAUGUCUAAAGAUAUCCACACAUCUCUACACUAUGGUGGAAGGUAUGAGAGAAGUCCAAGGCUUUCUAGAAAAUUCUAGAGAUCUCUUGUAUAUUCUUGUACAUAGGCUUGUACAUAGAAUUGUGUAGGAAGUUUUAGAUUAUUCUUGAGUUGUAAGGAACCCUCCAAGAUUCCAAAGAGUUUCAUUGGUGCCUAUAAAUAGGUGAAGGCCUCAUUUGGCCAAGGCACCAAGCAAGUGAGUUCCAAAGCACUUGUAAAGCUUCUUUUAAGUAAUAAAAGCUUCCAUCCUUCAAGAUUUAUCUACUACGCCUUAUAAAGCUUUCAAGUUGUGAGCAUCUUAACCUAGCAAGCUGAGCAUUGGGAGCAAAACUGACUUAGCAAGAUCAAGGGUCUUGACUUGUCUAAGUGUCGCACGAGCUUAGGAAAAGACUAAGUUCAUGACACCUAGGACUAGUAGCAUGCACCCUAAGUAAUCCAAGGCUAGAAAUGAAAUGAUACAAGGAUUCCCAACACUUGACUUAAUUCCUUAGAAAUUGAAACUCAAUAAAAAACAUUAGUGUCAUUAACCUCAUUUUUUUUAUUACCAAUACUUAAUUAGGGGAAACCUUGAGCUAACAACCUCCUCAUUUUUUAUGAUGAUAAAACUGUACCAUCUAAAGAAAGCUUUCCUUAAUGUAUGCAUAUUAUAAGCAAUUUAAACAUUCAUCAUAAAAGAUGGAAAACAUAAACUCAAAUGGAGACAUGGAUAUAUAGAUAUAAGAGACAUCAUAAAGGUUGCAACAUGAUCGUAUAUCCGAAAUAGCAUCCAAAAGCAUGUCAUCCAAAAAAAAAUCAACCAUAAUAACCAUGUUCAAAUUGUCCCAAAAAGGAAAAAAAUAUAUAUAUGAAACAAAAAGUAUUAAAUAGUUUACUAAAUGUUAUGCCCUAGAUACCUAAAGAUAUCUCCCCCUUAGGCAACAUCGAAACAAUGAGGGAACUAUAUGGCUCAAGGUUGAGGUGGUGGAAACAAGGAACAUAGGACAGCUAUUGAAGAAGCUAAAAUUCUUCAUAAAUGAUUGAAUUUUAUUUCACCAUGAGAAACAAUACAAAGAGGGAUUUUUUUUUUUUUUUUUUUUUUUUUAUCAAGGGGAAGACCCCUUUCUCUUUACUACUUAUCCCUUUUAAUAAAAAUUCUUCCACAUUUUUCCACUUUAUUUUGCCAACAUUCUUUCAACCCCUUUUGCACAAAAAUGCCAAAGAUAGUAUUAGGAUAACCUUUUACAACCAUUGCUAACUUUUGACACAAGUUGCUAAAAAUUGUUGAAGAUUUGCUUUUAAUGUCAGGUAGGAUAGCAGAUUGGUUCUAAUUGAAGGUCAUUUCUUGUGGAGGACCUUACUUAUAAGUGAGAUGAUUGUUCCUAUCUUCAUGGUUUUAUGUUGUAUAGUUAUAGAGACUUUUUAGAGGCUAUCAGCUUUAGAGCAAAUUUAUGUUGUUUGUUAGGGAUUAAGUAUUUUAUUCAAAUUGGGUGAAUGGUACUACCUCUUUACUUGAGAUGGCUUUGAGAUUGGGUGGUUGAAUAGUAGUACUUUGGAAUGGUCUAGUUUUUGUUCGCUUUAGCUAUCAUUUUCUUAUGCUGUGUCUAUAGACGAGUGGAGACGUCAUUUGGAAAUUGGUCAAAUUGCCCGUGAAAUUGAUCAAAUUGUCAAGUUGUCAUCCUAAAAUUGACUAAACCUAGUUUGUAAAAAUGAGAAACGACCGUCACUAGCGACUAACAUCUUCUCAAGCUAAGUAUUAAUAGAUCCAAUCUGAGCAUAAAGGGCAUCUUAAUGUUGCAGGUUCAAUGCUCAUGAAGCAUAAUAUUUUGGAUACUUGGUGUGAGACACCUCAGCAUAAGUCUAAUCCAUAAGGAUAGUCUCCUCAGGAGGUUGAGAUGUGGGCAAUUGAAUGGUGGCAUCCAUGCCCUUGGUUUGCAUCUCCUGUUGAACAUCCUCACCCCCUAAUCCUUUAUGGUCACCCUCAGUCUCUAUCUAUAGAAUCUCUGCCUCUUACUCAACCCGGUCUUCAUUCAUAGCAGGACCCUUUCUUUUUCUUUCCAAUGAUCCAUUAGGCAAUUUCUCAAACAGCAUUCGGUCUGGAUUUUACGUUAUAGGUAUCAUAGGAUGAGGCCUGAAUGUUUUUUUCUCUUCUUAUGUCCACAUUGAAUGCUUUCAGGAUUUUUGUGAUCAGUCUUCUUCCGUUGGCCACUACUUUAGAAUUGCUUUUACAACAGUUUUUCAUGUGUUGAAAGAUGAUAAGGAAACCUUAGAAUGGAUCGGAGUCAAUAGAAAAUGCUACAUAAUAGGACACCUUGUCUCUAUGUCCACCCUUAGGUAGAAAAAUAUGUUUGAUCAUGUGGUGGUGCACCCUAGAGAUAAUGCUCAAGGCAUGGGCAUGGAGCUUUGAAGUCACUGUGUCGAUGGGUAAGUUACAUAUCCUCUAGAAAGCCCUACCUAGGUUAAAACUAGACACUAUAGGCCAUCCCUUCGUCUCAAAUAAACAAAGUCCCCCACAAAGGAUCUCCAAAAUAUCACAAAGCAUAUCAAUAUUUAGUUUAAUUCAACUCCUCUAACAAAUGUGCUAAUUGGCCUUCAUAUAUUUUAGGUUCAAGUAAAAUACCUGAACAAGGUUGGGGUAUGUAGGCUCUCUUGAUGAGAUGGUAUUGGUGAGUAUUUUUUUUUCUUCAAUACAAAACUAUUACAACACUUGGUUUUUUUUUUUUCUAAAAAAAAAAGAAAAAUAAAAAUAGUUUUAUAUUAUACUUAGUUUCAAGAAAAAUAAUAAUCAAAGCAAAAUGAAAAAAAAAUUCUCAUAUUGGUUUCUCGUGAAAAAUAUAAAAGCAAAUAAAAUACAAUUAAAAUUAAUUAAAAUCUUAUGUAUUUUUAAAUUAUUAAUUUUUAUAUAAAAAAUGAAAAAUAGUAUAAUGAAUUUAGAAGAAUAUAUAAAAAUAAUGUAUUAACUUUAAAUCUUUUUUUCUUUAUAUAUAUAUUUUCCCUUCAAUUUUCUAAUACCAACACAUAAUAAGGUUAAUGUCUUCUAGCCAACCAAUUGUAAGUCAAUUUUCAUAGAGCUUUUUUUUUUUUUUUUUUUUACAUGCCACCAAGUAGUUAUAUAAGCAUUUUUGCAUGUUAUUGUUAUCCAACAUACAAUAACUAUAACAUCCAAUUAUUAUGAACAUGAACAAUAAAAUUAGAUGCAACUAACUAUUUAGUGUAUAACAAGAAGUUGGUGAAGUAAUUCAUCCUAACAUGAUUCAACAAUUUUUGUUUAUUUUUCAAGAUUAAUUAUAACAUACCCAUUCUAUUAAAGUUGUUGAGAUAUUUGAGCAAAACUAAAAAUCAACAUUAAUUCAUUUUAUACCCACAAGAGAAAUAAGAUUUGUUUUUUUGUUUGAUAAUAAAGUAGUUGUAGUUAUUAAUGAUAAUUUUGAUCCUAAUUUAAUAGGUAUCCAAAAAAAAAGGAAAAAUGCAAGUAAACCAAUUCUUAUCUAACACAAUUAUUACCACCUUAAAAUCCUGAGGGGUAGCUCAGUUGAUCAGUUCGAGUCCCUUUAGGACCAUGAAAAGCUUACCCGAUGGUUCACCUUAAGAAAAGCAAAGCAUUUAUAUAAUUCAACUGGUAGUUGAUAAGUCUUAGAAAGGGUUUUGCCAUCAUUGGCUUCUCAGUAAAGGGCAAAUUUGGGUUGUGGCUGACAAUUAUUGAAUUUGUGAAGAAAUAUGUGAAGAAAGGAAACAAAAAGAGUUGAGGACAGAAUUCUUCAAUUAAAAAAUGGUUAGCCCAUGAACCCAUUCUUCAAACAGUAAGCCAAUGAGCCAAUGAGCCAAAAAGAAAGAAGAACAGCUGGUUUCAUCUUUUUAUCUUAAUGACUUUGACAACCCAUCUUUCUUUUAAAUACUUGUGACUUUGGAAUAUAAUUAAAAUGAAACUUUGGAAUGCCCACAUCUGAUUCACGGCCUUUUUACCUGUUUUCUUGUUUAACAUUUUUUUAAAUAUUAUAACAGAUGGAAAAACAUGAUUCUAACAGGCUGGAAAAUAGUGGAAGUUGGAACACCAACCAUAACCAAACUAUACCUUCCAUCUUUCUCCAACACUCGGAAUUAUUGAUACAAGUUGGUGGUUUUAUGAUUGUUUCUAUUGAGGGGACCCCUCUCCAUUUCCAAUUUCAAUGGAAAGGUUCUUCUUUCCCUACUUUUUUUUUUUGUUUUUCAAAUUCUUGUAGUUUUGUCUGUCUCUCUCAACAAAGCAAACUGCAAUCACUAAUUCAAAGAAAAGGAAUCCUAAAUGAAAAGAAAAGAAAGGAAAGGAAUGGUAAUUUAGGCUAUGAUGAUGCUCCUAUAUAAUGGCUGUAAGUCAAUAACAACACACUGGACCCGCCUCCUAUCUCAAAAGAUCACAAACCCAAAUAUCAUAUACUUCCAAAUUUCAAUUUGGUUCCCUGUUUAUAUCACAAUCUGUCCUAUAUCCUCUUAAUACAUCUAAAAUCUCUCUAUAUCAUAAAAAUAAUGAUGGAAAAAAAAAUUAAAAAGAAAGAAGGAAAAAAUGACAAAAAAAAAAAAACCUUGGUGCUGCUAUGGGUCCAUAGGAAUUGGCAGGACUGCACUUCUGGAUCCCCUUCCAUGGCCAAAAGAAAAGAAUGAUCUUCGGAAUCUGCUGCUGCAACCUUCACUAGGGCUGAAGUCACUGACAGGCCUGUUCUGUUGCAAAAUCUCUUGAAUUGCUAAAUACAGCUGCCUGUCGUUGGAUGAGUCCAUUGAAAAAGACCUCCUGAUGGGUUGGAUUGAGAACUGAUCAUCUUUGCCUCUAGUGUCAAUGCACUCAUCACCCAUGCUUGCAACAUGAUGAAACUUCCUUGCCUUUUUAGGCACAAUUCUCUGCUCUAGCUUCCUAGGUGAUGGACUAAUUGAUGGCGCAGAUAACUCUCUGGAAUUCAGUCUUUCUGGUGGCCUAAGCAGUGAUGAAUCAGCAGAACUAUCAUUUCCCAAUUCAAUUACUACAAAAUCUUCAUCCCCUCCUAUGUAAUUAUUGGCGUAGGGGCUUGGAUCUUGGGGGGAAGAGCUAGGAGCAAUGAUUUGGUGAACAGGAAACCGGGGUGUGGUUGAAAUGCUUGUUCUGCAAAGUGGGCAAUUAGCAUUGCUUUGAAGCCACACGUCUAUGCAAUCUAUAUGAAAUAUGUGACUGCAGUUUGGUAUGAUUCUUAGCUUCUCUUCUUCUUGAAACUCAUUCAAGCAAACCGCACACUCGCAAUGGCUUCUUUCUCCAAACUCUCUGCCACCUCCUUUCCUGAACUGGAAUAUUGGGAUUGAUCUGAUGACUGACUCGUCCAGGCCUCGACUCUCGAUUGCUGGGGAGUACACCAUUAAAGGGUCUUCCGGGUGCCGACUCCUUGAGAAAGAAAAUCGUCUCAGCAGAUCAAUCCGGUGCCAAUUGAGGCAGCAUUUGAUUACAAAGAUGUAGUAGCUCACCAGCAAGAAAGCAGUGGCCAGGAUUCCUAUUACGGCAAUGGCUAUAAUGGGGAAACUGGUGUCCGAGGAAUGAGAGGGAGAAGGAAGCACUGAGCUCGCCUGGCUUUUGAUGGGAGAAAAGGCUUGUGAUCCAUGGAUGGAGGAGUCUGUGCUCACAAGAUCCAUGAGAGAGGCUAUGAAAAACAUUUAGAAAUGAGUCUAUUCGGAUCUUCAAUUCACAGAAACAUGCAAAUGCUAGAAUAAAAUCGACAGACACUCAGAUAUAGACCCUACAGUUGUAAUGCAGCAUACCAUAAAUGUGAUUGAGUGAGUGAGGCUGAAACAGCAAAUGGGUCACUUCAAGAUCUCAACAAGACAGAAAACCCAUGUUGAAUUCACCAGGAGAGUAUUGAAAAGGGAAAAAUUAAGGACAUAUAGCUGUAUUGAAAGUUGAAACAAAUGCAGAAACAUAGAGAAGAGAGAGAGAGGGAGAAAACCCAGGAGGGUUGAAUGAGAGCGCUGCUGGGGAAGACAUCAAAACGCUUCAAAUUCAAUGAGAAUCUGUUGGGGACCUCUUUAAGAGGACUGCACAAAGCCUGAGCGUAGGGUACGUGGUUGGUUGGUGAAUUUCUCGGCUUCCAAAAGAGAAAUUUGGUGAGAAAAUUUUCAAGUCUCUUGAUUAUAGUAACGUAGCGUUUAUUUUAAUUUUAUGUAACCGAAACUAAUGGGCUGGUUCAAAAAAAUAAAAAAUAAAAAAAGGAACUUUCUAGGAUAGGCCAGCAGUCCACCGUUGGUCAUGUGGUUUCUUUUGCAUGUCCACAUCUUCCAACUAGUGGAGGUCCCUGUCACAACAGUAAGAAAACACCCAAUUGAAUAAAAGUAUGAACUUUUGGCUCCCAAUAUUACUUAUGCCCUCAUUCAAUACCUCAAAUAAAGCAGAGAUUUUGUGUCCCAACUUUUAUGAUUUCAUUUCAUCUUACUUCAAAUGCUAAUGACAAAAGUCCAAGUAUAUUCUGUAAUCACCCACACCCCAAUAGUUUUGAAUCACACUUGAAAUAGUUCCCAUGCUUUCUUAAUAAUUUAGAUAAUUAUUUACAGAAAAAAAAAUUCAGAACAGGAUGAUAAUCAUUUUGUGAUAGCAUGGAAGAAACUUUACUAGCCACUUUGGCCCCAUGAAGUUGAGUACUUGAUGCCAAUUAAUGGCAGGGUGGAAAAUAGAGAAAAGGGAUCAUAGUCAAAUCUAGAGUACAAGGCAUUGAAUCUUUGUUAAUAAUUAACAAAUGGGUAAAGCAUGGGUCACAGGGUCUACAGUUUGGAUUGCAAAAACCUCAGGCUUCUAUAAAAAGCUCAUCCAUUAUCAAUCAUCAAUCUGAAAGCCAGAAAGUCCAAGGCACAUGCAACCCACGACAGGGGUAAGAUUUCUGCAUCAUGUCCCUGAGUUGCAUUCACAUCAUAUGUUUCCCUCCGGGCCGUUCCAAUUUGAAAUCUCAUGGAAAUCUUCAAGAGCAAGGCUACAGAGUUUAAGAUAAUACUAGGGGUGGGUCCUGAUGGGAAAAGAGGUAGUGUAGGAUAGUCAAUAAAGGGCAUGUGUCUCUGGUGUGAAGUCAAAUCCAGUGUACCAUCCUCAAUGGAAAAUUUAGAAAUAGAACCGACACUCUACAGACUGCCGUGUUGACAGAUUAGAGAAAGACAAACCCACUUACACUUGCCUCAAAACCCAGUCCUGCCAUUUCAAAGGCAAAAAAAAAGGGUUUCUUUUUAUAGUCAAAGGUUGAGGCCUGGCCUGGCCUAGCAAAGAAACUUCACCUACUCUUUUCUUAUUUUUCAAAUUAAGGCCAUUCAACUUUUCCUGUUUGCAGGCUUGCUGCCAUAUCUUACUCCAAAAAAGGUGAAAACCCAAAAGAAAAAGAGUGUUUGCUUCAAUGGAAAACUCAUGUUUAAUAAAUUCACCGCACGAGUUUUGUUCCAGCUUUUCCUAUGAAAGCUGUGAUGCGUUUGGUAUGAAGUUGAUUUUGUUCCUAAAAAUUUUGAUCUUGGCGUGGAAGGCAACUUUUUCCUUUUCCCCCUUUUUCUUUUUGAAAAGUUCGGCAUUAGUUACCAAAUGUCCUUUUACUUGCAUGUAGGACAGCGGAAGCAUUACACAUCGCAGCAAAAUCCCAUUUACCCGAAUUUUCCACUAACUCUUUUUAUUUUUUACCAUCAUUUUUUAAUAGAAGUGAUGCACUCUUCAAAUUACAUGAAGCUUUUAAGAAGGUAAUAACCCGUUUCAAAGCGAACUUAACCUACAGAGUAUGUUUUAAAAAUAUUUAGGUAUUUGAUAAAAUUUAAAAAAUAUUUUUUAAAAUCUUUAAAAUGAUUUGUAAUAUUGAAAAUUUAUUUAUACUUUUUUUAAUAAAAAAACAUUUUAUAGGUAAUUUUUCUAAAAUACUUUUAGAGAAAAUGUCUUCCCUUCACUAUAAAUAUUAUAUACUAUCAAAUACACUUUAAAAAUCUGUUUAACAAUAAUUUUAUAAAGUGUUUUUAAUUUUAAAAAUAUUUUUAAAAACAAAUUAAAUUUUUGAUAAAAUUUAAAAAAUCUUUUUAAAAAUUUUGAAAAAUAUCUCGUAAUAUUAAAAAAUAUAUAUAUUUAUAAUGUUUUUUAUAUAAAUACUCAAAAUUCAUUUAAUAGUGAUUUUAGGAAAUGUUUUUAAUAUUUCUAAUACUUGAAAAUUUUUUAUCAUUUAAGUAUUAAAAAUAUUAAAAACACUUUAUAAAAUCACUUUCAAAUGGACUCUUAAUGAUUUUACUAAAAACACUUUUCAUAGAAAACAUUUAUAAAAAAUAAUUAUGAAAUACACUCUAAAUUAAGUAAAAGUUGUUUUUAACAUUACCACUAUUUAUUAAUAGUGCAUUUGUUUAAAAUAUUUAUAUGAAAAAUUCAUUAGGGUGGGAUAUAAAUAUAGAAGUGUUUUUCUUUAUAUAUUUUUUAUAAUAAAAAAUGAUUUUUGAAAUUAUAAAAUUUGAAUUUAAGAAUCAUUUGAUAAUAAUUUUUGUUAAAGCACCUUUAAUACGUGGUGCUUCUAUUGAUAGCGCUUUCAUUUCUAUGAAUGGCUAUAAAUUAUAUUUGAAUAAAUUUUUUAUAAUGUAUUAUAUAAUAAAAAAAAAGUCAUUUUUAAAAAAAUUAUACAUUAAAUGAUUAUUCAAAUAGUAUUUCCUAAAUUUUAUUAAACAUUUUUUUCAAAAAAAAAAAAAAAGUUUUCAAAUACUAGAAAACGUUUUUAAUCUCUCACACGAUCACAUCCAAACAAGUCCUAAUGCUACUCCUAGAAACACUCCAAAACAAAAGUCUUCCUCUAUUAAUGUUCAUAAAAUCCACAUAUAUUCUUCCAUCGUUUUUUCAAAAUUCAAAAUCAUUUCUAAAACAUCAAAUCAUGUUCUUUGGAUUGGCUGACUUGUUUUUUGAAAAUAGAAGGCUCAUUAUUGACGUCCGUUGACUUCAUAACCCAGUCUUGAUCUCUUGAUGGAGGGCAUAAAUGUAAAUUGGACGAAACCCUAGGGUGCGCUAGAGUGUAGAGGAUGAAAGGUUGGAAAAAGGAUGAGGUGGGGGUGUAAUAAAGAGGAGGGUUGGGAGAAUGGGACAUGUGUAGGUGAAGCAUUAAAUUCAAGACUAUGCUUACCAACAACAUAUAAAUAAAUAAAUAAAUAAAUAUAGGAACAGCACAUGGGGUGAGUAGGAGACAUCAGAAGAUGUGAACAACCCCUUGUCAGUCCAAUUUGCGUCUUUUAUCUACUCUAUUAUCUAUAUCGAUUUUCGUAUUUAUUUAUUUAUUUAUUUAUUUUUACCAUUUGAUUUUGCAUGGAUGUCGAAGGGUUUAUUGGCUGCCACGUGUAGGGUUAUGGUCAAGAUCACGUGGGGUGCCUACAUGGGAGUCACGUGAGUGCAUGAGGCAGGCUUGAAUUGCAGGAGGAGCAGGAGCAGAGCAGUGGCUGUUGUCUUAAGACUUUGCUCUCUUGGUGGAACUGCAGCUUAAGCAGCAUCCACGUGUUGUCACGUGCAAUGCGAGCCAUCCACACCACCAGUUUCUUUUUAGUGAUUUUCUAAAGUCAGUUAAGGUUGCAGUCAAUACCUUCAAAUGUUGACAGAGUUAGGGAUCUUUGUUAAAUGGAUUUUAUUAAGAUAUUAGUAAGUUAAUUAAUUGAGGGUCAACAUAACAGAUGGGUCGGGUUGGGUUGAAUCUGAAUUUAAAACGAUUUAAUUUAUGUUUAAUCAAAUUUAACAUUUAACUCGAAGCACUCAACUUAAGUUUAAUUGAAUCUUAGUUUUCAAAACAUUAUUUAAAUUUGGGUCAUUUGGAUUAAAGUCAAAUGGGUUAGAUUAAUCGGGUUAUAUGGUUCAAAAUCCACUUACCUUAUUUUUUAUACAUUAAUAUUAAAAUUUAAAUAAAAAAUAUUAGAAGAAAUUUCAAACUUGGGAUUAGUUGAUUGUAGCCAUGCAUUUGGAUGUUGGUAUUCUUGUUUCUUGUCUUGUUUCCAAAUACCCUUUCAAAUCGCUUUGUUAUUCAAUAGCAUCCUCCCGAUCAUUUAAAAAUUUAAAGAGCAUUGGUAUGAUGGAGGAAUUCAGAAAUUUUAGUUGAAUAAGUAAAAUUUUUCUCUCAUAAAACCAAAUAGCCUCUAUAGCUCAGUGGUAGAGCGUCAGUCUUGUAAACUGAAGGUCUGUAGUUCGAUCCUGCAUGGAGGCAACUUUUUAUAUUUCAUGAUCCAUUAUGCUCUAGUGAUUUAGUUUUCAUUAUAAUUUUAGAUUAAAAAAUUACAUCAACAUUUGAUAAGUUGGUUAUGACUUUGAUAUAAGGAUGAAACUAUCAAUAAUAUAUAUAAAUAUUUUGACACAAAAUAUCUAAUAUAUUAAAAAAUUAAAAAAAAACUCUAAAAAACAUUAUAAAAUUAUAUAUAUAAUUUAUCAUAUUUAAUAAUAAUAUCUUCUACCCUAAUAAAAAAUAUAAAUUUUAUAAGCAUACAUUUAUUAUUACAUUGUAUUAUAUAUUAUUUUACAAGAAUAUUAUGAUAACAUGUCUAAUUUUAAAAUAUAUUUAAUAUUAAAAUUAUCAUCAAUUUUAAUUUAAAUGUAUUUAAUGAUAUCAAAUAAUAUAUAUAUAUAUAAUUUUUUAAUAUUUAUAUAUUUUUAUAUUUAAUAAAUAUAUAAAUUAUGUAAAAAAAAAAGACCUAUUAAGAAGAUUAUGUUUUUAUAUUUGGAUCAAAAUUAAGUUUUUCCGAUAAAAUAUAUGAAACUAUUGAUAAAUUAUUGAUUGAAACGUGAAAAAAAAAAUUCAAAAAAUAGAUGAGAUAUUAGUAAAAUAUCCGAAAAUAUUGAUUGAUGAAUAUAUCAUUUCAAAUUUUGCAUCAACAUCCACAUAUGUUGGAUAUAUUGGCCAAAUAUAUUUAAACCUUGUUUCCAUGAGAAGUCUUUCCUUCAACAAUUUCAAAAGGUUAAUGAGGUGGUUUCCAAGAGAUGUGUGUAGGGGUCUCCAACGGGCGGGCCGGGCCAGCGGGCUUUUUGAAAUAAGCCAAAAUGGCUUUCAAAAAAGGGAAGGGAGAGGAUUUAAACCCCUUCCUUCAUGCUUAAAUUUCAAGGUUCUAACCAAUUGAACUACAUUCCUUUAAUGUUUAUUAAUUGAGUUAGUUAUAUAUAUAUAUAAAAAUAAAGUAUAUUAUUUUUUAAAGGGGCGGGCCUACGGGCUGGGCCGGGCCGAAAGCGGGCCACGGGCCACGGGCUUUUUGGAGACCCUUGGAUGUGUGCAAUCACAUUUGGUAUUAUAGGUGACAAAGUUUGAUAAAUGAGUAAUUAUUAGGUUAACUUAUAAAAUCCGAAUUUGAUUUAAAUUGAUUCAUUUAAUAAUCCCAUUUAUUUACCCAAUUAAAACUUUAAAUUAUUUAACUUAUAUUUAAUUUAAUUAAAAUUUGUUUUUAAAUAAAUAGAUCAAUUAAAACAUAAACAUAUUUGAUUGAAACAUUAAUAAUAUAGAUUUAAAUAAGACCUAAUUCAACCUAACGAUCAAAUAGAAAUAUCUAAUUAUUAAAUAAAUUAAACAUGUUACUUGCUUAAUAAUUAUGUGACAUUUGAAUUUAUGCUUUUGAUAUAAUUAUUAUUUAUAUCAGGUUUAUAUAAUGAAAUAUCUAGACUUUGACACCAGUCAACAUUGUCCACCAAUACAGAUUGCAACUCUUAUAUGCUACAUCACAUCAUGUUGAAGGAAGAGGAUGACGUUCAUUGGCAGCAGAGCCUCCAAUCAUAAGGAGCUUGAGCAAAUUCAAUCUCAACACUGAAAUUCACUAGAAAAAAAGUUUAUUAUUGAUACUUCAUUUGUGUAAAAGCAUUAUAUUUCUUGCAUCAAUCGUAAAGCAUGACAUUCCAGUAGGUACGGAAGAGAAAAUUUGUUAUGAAUUGAAAAAUCUGUCAAGCUUAAUUUGGAGGGCCCAAAAUUGACACGUUUAAGAGCUCUAUCAUUAGCCCAAUGAUAAGAGUCCAUUUCUUGAGUUUCAAGGAAGGCCCAAGUUUAACUUAGAGGGCCCAAUCUUGGUACCUUCUAAAAGGUGCAAACUUUGGCCCAAUUAUAAAAGCUUAUCCUUGCUUCCUAAGCAUCAAUGAUAUAUUUGAUCGAAGUAUUCACAUAACUAUCACGAAAUGAAAUGAAAUGAAAAUGUAUAAGUAAAUGAUGAUUUUGAGUUAUUUACUGACAAUAAAGAAUUAGGUGGUGUUUGUUUUUUUUUUUUUGGCUUUUUACUAAAAGCAAUUUGUUUUCAGAAUUUAGGUUAUUUAUUUUUCUAUUUUUUCAUGACUUAUUAUAAACUUUUUACUAAAUAAGAAAAUCCAAAAUAUAUAGUUUUUUCUAAAUAGAAAAAAUAACAUAUUGGUUUUCUUUUUUUUUUACUUUUUAAUAUUUAAUAGAAAUAAAAUAUUAUAAAAACAAACAACCUAAUAUUUAACACUAUUAAGUAUUAAGGUUUUAUUUAGAAUUAAGUAAAAAAACAAACACUACCUUAAAAUGAAAAGUAUGUAUAAUGACCUUAUACAAAAAAAGUCUCAUUAUUUUCUUCCAAAGAACUCAUACUUUUGUUUUUCAACUAUUACUUUGUUUUUAUUUUUUAAAUAAUAUUUCAAGUUUUUUUUAAUAAUACCUUUCUCUUUAUUAGAUAAUUUUAAUGACUUUAAAAGUAUUUUAAUAUAUUAAUUUAUUAUAUAAUUUUAAUGAUUUAAAAAUAUUUAAAUGUUGAAAUAUUUAUUUUCAAGUCUAAUUUUAAUUAUUUAUUUUUUGAAGUAUUUAAAUAUAUAAUAAAUGUGGGAUUAUGUAAAUCUAGUUGUAAUUAUUUAUUUCAUUCUAUUCAUGUUUUUAGUUGAAUUUGCUCAAAAUUUACACCUCUUUAUUUAAAGAUCAUGGAUUAGUUAGGUGUCUUGAGAUUUUUUUUCUCUCAAGACACUACUUGUUACACUAGAAAAUAAUUUGUGGCUAUAUUUUUUAGGCAAAAAGAAUUAUAUGUUAAAACUUCCUUUAUUGACUAGUUUAUCAUAGGGUGUAGAGGAAAGUUUGUGAUGUCUUUUUAUGUCAACUUUGGGAGAAAAAUAUCACUUUAGCAUUUUCCUUAGAAAAUUUUCAUACAUAAUUGAUUUUGGAACUAUGGAGGAGCAUAAGUAGGGAUAGAUAAUUCGAUUUUGGAAAAAUUAUAAUAGCUUUUCAACUUGGUGUUAAUGAUAUAUUGUUUAUUUCUUAUUUUUUUUCCAUUUUAAUAUAUAAUUGGGGAUUUUAAACUUGUAGAACAAGGCUUUUUCAAUUGAAUUGACACGUACAUAUGAAAGUUCUCUUUGGUUGCUAAUCACAUUUUUUUUUCUUUUGCUUUUUGUUUUUAUCAUAAUGAAUAUUGAACUCGAAAUUCAGUUUUUAAAAUCUUAUGAUGUUUUAAAGUUUAUAAAUAUUAUUGAUUUUUAUAAAUGAUGUUAUUCAUAUCUUGGUAAAGACAAUAUUUUCAUAUCGGUCAAGAUGAUUAAUAACAUAUAAGUUCAUAAAGAAAAACCUAUUGAUUAAUGGAUAUUUAAUGAUUUUUAUUAGGAAUGUUUUUUAAUUAGUUUCAAUACUCAUCUUUUAGAGCAUACAUAUAGGGUUUUAGAUGCUACAUUGGUUUUCAGCUUGUGAUUUAAAUUAUUGAAGCAAAAAAUGAGGGUUUUGCUUUAUGGAACUAUCUAAAGGGAGGUGAAUUAGGCGGUCUUCCUUUUUAAAAUCCAAAAAUUAGAUUUUUAAUACUUAUAUUAGUUAUACAUGUGUUCAAUAAUUAAAACAAAGAACAAGUCCAUAAUUUACAUGUGAUGUGCAUGGAAAAACACCUACAAAUUCUCUCAAAUACUUUACAAAUGAAAAAAAAAUCAAGGAUCGAUCAAUCACAGAGCAACUUCACUAAAUAUGAAAACAUGACUAUACAAUUUUACUUGGAUGAGGUGCUACCUUCUCUUAAGGGUUUUUACACUAGCCAACAAUUACACUCACCUUCACUCUCACCAUGCACCUCUAUUGUGCUCCAUAGUAAACACUUUAAUGACUGUAGCAAGAUUGCGAUAAAUUACUGCGAUUAAUUUGAGAGUGUUGAUAAUGAACAAAAAAUAAUGAUAAUUAACUAGAGAGCAUAUGAUUUUGUAAAAACACCAAAAAGAGGCAUAGUUAUAAGUGAAAACUUUAAUGGAUUGGAUUGAAUAUAUAAUUGAAGUAUGAAUGAAAAAUUACCAAAACAAUGUUCAAAACCGUGCUAAUCAAAGCACAAUCACUUGAGUACUCUCAUGGGGCACUUGAAUGCUCCUUUUAAUCACCGUAAUGCUGAAAUUAAUAAUUUGUCUCAAAUUGUUUUUCCAAAACAUAAAGCAAAAUAUUAUAAAUUUAUAUAAUCAAACCCAAUUUCAUCUUAAAGCUAGCCUACUUAGUCUUAAUUCAUGUCCAAAAAUACUCAUACUUGUCAAAGAAUGAAUAUGGUAUAAACAAAUUCUUUAUUUUCAAUUAUAUUCAAUUAUUGAAAGAAUAAAUCGGUUUACAUACAUUUUGAACAAAGGUAUAUACACAUAGACUAAAUCAAGGAAAUGAGGAAAUCAAUCACAAUCAAAUCAAAAUCAAAUGAUAGGUUGAUAUCUAGGAGAAGGUUAAGUUAGAACCAACUCAUGUAUUCAAUAUUCCCCCUUAAGAUGGCAUAUGGAGAUCAUGAAUAUCAAACCUAGAAAGUAAGGGAUAUGAAAUAUCUAUACCAAGGGAUUUUAUGAAAUAUCAACCAAUUGUUGUUGUGAUUAAACAAAUUGAAUAAGAAUAAUUUCAUUUCGAAUCUUUUCAUAGAUCAAGUGACAAUCAAUUUCAACGUGUUUAUUCUGUUCAUGGAAAAUUAGAUUAAUAGCAAUGUAUAGAGUUGUAUUAUUGUCACAAUAUAGAUGCAUUGACCAAGGAUGAUGAACUCCAAAAUCUAUAAGUAAAUAUUGCAACCAAUGCAAGUAGUAAUCAUUAAAUAAUAUUUCACUUUUCUUCAUGAGUGUUAUAUCAUUGAUUGCUUUUUAGAUCUUCAAGAGAUUGAUAGGCCACCAAGUAAAAUACAAUACCCUAUAAUUGAACAUCAAGAUUAUGCACAAUAGGCAUGGAGGAAGGCAAAAGAAUUCCUUGACCUAGACGAUUUUUUAAAUAGUAUAACACUCAUGUACUUGUGAGAUAAUUGAGACUACAUUGGCUUGUCAAGAAUUUGAACAUAAUUAGCAAUAUUAAGCCCUAUCAUUAUGAGUCAAAGUAACUUCCCAAUCAAAUGCCUAUAAUAAGAAGCAUCCAACAAAGGUUCUCUAUCUAAUUUACUCAAUUCCAAAUUUUGUUUCCUAGGAGUUUUUAAAGUUACAUGUUCCAAGAAAACCAAAAUCUUUUAGUACUUCUAGAGCAUGUUUUCAAUAACUUAAAUAAAUCUCAUUCUUAAAAUAUGUCAUUUCAAUGAUGAUGAAGUACUUUAAUUUUCCAAUCUCUUAGUUAGUUUGAAAAUGCUAUAUAGGUUUUCCUUGACCACCUUAAUUCCUUUAAGAUCAUUCAUUGUAAUAAUUAUAUCAUAAAUGUAAACAAGAAUGAUUGUGAAAUAGUUAUUUGAGGCUUGAGCAAAUAAGAAGUAAUAUGUACGUCUUGGCUUGCUUGUAAACCAUAAACAUCAAUGUGAUAGAUAAUUUGGCAAACCAUCAACGUGAAGCUUGCUCAAGGCCAUAAAGGGAUUUUUUAACUUUGCAAAUCAUAUUUUUGGUUCUAGAUUUCCUACAAACUUGGUGGAAGCUGCAUGUAUACCUCUUUAUCUAAGUCUUCAUAAAGAAAAACAUCGUUGAUGUCAAGUUGGUGAAGAUGUCAAAUUCUAAUUAUACAAUAAUUAGGGGUGACAAUGUGUCUUAUCGUGUUGAGGUGAGAAAUAGUGAAAAUUUACUUAAUCCGACUAUGACCCGUUUGAUAAUCGUGUCAAAAUAACCUAACAUGAAUACAAUUAGUUUAUUUCAUGUAACAUGACCCUUUUAACAUGUUUAAUAAAUAUAUUAACUUGGAUUAUGUAUUAAUUGACAUGAAUAACUCAUUAACUUGAUUUCAACCCCUUAAACUCAUUAACACAAUUCCAACCCAAUAAACUCGUUAAUAUGAUUUAACUCAUUAAACUUGUUAAUAGGAUUAUAACCUCUUUAACCUAUUUAAAAUUUUAAAUUUAUAAAUAAUAAAAUACUUCUAGAAAGUUUAAUUUUUAAAAUUUGAACUAUAAUACAUGUAUGCACCAAUUUCAUGAAGUCCUGAAAAAUUAGCAAAAUUAUAGAAAAAUAAUAUAAACAAAAAUUUGUAUUAAAAUUAAUAAGUAUGGGCUACAAUAUUAGUCAUAGUACUGCUUAUUUCUGAAUGACUUUAUUAAAAAGCGAAGAAUACAUGUGUAGUUCUUAUGUGAUUUCUUAAACUUGUAAGGCGAUUUUAUAAAGUUUUUUUUUUCUUUGUGAAACCUCUUUUUCUAUGUGAAAUUGUUUUGCCGAUUUGAAAUCUUCAUUAAAGGAAGUUACUAUUAUUUAUAAUUGAAAUUAGAGAAUGAAAUGUGGAAUCCCCAUGAUUUAGUUGCUUAAUUCAAGGAAUUUGAUUAAUUGAUUUUGGUAACUUGUCUCAUAAAAUUUUCUAACAAGAAUAUUUAUUUUUAAUCUCUUUUAUUUCAAUUGGAAUAUUUGUUUCCUUUGUAAAUUUGUCAAUAGAAUAUUUAUUUAUUUAUUUAAUUCUCUUUUGACUACAAUGAGAAGAUUUGAUUUUGUUUGUAAGACUAAAUUUUAUAACCUUUCAAAUUUGGCCAAGUGACACCUUUUGAAUAUAUGUCACAUGUCAAAUGUGUGUGACUCAUUAGUUGUUGAACCUAAAUUUUCUUGAAUUAGAAAGCUAUACUUUUGAAGACUAAUUUAGUGAUAAUUUAAUUCAUUAAAUUUUUUUGGUGUCUACAGUAUAUUUAUAAUAUGAAAAGUAAAUUAAAAUUUUAAUUUUUUUACUUGUUUAUUAUUUUAUUUAUUAUUUAAUGAUAAAUAUUUUUAUUCUUUAUUGAAAUAUAUAAAAUUUUAAUUAAUAUUUUAAUUUUUUUAAUUUCUAUAUAUAAAAUAUAUAGAUUUAUAUGGUCUAAUUGAGUCAUUAAAAUAAAUAGGGUAAAUAACUCACACAUAAGUGAUGGAUCAUUCUAACAUGAUUAAAUUAACAAGUUAGAUGAAUUGAGUAGUCAAAUACAAACAUGAUUUGUUUAUUAAAUAAGUUAUAUGAAUUGAUACGAUUAUGACAUCAACUCAAUUAAACUUAACUCAAAUAAGCUUUGUCUUUUAUUUUAAGUUGUCUAGUUGUUCACACAAAUUUUCUCAAAAUAAAGAAAUUAUAUAUAAAAUUGUAAAUUUGAUUAUUUGAGGGGACCAUUUUCAAUACUCUUUUUUAAGUAAUCUGGUGUUUAAUUUUGAAUCAAAGGGGCUUUCAUUAACAAAUAAUAGACUGUAGUUUUCAUAUAAGAAGAAAUCUCAAGCCUUUUUUUCUUGAAGGAAUCUUUAAAUUUUCUUUGAUACUUUAAAAAAUCAAUCUUCUUUGAUUUUUUAAGAAAUCUUUGAAUUUUCUUAAAGUCUUCAAAAAAAAAAAAAAAAAAAAAACUGAGUUUAAGGAAUUUUUUUAAUAACUCUCCAAAUUUCUUUGAUAUUCCAAAGUGUCCUUUAGAAGGGGACAAAUCCUCUAUUUACAGGAUUGAGAGUUUUAUUUUAAUAUUAUCUCUUAAUUUUUAAGAAAUAACUCUCUUAUUUAUGAUAAUUACUAUUUAUUUUAUUUAUCAUAAUUAGUUGCCUAUGAUAAUUAUCAUAAUUAAUUUUUCUAGAGAUAAAUAAUUAUAUAUAUUUAAUUAAUCAUGAUAACUAUAAUAUUUAUUUAAUUUUUUAUUAAAUUAUUUUACAUAACAUAUCAAUAUAUAUUAUUAGUCAAUUAUUAACACCGAAAAUUAAUGAGUUGGCAUAAAAUUUAUCUCUCUAUAAUAGUAUCAAAGCGAGCCUUAAUAAUAACAUUGCUUAUAGUCAAUUUCACAUGCCAACUUUUUACUGGGCAUUGGCGAUUUCAAUUUUGAUAGUCCGGUUAGAAAAAGUAGGUAAAGAUUAUUUGAUGUGGUAGGUCAUUUCUUUCAUAAAGACGAUGGCGGUGAAUUCAUGAGACAGGUGAUAAAGGAGAGAUUCUUUCUUUUGGCUUUGGAAUUUUAAUGAGGUCCUCGAUCCUCAUCCAAAAUACACCUCUCCAAUUAUAAAAAUCUUAUUAAAAAAAAAAAGAUUUGACAUGUGCCUUUCGAACUGCUGGUUUUCUGUUCCAAAAAUGAGAAUGGUUUCAAGUGGAUGAAGGAAGGUGAAGAACCCUUGGUUUUGUUAAGCGAAAAGCCACAUGAUUAAAUAAACAUAAGGCGGCAAAGGCUGAAAAUUUAAAAUUAUACUAAGGAACCCACCCCACAGGGCGACUACACUUUUGGUGAAGCCACGAGAAUGAAAGAUAUCGAAGGUGACACCAAGACAUUAAGCAGCACCAAGGUUUCGAUAUAUUAUAAGAUGGGAUCUUAUGAAAGACGAUCUCUAAUCUCUCUCCAAUCUCUUCUUUAACCUUUUCUUACUUAAAUCCAUUUCCAUGGUAGGGCACAUGUCCAGCUGACCCUACCCCCUCACCUACCUAUACUGCUAUACCCUUUUGUAUAAUUUGAUAUGGAUUGGAAGCCACCCCAACAUCUUUCUAAUUGCUCGUAAAUGUUGAGGUGCCUUUCCAUUUUGAGGCUGCCCUAAUGUGUGGCUGAAGUACGUAGGAAAAAAAAAUUGUGAUACAUGCACUGACGAAUCAAAUCCCAAUGUCAAAUUAUUAGACUCACCUGGUUCUUAAAUUAUUGUGAAUGCCGCUGGCCAUGGAUAAAUGGAAUUAGUGCGUGGCUUAAUGAAAAUUUAUUUUGAAAGGGAUAUUAAUUUGAGAGAAUUUUGGCUGAUACUUGGAGUUGAACGUAAGCAUAUAUGACCUCAUUUCGGGUGUGAUAUUGUGCUUAUAACGAACCUUUCGUUCUUUCCAAUUCCAGUGGGUAUUAAAUAAUUAAAGAAUUCAUGGUUCGAAGGCGAAAGGUAGAAGACCAAAAAGGGAUUACAAAGCCAUCGGCUUGACCAUCCAGAUGCAAUGGAUACAAACUUUGGACUCUAUCGAAAGUUCUUUGGGCACGUGCCCAAGUGUCCUACCCAUAUGAUAAGUUACACGUGGCUAAUUGCGGACCGGUUGCUCGUGCUAAACAGGGUACUUUUUCUACGCAUAUAAGAUGUUUCACUAGUGGGGCUUCACCAUGCAAACUCAUGGAUGAAGACCCUGAGGCCAAGAUGAAGGAACAGAAAGAAGGCGGAGGAGAGGUUCGGUAUCGAGGCGUUCGGAGGCGGCCAUGGGGGAAGUUUGCUGCGGAGAUACGUGACUCGACUAGGCAUGGAGCGCGCGUCUGGCUCGGGACUUUCAAUUCUGCGGAGGAGGCUGCAAGAGCAUAUGACCGAGCUGCUUAUGCCAUGAGGGGUUCCUUGGCGAUUCUCAACUUCCCUAAUGAGUAUCAUACACCCGGCACGGCUAGCUCUUCAGCUUCAUCCUCAAUGCCCGAAGGUGAUCAGCAGGGAAAACAAGUCAUUGAAUUGGAGUACUUGGAUGAUAAGCUGCUAGAGGAUCUUCUCGACUCUGAAGACAAAAAGAACAAGAAAACCUGAAGUUUCUGCUGCCUCGAAUCCCCUGAAAUCUAGUGCUUCAUCGAAAAAAAAUCCCCUCGCUCCUGAUUAACAACAUUUUUAUUUUAGUCAAUGAAUGUGUUCUCGGAUCAUUAUAAGUAUUUCUGCCGAAGUCCAUUGAUUUUUGGAGACUGAAAAAUGUCAGAAAAAUUGGUGCGAACAGGUUUACUCCUUUCUAAAUUAUGCAAUUGAAGUAUUUGGAUUAGUGCGCAGUGUAAACAUCAAGGAAAGCAUGAUCCACUAUUUUAAGGAGCCUAAGUGCUUUCCCCUUUACUCUUUUAGGAUGUCUUUUCAGUGAAGAAAGUUGGGAGACCACCACUUACCCUUUUGAUUGGUAUAUAACUGCCAACUAAUAACUGGACUAACAUUUGGCCCGUCUGGCCCUACUUCUUUGACUUUGUUGUUAAUUUAUAACUUUAUGUGAAGUGGGGGCUGUUUGGGAAUGUGUGAAGCAAGGAUUUGAGCCGACUUCGCCUAAUCUGAUUCUCCAUAAGUGACUUCAUUUUAUCAUAUUGGUGUUUUUUUUCUUCUUCUUUUUAAAUGGCUGGGGAGGAGGGGAUUUGGGAGGGAUGCAAUGCCAUGGUUGCAUGCUGGAUUAUCCUUCCAAAUGAAACAUCCAUUUGGUUUCUAGUAACUAAUUGCAAACAAUUAAAGAGAAUAAAAUUUUAAGAUGAUUAAACAAUAAGUACCUAUGUCCAUGAAAAGGAGAGAAGUUCACUCAUGGGUGUUCAUGAAAGACAUCACAAAGAACCAUCAAUAUGAGAAGAAUCCUGAUACAAUUAACUUUCAUGCAUAAGAAAAGACGCUCAAAAAAGAAUAAUGCUUACAAGGAAAGAAUCUCACUACGAUCAACUGAAAAAAUAUUCCAAUUUAAUUGGAAAUCCUUACAUGGGAAGAAUAUCAAUAAAAUCAACUAAAAAAAUAUUUUAAUUUUAUAUCAAAAUAUUUGUGAUUUAACCCGUAUCAUUUCAUCAUGACUUCUUAUAAAUUUUGUUCCUUUUUAUCAACACCACCCCUUGAGUUGGAGCAUAAAUAUUUAUUAAGCUAACUUGAACAAGAUCUUGAGAAAUUUUGUCGCAGGAUUUGUUUGCACUUUUUUUUUUCAAAUAAAGUCAUAAUUAACUUUAAUAUGUUUAAUCAUUUCAUGAAAUACUAGAUUUUAAGCAAUGUUGAUAGCAUACUUAUGCCUGAAAGCUUUAUCCCAAAUCACAUGAGUACAUGAAGUGAUUGCAUCAUUAAUGGUAGUAUUAUUACUUUAUAUUCAACUUCUCCACUUGAUAGGAUGCAUGAAAGCAUUGUGCUUUCUUCUGUUUCAAGUAAUAAAGAUUAUCACCAAGAAAGGUGCAAUUAAUACCUAGUAACAGAGUACCUAGUGGUAGCAUGCACCUAUCCACUGAACUUGUACUCGACUCUAUGAGUGUACGUUACAUAGUCCUUUUUUCGAAGUCUAAAUGUCCCUUGAUAAAACCUUCUAAUAUUUGAGGUUUUGGUAACAUUCAUGUAUCAAUGAACAAAUUAAUUUACUAGCUAAACUUUAAAAUUAGGCAAUGUUUUUCAAUGGGUGAUCAAGAUCUUGGAAUUUUCAAUGUUGUUUGAAUAGCUUCCACACACAAGCAUAUUUUCUCCUAUUUAGGAAUAAUCCCUUUUUUGAAGGUGUGAUCUUUAUGCUCAAAAAAUAAAGAUACUCAAAAAUUUAAUAUUGACCUUCUCGUGAAGGAAAAGCUUUAUAACUAAUUUUUUUUGUGCAUUAUAUAUAUCCUCAAUAUAGACUUUAAAAAAAAAAGAAGUAACUCCCUCUACAAAGAGUGAAGAGUCAAUUAAACUUUUUUUUUUUUAAAAAAAAGGAACCAAUUACUCGUAAAAGUAAUGAUUAUUUUUACAUACCAAACUUGAGGAGAUUACUUAAGAUCACAAAAGUUUUUAUUAAAUUGCAAGCUAGAUGCAUUUGAAACGAUCGUUGAUGUCUUAGCAACACCUUAUGUAACUCAUCAAUCUUUAUGUAAAAAUGCAUUUUUAACACCCAUAUAAAAUAAUGAUCAAUCCUAAUUUAAUAGAAACAAAUGGUAAUACAUGAAUAUCAUUCAUAUUAAUGAGAAAAGUAAAUAUUGAUUUAUAAUCAACUUCUUAAGUUUGUGUCAAUGCCUUAAUCAUUAGUUUAACUUUGUCAUUCAAUGAUACCAUCAUUACGACAUUUAAUUAACUUAGAUUUGCGUAAAUCCCUUAAUCACUAGUCUAGCUUUAUGUCAUUCAAUGGUACCAUCAUUAUGGUAUUUAAUUGAUCUUAUACCCCCAAUUUGUAUACCCCAUGUUUUUCUUAAUUUACCAUACAUCACUUAACAAUGUUCCAUGCAUGGAUUUUGUUAAGUGCCUUAAGUUCCUUUUGCAUAGCCUUUCUCCAAAUUGGAUGAGGAUUGGCUUCAUUAAUGUCAUUAGACUCAUGAUAUAUGGAACUCAAACAAUUGUUAAGUGAUUUUGUAUAUAUAUAAAAAAAAAAUUGUAAUUAAUGUGGUAGGCAUAAAAAUCUCACAAAUGAGGAUUGAUUAAUUGUUAUAAUUGAGCAACAUGCUUGAGGCUUAGUCACAAUACUAGAACUUGAAGUCAGACAUUCUCUUCAAAUAAGGACGUAUAUACAUUAUAUUGGAUCUCCAUUAAACAAGUAAAGAACUAUUUAGUAGACAAUGAAACCUCAUUGAUCAAUGGUGGUAGAGAGACACAUGAUGACCAGACUAUUCCCCUGGAAAUGAGAAUAAAAAAUAUCAUUAGCCGCAAAAAUCUCAAAAAAAUUUAGAUAAUGGGAUAUAAAGAGUUUAUGAAUUUUACAAUCAUAACUCUUAUACUGGUUUAAGUGGUAGAGUAAUCAAGAACACAAAACGAGUUUGAUGAGUGGUUGAGAUAUGAACAAAGCAAAGAUUUCCAAAGACACCAAAAUCAGAAAUCUCAAUUUUUGGGCUAAGGAUUUCAAGAAGAAAUUUAAAAUUAACUACAUGACUAGAAAAUUUGUUCAUCAAGGAAAUAGAAGUAACGAUAUCAUAACAUCAUAAUUAAUCAAUAUUUUUAAUAACAUGCAUUUGGAACAUGAUAUACCGGCUUUCUAAUAAUCAAUGAUUUUUGGUUCAACCACACCAUUUUGUUUUGGGAUGCCAAUACAACAAGUUUAACGAANNNNNNNNNNNNNNNNNNNNNNNNNNNNNNNNNNNNNNNNNNNNNNNNNNNNNNNNNNNNNNNNNNNNNNNNNNNNNNNNNNNNNNNNNNNNNNNNNNNNAUGUAAGUGCCAAAUUAGGUAGUGUCGACAAUGAAAUGGAAAUUUUGGAAUAUAGAAACAACCUCAUUUUUAUGUUCUAAUAAGUAAACCUAUGUAGCAUAAGAAUAGUCAUUAAAAAAAAAGGUAACAAAAUGUUGAUUUCCAUCCUAUGGAUCAAUUAGGACACAACCCCAAGGUAAACUAAUUUGAAAGUUGCAACAAAAAUGGAAAGAGAUGAAAAAAUAAUAGAGGAAUUUAAGGUUGUUUCAAAAUUUCAAGACAUGCUAAGAAACACAUGAGAUUAUAGAUGAUUAGGUAACAACCUUGGUUAAGUAUAUUCAACAUAUAUAUCCCACGAGGAUAAAUAUCUUCACUAAACUUUUCCUAUUAUUCAAUCCCCUAAUACCAUACAAGUGAAAAAUUAAUGUCACGGUCAAAAAUUUUAAUAAGCUUCCAAAGAGAUAAUAAUUUUGGGGAAAAAAACAACCUAAGAAACCUAUGAAUUGAGAUAAUUUAGGAAAAAACUAAAUGUUCGUUAGCUCUAGAAGGGAAUUGAAGCUCAUCAUCAAUAAAGAUUGUUGCUAUCUCGAAUAAUAUCAAGUAAACCAUUAAGAUCGCUAUUAAUGGUAUGAUUAGCAGCACCAAUUAUCGACAAAAAAAUUAUUAAAAAUAUAAGAAAUGAGAGCUUUAAGAUUAUCUAAUUGAUUUGUAAACCUAGGUAAGUGAAUCAGUAUUACGUUUUGUUAAGGAAGCUUAGAUCCAAUUGGUAUCAUUCACCAAGUUAUUGGAUUAAAUUACACUAUCAAACUUUGGCUUUAAAUGAGAAUGAAGAAUCUAACCACAAUCCUUAUUGGGAUUAGAUAUGUUAUUGCAAUAAUGUUUACAAUCGGAUGAGUGCUAAUUUCUAUUGAAAUCAUGAAGCAAUCUCUGAUCAUUGGUCUUCUUUGUAGAAACAUGAGCAUUGAAUUUAAAAUUAAUAAUUGUUACUUGGGAUUCAACCUUCAUAAUCAUUGCCUGGGUUUCCUAAUCACUUUCAAGAAUUACUUAUAUAGUGAAGGCACUCGAAACUAAUCAAAUUUGUCCUCUUAUAAAGUUGUCAUAUUCAAGCUUCAGAAUAGCCAAUAAUUGAAAAACUUAUCAUACUCCGCAAUUUGUUGAAGAAUAUUUGGGUCUAUUGAAGGGGACAAUAUAGGGAAUAUUUGUCCCAUAUGCUCAAAAUGUUCAAUUAACAAAGUGUUCUGUAUGUUUAGGGAUUUGUUAGCUUUAAUUACACAAAACAUUAGCAGUUUUAGAGAAAAUUAAUUUUUUUUUGCAAUCUUAGGUUCCAUGAAAUUAAAAAGCCAAUAACAAGUCAAUAUGGCUUGAGACCCAGUCAUCAUAUUCAAAGUCAUCCAACUUAGAAGCAUUCAUUUUGCCACUAACAUGUGCUAAUUUCCAUUUUCUAUCUUUCAAGAGAAAAAGACUGCUCUUAACCAUGGCAAAUAAUUGAACCCAUUAAGAAGAUUGAGGAAAGUAUCAUAUGAGGGUUGUCAUUUUCCUCCAUGACAAAGAAAAAGCAACAGAGAAAAACUCAUAAUAUUAGAAAGAGAAUGAAAGAAAUUGAGUCAUAGAUACACACAGAAGAAUCCAAAAAUAAAGCAAUAAUACAACCACAAAUAUGAGAAGAAGCUCAAUUACAAAGAAAGGAACUCAAUACAAUCAACUAAAAAGCGUUCCGAAGUUCAUACGAAAAUAUUCAUAAUGUGAAGAUCAUUUCAUGAUUCCUACAAUUUCUUCCUUCUACCAGUCCACUCCAUACAAGGUUUGAUCAACAACUUCUUCAUUGAUUUUCUGGUCUCUCUCCGGUGUAUCAUAGAGCAUUUUUGACAUGUUUCUGCAAGAUACACUUGUUAACUUUAAGCGACAUAAGUGCAAAAAAAUAAGAUCAUGUUGUAUUGCCUGUGCUUCCACUCUGCCUUGUUUAGUACUAUUAUGGAGCAGUACUUCCAUAUAGAACCAGUGAUCUCCAGUUCAUUAUGUUGCCUUCUUUAAACUAACUUUAAUUAUCUAUACAUAUAAAACAAAGUGGUCCCAUCAAGGGGCUAAAUCAAGAAUCAAGUGGGGCGAACAGGAAACAGUGGCAUCAAUUUUUAAGUCCAUAAGCUUUAAUAAAAGGAAUAAAACCAAGGAUAUGAAUAUGUUAUUUUUUCAUUUGUUCAUGCACUGGAAGAUCUUUCCUCUUCAAGCAUUGAACCAGCAUCCUUCUGUGCAAGUUGCUGUCGGAACCUUCUAUAAUUGUCAGAAGUCUGUUUCUGAAAUAUACAGAUAAAACUUUUAGCAAGUCUUGACAUUGCUCAUCACUAGGACAUUGUACUAGGAUACCAAUUCAUCUAAUUAGGGUUAAGUUGGCAUCUCGUACACUAUUUUUUAUUUUUCCUUCAUCUUUUGUUCCCAUUUGCAGUGGAAGUGGCACUUAGAAUAUCUGAUCAUGAAGAAUUAGCUUUCGGUGAGAUGAUACUAGGUCAAUUGCCAUUAUCUUUUUGAGUUACUGUGCGAGCAAUCUUGAAAAUAUUUUGGGAUAAAUAGAAUUUGUGCUUAUCAUAAACAUGCUAAACAUCCAAAUCAAGUGCUUUUACUAUUGAUAUCAAAUCAGUAAUUGAUUUUAACCUUUAUGCUUAUCUUUCAGAUUCUCAAUUAUGUAUCUUGAAUAAUGAUAUUAAGCAGAAAUCAUGAAUUGAAUUGCUUUAAUUAACUGUGCCUUAUCAAGCUUGUCAGCAGUGCUAUUGCUACCGCGAAUCAAAUUCGCUGUGCUUCCCGCCUUCUCCAAAUAAGCCACAAGCCCAAUUAUAUCCGCCCUCCUCCCAUCUCCAAGGGAUCAAAAAAUAAAAUGACUUCAAUCAAUUUUCAAGUUUUCCAUCUUGAUCAGUAGACCACCCGGCAUGAAUGUUACCCUCAGUUUAGGAAUAGGAAUUCCUUUUACUAAUCAUUUGGCACUAAAAACUAUGACCCCUAGCAAUUCAUUCCCUCCAUUAGAUAUCUGGGGGCAUCUUGGCUCAGCCAAAAAUGAUAAGUCAUUGCAUUUCACAUUGCAUUCAUUUGUAUUAAUGAGCUAAUUUUUUUUCACAGAAUGUGAUGUGAAUCGAAUUACUUCCAACCAUGUGUCUCUAUAAGGGUUUAACAAAUGUAAUUUGCAUUGUCUGUACACUUUUUUUUCGGUUUCUUUUCUUUUUUAUGCAUGAUUCAUUAGUCCACGGAUCUUCUAUGCAAAGUGUGCAGGCCAAACACCUCCUUCAAUGCAUUAUUCUAGAAGUUAAGACUCAGUUUACUCCUUAAUUGAUCUGUUCCAUUUACUUCAAAUCAUUUGAUUACAUUAAAUGAAUCUUGAAAUUCAAAAAUGCAUCAAAGUUAAAAGACCUUCCAAUGCAUUAAGAAAUCAUCUGAUACAAAUAUAUGUGAACCUGCAACAACAAUAAUGUCAAAAUGGAAAACUUAGGUAGAAAAUAUUAGAACGGAAACUUACGACGAACUCAAUUUUUGGCGCCUUUCUUCUUCUCAUCUUCUGAUCCAAGAAGCUCUUCCAACACCGUGUCAUCCAAACACUCGAACUCAAUGACUUGCUUUUCUUGCCCAGAAGAGGAACCUCCCAUCUCUAAACUCCUACAAGGCCCAGAAGAUGACGAGGAAGACGAUGAGGAUGGUGAUGGUGGGGGGCGAUGGGAGCCCAUGAUUUCAGAAUAGUACUCAUUAGGAAAGUUAAGAAUGGCAAGAUGACCCCUUAAGUUAAAGGCCGCUCGAUCAUAGGCGCGAGCUGCAUCCUCCGCCCUGUCAAAUGUGCCUAGCCAUAGACGAGCACCUUGCCUAGACGGAUCCCUAAUCUCGGCUGCAAACUUCCCCCAUGGCCUCCUCCUCACCCCUCGGUAUCGAACUUCUUCCUUUUCCUUCCCUUCCUGCUCCUGCUUCUCAUUCCCUUUCGAAUGAUCUUCCAUGCUAAACGUGUCGAUUUGCUAGGCGCAAUUUUUUUGGUUUCAAAUGUGCUGGUUUACGAGAGGCAUGGAUGCUUAUGUAUAUAUAUGGUUGCCACAGUCAGGUCUGACGUCACCGCUCAAUGUAUGUUCCACAGCGUGGGUUGACGAGCUUUCUGAGGGGGUUUCCUCGAAUUCAAAGCAAGUAUAAAAAUUCGAUUCUCCGACCUUUCCAAUGAGGAUCGAACAGGCCUUUUAUUAGAACCGUAUGAUAACUCCACACUGUUUUCAAAUAGUCAAUGUGAUCUAGAUUCUUCGUUAAUUUUUUCCACCUGACUGAUUGUUUACAAUUUUAUUUUUCACCGUCCCAAAUUUAAACCAUUUACGCGAUUCCCUGGAUUGCAUUUUUCUUUAAUGUUGACUUUACGAGGCAAUAGGACCCCCCAGCAACCCCACUAGGGCGACUUCAUGGGAACCAGAUUACUUUUGGAUCCAGAUAUGGUCCAGAAGAAAUAAGACAAAUCAAUUAAUGUCCACUAAAGUUUUGAUGGAACCCUUAGUCCGUGUUUCCUGUGGAUGUAUGUAUUGUAUGCACCUCAAUUUUCACCAAUCCCUGCUACGAGUCCCUUUAAUUUUGACGUUAUAAAUGUUUUUCCUGACAUUAGCAGAGUGUUUUUCUGCCGUCUUUGAGGACCUUCCACGGCCCAUAAACUAAUAAGGAUCGUCCAGUGAAUUUAGUCUUCCCCAGUUAAUUAUCCUGCGAGGGAAACUUGGGCAGUAAGUUGCCUACAUGAGUGGCUCCCGCCUACAUGAGUCAAGGGACCAUACGUCAGGACGACAACCAGUGUGGUCACACCAAAGUGGGUUGCCUGGACUCCAGGGUGGUCGCUUCAAAGUUGUCAAAUGAAGGCUAGCUUGGCAAGUUUUGGAAAACAAUUAUUGAAAAACAUUUUUCAUGAAUAACAGUUUCUAUGAACAGAUUUUAAGAAAGUUUAUUUUGUGAUUUUUAGGAAUAUUUUUAAUUUAAAUUUUUAUAUUUUUAAUUUUUUAUUAAUUUAUUGAUUAUUUAAUAUUAGCUUAAUUAAUGGAUUUUUCUUGGUCCCAAAUUAUUAAUUUAUCAAGAUUUAAUCGCAUCCAUAAUUAGUCUAAUUUCUUUUGGAGUGAGUGUGACAAAGUGCAAAUUUCUAGAGUUUUAUUAAUGUUAUUCAAUGUCAUAAUUUAACUAAUUAUAUUAAUUAUUUAUUAAUCAAAAUAAAUCAUUCACUUGAAAUAUGAUAAUUUAAAUUAAAAGUUUCAAUUAUUUAUUAAUUAGCAAAGUAUGAACUUUUCUUCUUGUUUUAUUAUUGUUAUUCCAUGUAUAUAAUUUAAUUAACUGUUUCCAAUAUUAAUCAAUAAAAAUAGAAUAUAAGCAUGAGAAGAAUUAGUAAAAUUCAUUGAUUUGGAAUUAGAUAGCUAGAGGAAGAACUUCAUCAUCUUCCCAUUACUUAAAUUUGUAUAAAUUCUAAAUAUUUAAACCCCCCCCCCCCCCCCCCCCCCCAAAAAAAAAAAAAAUGGUAAAGAAAGACUCCCCAAGCUUUCUUGGUUGGUGUUACCCUAAAAUUUGUACAAUAAGAUGAACCAUUUGGCUUAAAGCUUGGUGCGAAACCCCUUAUCAAUUGAAAAUAUCAAUGAAGUUGUUGAAUGGUUUUAGAGGACUAUUCUUAUGCAGAGUGGCAUAAGAAGCGAGGAGAUGAAGAGCGGAGAGACGUUAACAUCGGAUGCUGCUACGAAGGUGGGAAUACGGUUAAUUAAUUAGAUUUUGUGAUGGCUUUGAGUUUGAAGGAGUUAGUUUAAUGGGUAUUAUUAGUGAACUGAUAAUUGGAUUUGAUGUAAAGAAGGUUGGUCCAUUGGAUUAGCAAUUGGUUUGGCCUUUUGGGGGCCCCAUUUCCAAAUGCAUUGCCUUUUACAAGCAUUCAACAUCGCUGGACGUAACCAGGCUUGGUUCACCUAAAAGUAUCGCAUGGAUUGAAUUGACUAAGUUUUCAUUGUAGACUAGCCUUGAUUUUCCCUUGACCUGCCCACCAAAUCCUGAUGCCCACGCGAGGGAAUACCUCAAUUUUCUAAUAAUUUAUGCAGUUUCUCUUCAAAGCUCGUGUGAUCACUUGGGUCGGUAAAAUAAUGCAUUCCUCUACUUUUUCUCCCUUCCUAGAUGCAUGUUAUACCAUUAAUUCAAAUGUGAACAUGGGCUUGGCUUUGAAACUUGGUUCAAGGCCCAACAUGUUGACCCACAAUUGAGGUGUAAUUGAAUUUGUACACUUUUCGACUUUGAUACCAUUUGUCAUUACCAUUGACAUUGGGUCAUUGUUGAUUUUGAGUCCACAACUUUUAAGGUUGUUAUUACAAUUUUAAAUUGCGCCCACCCAAUUUAUAUGCAUUAUCCCUUAUAAAUACCGAUAACCUCUCUUUCUUCGAUAAUAUAAAAUGUCACAUAUAUUAUAUAUCUCAAUGUUUUCUUUUACUUUUUUUUUUUUUAUCGAUCGACAUUCUCUCUCAGAUGAUAUGAGAUGUCACAUAUAUUAUAUGUUUCAAUGUUUCUUUUACUUUUUCUCUUUUUCCUCAUGAUUGACAUUGUCUUUCUCAAAUGAUAUGAGUUGUCACAUAUAUUUUAUGUCUCAAUGUUUUCUUUAACUUUUUUUCUCUCUUCUUUAAUGAUCGACGUUCCUUUUCUCAGAUGAUAUGAAAUGUCAUAUAUAUUAUAUGGCUUAAUGUUUUCUUUUACUUAUUCUUUCUUUAUUAAUAAUCGACAUUUUAAGCAAUAUGUGAAUAUAAAGCAUUAAAAUUAUCUCCAUCGUUUUUGGAUGUGGUAUAAAUACACAAUUCUUAUUUUUGUUUUAAAUAUUUCUAUUGCUAUCUAUUGAAAUUUUAUGCAUGAAGCUACCAAGUUAAUUAUACAUAUAUCUUAAGAUUUUUUUUUUUUUUUUUUAUAGGAUAUAUUGUCCAUGAAUAUUUUCUGCAAUGGUAUCUUGUUUGAUUACUAUAAGAAAUAAUAUAUAUAUAUAUAUAUAUAUAUAUAUAUAUAUAUAUAUAUAUAUAUAUAUAUAUUAUAUUUCAAUGUUUCAUAUUUGCUUAAAAUAAAAAUUAUAUUUUAUCACAAUAUUUGGUAUUAAAAAAAAUGAAAUCUCUCUCAUUUAUUAUUACAAAAAAAUUAUAAUUUAUAAUUUUCUAAAUAAGUUUUAUUUAUUUGCUAACUAUAUUCAUGAUUAAAAGAUUUAAAAUUUAUAAAUAAAAAAUAUUAUGUCAUGUCAUUAAAUAAAUAAAAAUAUAUGUAUAUAUUAAAAUUAUGUUUUAUUGUAGCUUUUAAUAUUUUUUUUUUUAUUCUUUUCUUUUUUGAACUACAAUUUUAAUUUUUUUUAAUCAAAAUUUUUUAAUUUACAAAACGAGUAACAUAAAACUUGCCUUUGAACUUUAUUGGAAUGUUAUAUACUACCAUUUGGCUUUCAAGACAUUAGAAAAGGCAUAAGUGUCCCUUUUAUUUUUCCGAAAGGCAUAUUAGACUAUAGUAGGAAGUGUUGUAUAGAGGCAACUAAAAGUUGCCUUUAACUUUAUGAAGUCAUAUACUCCUCUUUGGCUUUGAUGACAUCAACUAGCAAAUUGGAUUUUGUUUCCUUUGCAACAUUUUUCCAUCCAUUAGCCAGUUUUUUUAUACUGUUUGGUGCUUGCCAACAUGGCACACACUAUGGUUCUUAAAAAGUAUUUUUUUUUUUAAGAUACUACGAAAUAAAAUACACGAUUGAAAGAUGAGUCACAAUAAUUUUCAAAACUAAAUUUUUUAAUAUUGUUAAGAAAAUUUGACCACCAAAUGAUUGAUUUUAAAUUACAAAUACUUUUGUUAGCUAAGAAAUUUGUUGUUCUAUUUGUUUCCCUAUAAAUAUGACAACAAUCAUAAAUAUUUUCAUUUUAAGAUAAUUUUCAAAUAUCUUCCAUUAAUAAUAUAAUAGAAUUAGGAAUUUUUUUUUUAGUUAUAACAAUCUAUAAUUAUUUAAGAGUCUUCCUCAAUCUCUAGGUUUAAGAACUUAUUGUUCUUAACAACUAACAUGUCAUCUCUUAAAAUAAUACAUUCUGCAAUAAUUAUUGAAAUAUGAUAUAAUAUAUAUAUCUACUUACAACCAUUUUUGUAGUACCAUUAGAAUUUUUAAUUACCCAUUCUAAAGUAUUUUUAUUCUCUAUUCUUAAACCAUCAAAAUUUAAUUUAAAUCUUUCAUUAAUUGGAUAAAUCCAAUGAAUCUAACAAGUUAAAGGAUUAUGAAUCCGACAAAACAGUUGAUAAUAAAUUAAUAAUGCCAUUAAUAUGAUUUUAAUGUGAAACACAAUUAUCACAUUUAAUACAGUUAGUCCUUGUAUGAUUAAUGUUUUGGAAGCUAAAAUCAAUCUUUUGACUAUAAUAAGAGUUUCUACUAUUUCUAUUUUUGGAUGAUUUUAUAUUUUUCUUAUUGUUUUAGUUUAAUACAAAAAAUAAAAAUAAAAUUACAUUAGUAGAAUUUUUUUAACUUACUCAAAAACCUAUUUUAGUUGAAUGAUUUUUUUAAAAAAAAUAUAAAUAUUUUGUUAAAAGGGAUAAAAUAACCUUACCUUGUGAAAAAGACCUCUUCACCCAAGAUUACUUGUUCAUAAUCCUUUUAAGACGAAAAUGCCCCCUUCCUAAAAAAUAUUUCAUCUUAAACUUAUUUUUCUUUUUAUUGCCCUUUGUUCCAUCCUUCCGGCUUGGGAGAGAAAUUCAUUCUUCUUUUGCGAAGAAAAAUUCCUAUUGCGAUUUUUCAUUUCAAGUGGAAAAAAAAAUUCUUAUUUCAUUUUAAAGAAAUUGUACAUUUUCAAUCUUUCUCUUUGUUCCUAGUUGAGGGUUUUUUUUGUAAUUUUAUCUUAACACUACAAAUUUAAAGGUGAGAUUAAAUCUUAAUGGUUAUUAGUUAAAUCACAUAUCUAACUUUGUUUUUGUCAGGACCUAUAAUAUGAUUGGAACCACCAUCCAAACUUCAUUAGGUGGGAUACUCCCCACCCUCCCCCUCCCCCCGCGAAAUCCUUGGAUUUUAGUUUUGACUUGGAUUUCAAUUGCCCGUAUCAAUUUUUCUUUAUUUAUUAAUUUAUUAAUUUUCAACUUUAACAAAAGCCUUGAAUCAUAUUUAAAUUCAAAUAACUUAAUCCUAAUUAAGUUCUUUUUAAAUAAAAAUUAAUCAUUGAAAAGUUCAUGUGACUAUUAUAAUUGAGAAUUUAUCCCAAGUUGGGUUUUUUGCAAAUAAAAUUUUAUUAUAGGACAUCAUGAUGCAACAUAACAUAAGGUUGUUACUUAAGUUUGUUUUGACCUUGUAAUAUGUUAAAAUGAAAAUGAAGCCAUUGUAACAGGAGAGAAUGAUGAAGCUGUGGAGAGAGCUUAACAAAGCUUGGGUUGGAGAGACUUCACAGGAAGAGAGAGAGAGAAAUAAAGGGUAAAAUUAUCAAAAGAGAAAAGAAAAAAAAAAAAAAAAAAGAAGGUUAUGUCUUCAAAUAAUCAAUAAGAGAUGUCAUUUUUCUAAUUUUCAAAGUUCUUUUGGUCCUUCUCUACAAAUAUCCCUAUAAAAAUAUUAUAAUAUCAAGUUAAUUUGUCAAUACCAAAAUUUAUAUUUUAUAUUAGGGCGACUAAAUAACAUAUAGAAAGAAUUUUAAAUGAGUAAAUCAAAUCAAUUUUGAAACCAAAACUUAAUAAUUACCAAACUUGUAAUCUUAGUCAUUAAAAGUGUACGAUGAAAUCUAAAUUAUUAAGCAAUGAAACAAAAAAUUAAGAUUAAAAUACAAAACGUUAAAAUCAAGAUACAAACUAUUAAAAUGUAAGUGGGAUAUGAGAUGAUAUUAUAAAAAAUAGUGUGAUCCAACAAAAAGUCUAGUACAUCAUUAUCUUCACUUCCAACCAUGUUUAAAAGGUCACAAGUUCUAGCGGUUUCCAAGGACAAUGUUAAAAAUAAUAAAAAUAAAUCCAAUUAAAUAUUAAUUAAUUUAUUUGAAUUUGAGUCCGACAAAAUAGUUGGUAAUAAGUUAAUAAUGCCAUUAAUAUGAUUUUAAUGUGAAACACAAUUAUCACAUUUAAUACCCGUUAGUCCUUGUAUGAUUAACUUUUUAGAAAUUAAUAUCAAUCUUUUGAUUAUAAUAAGAGUUUCUACUAUUUAUAUUUUUGGAUGAUUUUAUAUUUUUCUUAUUGUUUUAGUUUAAUACAAAAAAAUAAAAAUAAAAUUACAUUAGUAGAAUUUUUUUUAACUUAUUCAAAAAACCUAUUGUAAGGUGAAUGGUUUUUUUAUUUUUUUUUUAAAUAUAAAUAUUUUCUUAAAAGGGAUAAAAUAACCUUACCUUGUGAAAAAAGGCCUCUUCACCCAAAUUUACUUGUGCAUAAUCCUUUUCAGACGAAAAUGCCCCCUUCCUAAAAAAUAUUUCAUCUUAAACUUAUUUUUCAUUUUUAUAACCCUUUGUUCCAUCCUUAUGAUUUGGGAGAGGAAGUCAUUCUUCUCUUGUGAAGAAAAAAUUCCUACUGCCAUUUUUCAUUUCAAGUGAAGAAAAAUAUUUAUAUUUCAUUUUAAACAAAUUGUACAUUUUCAAUCUCUCUUUGUUCCUAGUUGAGGUUUUUUUUUUUUUUUUUUUUUUUUGUAAUUUUAUCUUAAUUGUACAAAUUCGAAGAUGAGAUUAAAUCUAUAAUGGUUAUUGGUUAAAUCACUUAUCUAACUUUGUUCUUGACAGAUCGUAUAAUAUGAUUGGAACCACCAUCCUAACUUUAUUAGGUGGGAUCCCUUUUUUUUUUUCCCCAAACCCUUGGAUUUUAGUUUUGACUUAUAUUUCAAUUGUCUGUAUCACUUUUUCUUUAUUUAUUAAUUUUCAACAAGUUCUUUAACAAAAGCCUUGAAUCAUAUUUAAAUUCAAAUAACUUAAUCCCCAUUAAGUUCUUUUUAAAUGAAACUUAAUCAUGUGAAAGUUCAUGUGACUAUUAUAAUUGAGAAUUUAUUCUUAGUUGGGUUUUUUGUAAAUAAAAUUUAGUUAUAGGACUGUGAUGAUCCGUUCUCAACCGUAUAAAUAUUGUUCGUUUUGAAUUCAAAAUAACUUUUACGGCUUUAAAACAUGUUUACAAGAUUAAGAGGAGUCCAUAUUUAUAUAGCUUCACGAACUUUCCCCCCUAUUCGAUGUGGGAUGUCACAAGGACAUCAUGAUGCAACGUAUAACAUAAGAUUGUUUCUUAAGUUUGUCUAACCUUGUAAUGUGUUAAAAUGAAGAUGAAGCCAUUAUAACAGAAGAGAAUGAUGAAGUUGUAGAGAGAGCUUAACAAAGCUUGGGUUGGAGAGACUUCAUAGGAAGAGAGAGAGAGAGAGAGAGAGAAAUAAAGGGUAAAAUUAUCAAAAAAGAAAAAAGAAAAAAAAGAGGGUGAUGUCUCCAAAUAAUCAAUAAGAGAUGUCAUUUUUCUAAUUUCAAAGUUCUUCUGGCCCUUCUCUACAAAUAUCCCUAUAAAAACAUUAUAAUAUCAAGUUAAUUUGUUGAUACCAAAAUUUAUAUAUUAUAUUAGGAUGACUAAAUAACAUAUAGAAAGAAUUUUAAAUGAGUAAAUCAAAUCAAUUUUGAAAUCAAAACUUAAUACCUACCAAACUUGUAAUCUUAGUCAUUUAAAGUGUUCCAUGAAAUCUAAAUUAUUAAGCAGUGAAACAAAAAAUAUAAGAUUAAAAUACAAAACGUUGAAAUCAAGAUUCAAACUAUUAAAACGUAAGUGGAGACGUAAGAUGAUGUCAUAAAAAAUAGUGGGAUCCAACAAAAAGUCUAUUAAUCAUUAUCUUCACUUCCAAUCAUGUUUAAAAGGUCACAAGUUCUAGCGGCUUUCAAGGACGAUGUUAAAAAUAAUAAAAAUAAAUCCAAUUAAAUAUUAAUUAAUUUAUUUGAACAAUAGAUAGGACCAAAAUAAUAUUCUAAAAGGAAUCAUAGGGAAGUCCUUGGACAACCUACGACAUUGAACAAAGGUACAGUGAGACAAUGCACUUAGCCCUUCCUUGUCAUUGCGAUGAAUAUAAAAAGACACCCUGAUUGAGGGUGCCCCACUAAGCCAAGAGUGAUUCUUUUGUAUUGUAUAACGUGAAUAUUUUUGAACUUUGAAUGACCCUUCCUAUAGUCAUCAUUGUCAAAACUAGAAAAUCAGAAAGAUGCGAUGUACGAAGGCACCAUUGAAUAAGAGGCUUAAUUCUCUUUGGCAAUUAGGAUAAAGUUUCAAAAUAGAAAAAUUAAACAAAUGUACAGUGUACGGACACUUGGGCAUUGCCUAUUUGUUUUGUUCUUCUAGAGUUGUAUAUGGUAAAGGUCAUAUUGGGUUGGUUCUAUUUGGUUAUUGAAGUCGGCUAGAAUAUUAGAUUUGGUUUCAAUCUAAUCCCAUAUGAUAUUAGAAUACCAGCCCAUACAGAAUUUUUGACCAAAUAUAAUAUUUCUUUUAAAUAUAAAUAUAGUAAUUAAUUUUAGUCUAAGAUUAAUUAUGUAGUUUCCUAAAGAGACCACUUCCUAAACGGUAGCUAUGUGGAAGUUGGGCCAGGUCCUGCCGAGAAGGUUUCCACGAGCUGAGCCCAAAACUGAGUAGCUGUGAUGGGAUCAUUCUAGCAUUCAGCCUGAAACUUGUAACAUAACGGAUCGAGAGGCCUGAACUCCAAGACCAUGGUUCGUCAGCCCAUUAACUUCAACAGCACGCAUUUUAGAGGACUGGGCUUGCAAGGGGUGAGGUUUCCGGGCCGCGACCCCAAAUAUGAACAGCCUCAGAAGUGAUAUUGCUUACUGGCACGUGAAGAGCGCAAGCGUAACUAGAAGAUUUGUAAUGCCGCUUUAAUUGUUUGAUUAUAGAAUCCCACGCAUUACGCAUGGAAAGUGUAAAAGAUAAAAGAUGUAGAAUUUUUUCUUAGAGAAAAGUUCGUUUGGAUAUAGUUAUUGUUUUUUUUUUAAAUAAUAAUUGUUUUUUUUAUAAAUUAUAGAUAAUCUUAGAAAUUUAUCUUUAAAAAAAUAGUUUUUAAAAAUAUUUAAGGAGAAUAAAAGUGAUAAAAAAAAACUUUACAAUUUCAAAUUUUUAAAAAAUGAAAAUUAUUUUUAAGAAUAUAAGUUAAUCUCCUGCAUUUAAAUCUUAGGUGGUUUUUGUUUUUUUUACUUUUCGCUGAAAACAAUUUGUUUUCAAAAUUUAGGUCAUUUGUUUUUUCUAUUUUUUCAUGAUUUAUUAUAAAUUUUUUACUAAAUAAAAAAAAUCAAAAUAUGUAACUUUUUCUAAAUAAAAAAAAUAACGUAUUGAUUUUUCUUUACUUUUUAAUACUUAAUAGAUAUAAAAUACUACAAAAACAAAAAAUCUAAUAUUUAACACUAUUAAGCAUUAAAGUUCUAUUUAGAAUUAAGUAAAAAAACAAACACCACCUUAUAUUUUAUAUAAAAGUUACUUAUAUUUUGGUUUUUGGAAAUAAAAAAUAUAAAGCAUAUCCAAACAUGAGCUUAGCUAUUUUAAAUCAUAUCAAAAUAAUAAUCCCAAUAAGGUAAAUGGACUUUUAUACGGAGAAUAAUCUUUAAGGUUUUCAUUUUUAUUGGAUUUUUUUUUUGUGGUGUUUUUUCAAUCCAUCUUCUCAAUUAAUUCCUUAAAAUUAUUUUACUGUUUUUUUUUUUUUCAGUUUCUAAAUAUUUGAUUUUUCCAAAAUGCUUAAAUGGAAGACACUAAUUUUUCAAGAUAUUUGGUAUUACAAUUUUCCCUGUUCUCCCUAUUAUCUAUCAGAUUCAUGGCCCUUUUGUUUUUUCAUUGGUUUUCAAUUUAAUUUUCCAAAUAUUACAUUGUUGUGUUUUGAAUUUGUGAAACCAAUUUUAUAUAUAUAUAUAGUAUGUAAGUCUACUUUGGGUAACAUGUACAGAGAGGUUUUCAUGUGUUUGAAACCUUUUACCUCAAAAAUUAAUUAUUUUUAAUUUUAUAAUAAAUCUUUUUUUAUUUUUUAUUUUAUUUAGGAAAGCCUAUAUUUAAACUACAUGUUUGCAACGCAACACCAUACAUACUCCUAGUGGAACUUACCUUAGUGCUUGAGGGGGAUGCAGAUCUUCUUCUAAACCUAACUAAUAAGCAUAAAAUUGUUCACUAAUUAGCAUAUCUAGUAAAUCAUACAAAUUGGCAAUAUUUCAUGUUUUUCAUGUUUUGUCAAUAAAAGGCGUCUUGACCAUUUUGUGAGUUUUGUAAUAAAUAAAAAAAAAAAAAAAAAAAGGGCAAAAGGUGACUAAAAUGAGGCACUUUGGAAAGGUUAAUAACCUAAAAGGAAGAUGAAUUAAUACCCCCUUAUUCCUCUUCAAAAACCAUUGAGAAAAUGCAAGAAAUGCUCUUAGUUGUAUGCUAGGCUAACAGCCUAGCAACCAUAAUACCCUUCUUUGCAAUUGUAAGCAUUUUUUUUUUUUUUUUGAAGGCCAAACAACGUUGCAAACUUCCCAAAUCCCUUCUUUAUUUUUUAUUUUUUUAUUUUUGUUUUUAGAAGGAGAAUGAAUUUGAUGACAAACUCCUUGUCAAUCUUAUCCAAACCACGAUCGAACAGAACUCCUUGUCAAUCUUAUCCAAACCGUGUUCCACCUCAAAAACAUGUGUAGGACUUAAGGCAGCAACUGGCAAGCAUGACUGAUAGGGCCAAGUGCCCUUGUCUCUACAAUCCAUUAAGUUAACCAAGGGCAGUGAACCAUCAUUCUUUUCAAAAGCUUCAUUCCGUGUUGAAAAUGUGAGACUGAAGCAUGGUGCCCCCAAAAAUAACGAUCUAUUUACUAGCAGCAUGCCUGGACCCAUUAAAAAUACUCUACUUUAGGAAUAGAAAAAAUUACAUCUUUAUCCAAUAAUUUUAUAACAAUUCAGACGUUUCAGUCUAUAAAUAAUUGUACAUAGUUGCCAACGUUUAGCUAGUUUCAAAUGAAUAGCCUAGGUUCAUGCACCAGUUUGGCUGGUGGAGGAAAGGGAUUCGAGACAUUGAACCCUCUUUUUAGUGUGCCAAAUAUUCCACAAAAAUCACUACCUUCUCUUUGUGUUUGUUCACUUUUAGUUUAUAUUUAAUAAAUCUAUGUUUUCGAGUAGAGGUUGGGUUCAGGUGCGACCCACGUCACCUCUCGGACGGUCUUGAAAAAGGAGACCGGACCACGUAAUUUCAAAUGUAGUGACCAUCUCACUUUUACCUCCAUCCUUGAAGAUGGUUUCCCAAAUCAAUAUUAAUCUUUUGUUUACGACAAUAUCGAUCACUUUAUGUCUAUAUCGUUGUUAAUUUACCUUUUUUUUUUAGCCACAUUAUUUGAAAAUUGAUGCAAACUUUACCAACAUCUUGGUACCAUUUUAAAAUAUUAGAGUUAUUUGAUUAAAAAAAUAAAAUAAUCUCGAUAACUUGUUUAUAAAAUAAAUAUCUUUUAACAUUUAGACUAUUCUCACGCAUGCUUUAAAAUUGUAAAGAUAUUCAUAAAGUGGAACUUUAGACUUAAUCAAUAUCGAUCACUUUAUGUCUCUAUUGUUGUUAUAUUUUUUUUUUACAACAUUAUUUGAAAAUUGAUGCAAACUUUACCAACAUCCUAAUACCAUUUUAAAAUAUUAGAGUUAUUUGAUUAAAAAAAUAAAAUAAUCCCGACAACUUGUUUAUAAAAUAAAUAUCUUUUAAUAUUUAGACUAUUUUCACCAUGCUUUAAAAUCAUAAAGAUAUUUAUAUUCAUAAAGUGGAACUUUAGACUUAAACAUGAUAAUAGUUUUUUUACAAUAUUAUAAUUAUUUUAUCGUUUUAAUUAAGCCCUUUAUCAUACAUAUAAAUGUAAAUUAAUGCUAAAUUUUUAAAGCAACGUAUAACCUUUUACAUCUUUUUUUAAGAUGGUGCGAAAAUCCUAUGAAAAAUAAUAAAAGUCGAUGCAUAAGAAGAUUGUUUUGAUAAUUCAAUAGAAAAAUUCUUUUAAAAUGAUAUUAAAAAAUACCCAUAGAGCCUUUAUUAAAAAAAUCAAUUAUUUUCAUAAUAAAAAUUAUAAUUUUUUAUUAUGUAUUAUUAUUUUUAAGUAUCUUUAUUACAAAUACUUUUUUUGAGUUUAUGAGAGGAAUCAACAGGUUGGUACAAGCUUAGGCGUCCUCGUACAUGUUCCCGCUGUGCAAGGUUUUUGUCUUGUUUCGAGCUAGUCGGAAUUUACGUGUUUGAUAACGUUUUGUCCUAUUUUUGUAACGCUUUAAAGGGCGGCCCACCGUUGGAACAGUUCAAGCCAUCCAAAUCAGCCCGGAGGGUUAUGGCGACGUGGCAUGACGCCUACCACCUUAGUUCACAUGAACCCUAUGAUCGUACUACCCUCACAUGACAUCUGUGAUUCUUCACCUCCAAACCCUCUUUAACUUGGUAAUGUAUUCAAAGCUUCAUCAAAUCAUAGCGAUUAGCGACCCUCUUCCACCCUAAUUUUAUAAUAAAAAAUAAAUCUUAGUGGACAUUAAAGUAGUAUUUUGUGGGGGGAAAGAAAAACUCUAUGGGCGUAUCCACUAAAUACGAGCCAAGUAUAAGAGUUAUCACCAUGGAAUCAAAUUAUGAAGCAUUGACAUUUUAAUUGUAUUCAGAUUUGAGGAGGGCACCGCGGCACCAGCUGGCCCAGUGUAGUCUGCUAGCCUACCCGCCAUAAUGACCAAAUUAAUAAAGUAAAAAGGAUUACAGGGAUAUUCCCAACUUUAUUCUGGGUCUGAGCUGGAACUUGGGAGUUAUCACGAUCAACGGGAAAGAUGGUGGGUAGGGGACGAGGAUUGAGGGCUCCAUAUUCACAUCAGUGAAAAACGAAAUGUAUUGAGACAAGUCUUCUAAGGAUUUUCUAGCGUAUUAUAUGGUUUAAAUGAUUAUAAAUCUGUAGUUACUGGUAAAGAGUAGAGAGUGAAGACGAAAGACGUUGAGUGAAAAGGAAGGAGGAGAGGGGAUGGGGCCAUCUUACCGUGUCGGGGAGGAUCCAUAAAAGGACUACGUUCCCUGAAUCUGUAGGCAUCAUGCCUCGCCUAACGGGUUAGUCAAAAUACAGUGAUGUGUGUGAGUUGGGGGCCUCACUCCUCAUUUCUUUCCUUCUUUUCACCCCCACCCCCACUUUUUUUUUUUUUUUUUCGAAUUUUUCUUUGUCCUUUUCUCUCACUUGCGCACGCGGGAGAAGGACCACAAACUAGACAAUUCCUCUGCUCACGUGACCCCGAGUUUUUAAAUAUUUGCCUAUUUGGAAAAUAGUCAUGAAUCAUGAUCGUUAACAAACAAUCUUCACUUUAUUUAUUUAAGAUCUAUUUUUUGGAGCUCUAGUUUAGUUUAUUAUUAUUAUUAUUAUUAUUAUUAUUAUUAUUAUUAUUAUUUAGUAACUCCUCUUAUAUUAAUGAAAAAGAGAGGAGGAAUCCAAACUUGUUUAUUCUUCCUCUUUUAAGGUGUUUGUUUUUUUUAUUUUAUUUUUAUGCUUCAUAUGUCUUCAAUUUCUUAGCAUUUGUCUUAUAUUUCUUCUUAUCCGAUUCAUUAUUGCAUCCUUGGUCAAUCUUUCACGAGGAGUGCCUACUUUUUUCCUUUUUAUUAUUUAAUUCACUUUAUCUUUAUAUUUUCCUUUUACACUUUAUUUCCAAUUCAAAACGUGUCAAAAAAAAAAAUUGGUAACAAAAAAAAAAAAAAAAAUCAAUUGUAAUGAUUCUUAUAUAAUUUUAUUUAAUUUUUAUUAAACAAUAAAGAAAUUAAAAAUAUAUAAAUUUUUAAAUAAUUAUUAUAGUCUUUCAUUUUUGUGUAUAAUUUCUUUUGCAAGAAAUAGUGUAGGCUUUCCACGGUCUAAAGGAAAUGGAAUAUCAAAUGAGAAGGUAAUAAUAAUAAAGUGAGUUAUAGAUACUAAUCAAACUAAUCCACUAAUGAAUUAUUUAUUUUUAUUUCACAUGGACAAAUCCUAAAAGUUGGAGUUCUAAUUUACUUUUAUGUUAAGCUUUUUUAAGUAAAAAUCUUUUAUUAUUAUAAUUUAUAGACAAAAAGAAACCCAUUAAUGUGAUGGAUAAAAAAUUUCAAUUUAAAAAAAAAAAAAUUAAAGUUGCUAAAUUUUUGUAUUUAUUAUUUCAAACUCAUUUAAAUAAUUUAAAAAUAUGUCUUCAAUUAAUUUUAAUGAAACAAAGCAUGAUUUUUUUUUAAUUUUUUUUUCUUUACCAAAUAAAGCAUUAUUAUAAUACGUUGAUUAAAUUUUCAUCAUGUCUCUCAAGAUUUGGAUUAAAUAUACUUAGUUGUCAUAAAUUUGAAAUUUUAUUUAAUGUAUUUUUUAUUUUAAAUUAAAAAGAUGAAUGCAAAUAAAAAAAAUAUGUAUAUUUUAUAAAAUUUUAAAUUAAACGAAGGAUACGUGUAUUUAACCAAGGUGAAUGAAAUUAAUCCAAAUACUUUUUGGUAACUUGCAAAAUAUCUUGACGAAAUCAUUAUGGCAGGCAUCGUACAAGCUCAACCCUUGUCGCCUUGCUAGAAAUAGAGAAACAAAAAGACCCCCAAAUUGGGUUGCAUCCUAAAUAUGAAGAAGUGGUAACAAAGGAAGAAAAAAUGCUGUGUUAUUGAAUAGUUAAUACAUUGAACAUGAUAUGUUACAUAGAGAGCCAGAUUAAUCCUAGUGGAAUUCCACUGUCACGAUGGUAACCUAGGGUUAUGUUUGGUUAUUGAAAAUACCAAGAAAAGAAAAAAAAAUAUAAAGGAAAAUAAUUUUUUCAUUUUUGAUUGUCUUAUAAAAGAUAUAAAAAAAAAACAAAUAUAAUUAAAACUAAUUAAAAAUUUAGGUAUUUUUAAAUUAUUUAAUUUUUAUAUUAAUGAGCGAAAAUAAAUAAAAUAAGUUUAAAAUAACAAAAAAAAUAAUUUACCGAUUUUUAAUCUAUAUUUUAUUUUACUUUUUCUUUGUAUUUUUUUUUUCUUAUAUUUUCCCUCAAAUUUUCUGAAUCAAACAUAGCAAAAAAGGAGCUACCCCUUUCGAAAGAAACUCCCAAGAAUUUCAAAGAAACCUGCUGAGAUAAUGAAUGAGGGAUCACUGUCGGUAAACAGUAUCCAUUCUUUUGGGAGGACUUUCAAACUGAGAAGUUGUUUUCAUGACUUGGAAACAAAAUUUUGAGCUCUAAGGGGGUCUGUAUUUGGGCCCUAAAAUUCAAUCCAUCAAUCUGAAAAAUGCUUAGGAUAAUGAUUUGAUUUAGCCACAAUCACUAAACAAAUUCCAGAGGAAAAUUUCGCUACUCAUAGGUGGCUGAUUCUCAUAAAAAGACAUCGUGGUAGGGUGUCUCAAGUGCAGGCUCACCAUCAACUUGCUGCCCUUUUUAGAUUAUUGUAAAAUGAUUUCACAUGAAGCCCAAUGCAAAACUUUGAAAGAAAAGGUUGGUGGAGACGUGAAGAAUAUGUAACCCAUAGGCCAUAACUAGUACCGAAGAUUAUUGAACAAACAUUCAAGGUUUUUGUAUAGACGAAACUGAAAAGAAUGUGUACCAGACUCAGGCGUUCAGAUCAGAUGAUGCCGUAAUGUGGAUUGUGGAGGAGCAUUGUGCAGACAGAUAAUGAGAUUCUGAAAGCGAGGCCACUGAUGGGCCCUUGGAAGGGGGGCGUGCCUUCAAAAUUAUAUAUAUAUAUAUAUAUAUGUCAUUGAAAAUUGGAAGCAACUUUUCUUCUUAAGUUAUUUUAAUCGAAGAAGAAACAAAAAGUUAAAAACAUACAUUAUUCUUCCUUCUUACGAGGUUUCCGGGUCUAAAUUACUAUGGUCUCUGCAACUGGCGUCGUUUUCUCUCCCCUCUCUCUAUUUUCCCUUUAUUUUUUCACUUUUAGAAAGAAGCAUCCCAUCAAGAAUCUACUACAACCCUACGCUUCCAUUUUGAUUUAGAAAGUUAAAAAUAAGUUUAAGUUAAAAAAAAAUAUUUUCUUAUAUAAUUAUUUAAACUUAUUUCUUUUCCUUUUUAUAUAAAGAAACAAAUAUUUUGCAAAUAAAUAAAUUUCUAAUUAUUUUCAUUAACAUAAUAAUAAUAUUUUUCAUAUGACUUUAAUCACAAUUUUUUUUACCACUUGUCCAAGGCGGUGAGAGGUGAUAAAAUGUAUUAAAAAAACGAUUAAAUUGCAUUAGGUAUAGAAGUUUUGUGCUUCAAUUAUCACUUAUAAAAAUAAAAUAAAAAUAGUCAAAUUUGAGUGUGCAAGUUGGUAUUCGUAUGUAGAAGGAAUUGGGGGAUUUGGGGGUCCUAACAAAUUUGAUAUGAUUGAUGGAAGGAAAUGAUUAUUAUAGGAUAAAGUCCGAAUGAAACGCUGACGAGGGGGGAAAAACAACAGUGGCAAUGCACUAUCCACAGAUCCAUGAUUGAUUUAUGUUAGCAAUAAUGAAUUAUUUUGACUUUGAUAACCUUGGUUAAGAGAAUUUGGUCUUGUUAUUAUCAUUUUUUCAAAAAAAAAAAGUGUAGGUAACUAGGUAGUUGAUUUAUUAGAAUUUAGAAAUGAGGAUCCCCUCCUCCUGCAAGAGCCGUGACAGACAUGCCUGCUUUCUUGCCAGAUUAUACCAAUGUGCCCAAAUAAUCCCCCAUCUAUCAUCUCUGCACCCUGGAACACGUCACUCCCUCCUUUGAGCAAUAAAAUAUCUCUUUUAUUUUCUUUUGAACCACUCUUCUAUUUCUUUGUACCAGACUGGACCCAUUUAAAUUCUUCGCUACGCUGUUCCCAAGGACUACGAGAAUCAAAAUAGCAAAAUUCUUGAAUCAUUUUAAUGGGUUCAGAAACCACAUGUUUCUCUAGAUCAUAAGAGGAAAAUCUUUUUGGAUGGUGUUUGUGUUGUGUUGUGUUCAAUAUUAAAUACUCAAUUAAAUAAGCUAAAUCAAAUAUCACAUGAAAAAUAAUCAAAUUAAAAAUAGGGAGAAUUAUGUUUUGAGGGUAGAUGGACCCCAAAUUAACAAAAGGUUCAUGUAACUCUUCAAAUUGAGCCCAGACCCAAUGAAAAUAUGGAAAUUGAGUUGAAGUAUAUCAUCAUUCAGUAUUUCCAAAAAUGUCCUUUGUUGAUUUUGAGAAAAAAAUUAAUAUUUUUGAAAAAUAUUUUUAUGUAAUUUAAUAUUUUUUUAAAUACUUUUAUUUAAUUUAAUAUUUUUAAAAAAUAAAUUUAUUUAAUUUAAUAUUUUAAAAAAUAUUUAAUUUAAUAUAUUUUUUAAAUACUUUAAUUUAAUUUAAUAUUUUUGAAAAAAAUUUUAAUUUAAUAUUUUUGAAAAAAAAAUUAUUUAAUUUAAUAUUUUUUAAAACUAUUUUUAUUUAAUUUAGUAUUUUUGAAAAAAAAUUAUUUAACUUAAUUUUAUAAAAUAUUUUAUAUGUGUUCUUAAAGGGUAUAUUUGUCCGUUACUAUUUCAUAUCCUUCAACUCAAUUUAAAGAGUUAUAUGGACCUUUUGUUAAUUUGGGGACCCAUCUACCCUCAAAAGAUAAUUCUCCCUUAAAAAUAUAAAUUUAAAUAUGACAUAAUUAUUAAAUAUGUUAGAUCUUGUAUGAGUUUAUAAGAUUUAUGUUUCAAAAUAACAUGUUUAUAAUUCAUCUAUUGAUUUAUAAUCAAAUUUUAAAUAAAUUAAAGUUAUUCAAGUUAAUAAAUAUGAUUUAUGUUAUAAAGACUAACUAAAAAAUAAUUUAUUAAUUAAACGGAUCCUGGUCAAUAAAAAUUUGAUUUAAAUACGAUCAUACUUAAUCAAAACUUAGGUCAAAUUGUAUUGAUAAAUUACAUCAAAACCUUGUUGUGUUCAAUAUUUUAUAUUAAACUAUUUUUUAAUAAAAUUAUUUUUAUAAAUAUAAUAUUACAUCAUUUGGAGAAACAAAAUAGUAUUAUAUUGAUUUUACAUAUAAAGCAACCAGUUAACCCCUCAUUAUUUUGAUCCAUUUCACAUCCAUAUCAUUCUCAUAAUUUUUUUAUAAUAUAUUAACAUGAUGGACGGUAAUUGAGGGUAGAAAAAAAAGAUGAGAAGAAUAAAAUAAUGUGAAUCCUCUCUAAAUGUUACAUCUUCUGACAAAUGAAGUCUAUAGAAAUGUGUAAAAAAAAAAAAAACACUUAAUUGUGAGGUUCACUUGAUUUAGCAAAAAAUUAAUAUUUUAUUUGUUGUGUGAUUUAAAAAUAAUAUUUUAUUUUUAAAAAUAAAAAAUUAUUUUUAAAGUUUUUUAACACUAUUUUACUAUUGUUCUUUGAAAUAAUUUUUAAAAUUAAAAUGAAAUAACUAAUAAUUUUUAGAUAAUAAAUUAAAGUUGUUUUUAUUAGAUUUUAAAAAUAAAAGAAAAAUAUAAAACCAUUUGAUCAAAUUUUUUUAAACUUAUUUUUAAAAGGUUUUUUUUUUUUUUUUUUUUUUUCUAUCCUAAGUUAAAAGAUAAAAAAUAAUUUUUAAAGAUAGGUUACGAGCAAAUGCCACAAACUUUUUUCUUCUCUUUCCCUUGUUCGGAUAGAAGUGAAAAAUAUCCUCCCAUGGAUCGACAUUACGUGAGCCAUCACCAUUCCCCAACUGCAAUUCAACCGCCAAAGCUGAGGUGUCAUUAUUAGUUUGAACAAAAGUCAGCAUUGUCCACGUGGUGACAAGCGGAACUGACCCAACUUGCAAGGCAAAAAAAUAAAUAAAAUAAAAUGAAAAAAUCAGAUCACCAUUAUGACGUCAGUCCAAUUGCUGACCUGGCCGCCGUCCCCCAUUUGACCCACGUGUUCAUUUAACCCAUUCGCCGUAUGCCGUGGCUCCCCACCCAUAUGGCCAUAUCUGCCAUUUAUUUUAUCCGUUGCCUCCAUUCGGUUUUUGGAUUUUACCCAUUCGCCCUCGUCUAUUCCCAUUUCCGUAUUUGCCCACCAAGGAAAUUCAAUUCCCAUGCUUUUGUUUUACAUUCAAAUCCUCCCCCCUCUAUAUAAAGGAGGGAGUAGGGCUUGAAAGUUUCUCAAGCCAACAUGGACUGUUGAGAGUGAAAGACAGAGGAGCCACAAACAAAUAUCACUCACUCAAACCAAAGCCAAAACCAAUACCGAAUUCAAUUCAAAUGACUUCUUUCUCUCUCAUCAAUUCCCUGAAUUCCGAUUCCGAUUUCAAUUUGUUAUCGGAUUCUUUUUCCUGGGAAAACUCCCUACCUUUCAAUGAAAACGACUCCCAGGAGAUGCUCCUCCUGGGCAUGCUGGCCAGCUCCACUCAGGAAACCUCAGAAACAGUUUCUUUGAAUCGAGUGAAGGAGGAAGAAGUGACUUCCCAGGAAAAUCCCGAGAAGGAGAAGUCAUACAGAGGCGUUAGGAGGCGGCCAUGGGGGAAAUUCGCAGCAGAAAUAAGGGACUCGACCAGGCAUGGCAUAAGGGUGUGGCUGGGAACAUUUGACAGUGCAGAGGCAGCUGCUCUGGCCUAUGAUCAAGCUGCUUUUGCGAUGCGGGGCCCUGCGGCAGUCCUCAAUUUCCCGGUGGAAAGAGUGAAGGAAUCGAUGCAGGAGAUCAAGUGCAUCUUGGAGGAGGGGGGCUCACCAGUGGUGGCCCUCAAGAAGAGGCACUCUAUGCGGAGAAAAAGUCCUUGCAAGAAACAUAAAAGUGAAGAGGUGAGGUUAGAAAAUGUGGUAGUGCUGGAGGAUUUGGGUACUGAAUACUUGGAACAGCUCCUCACUUUCUCUGAGACCUCUAGUCCUUGAUCAUCAUCAUCCAUCACCUGGAUAGCUUCUUCUCUUUGCUCUGUUUCUUACUUUUCUCUCUCUCUCUCUCUCUCUCUCUCUUUUUUUUUUAUGUAAUUUUUCUUAAUGUAUUUUUGGAGAUGGCGGGGGUGUAGUGGUGGCAAUUAUCCAUCUAGAAUUUUUCAAAAGAUAUGUUCUUUUGUUUCUUUGUAUAAAGUUGAAAAGUGGGGAUCAAUUGUGAUGGUGCUCUAUGUUCAUCCACCCAAUUUAUAUAAUCAAGGUGAUUAAUGUUUUUUGAUAUCAACAAUUUGUGAAUGACAUAGAGAGAGAGAGAGAGAGAGACCUUAUUUUCUACACUCAUUACGGUGGUUUCCAUUUGGGGAAGGAAAAGGAAAUGGCUAAGAAUGUUACCAAAAGAAGUGGGGUGGCUUUCAUAUGCGUGGUGGCAUACUUGCAUACAAACUUUUCAAUUGUGUUCUGCAUGCCACUCGGGUCAAUUUCAUUUCUUUUACUCCUAGUAGCCUAAUUGGAUUUCCUUUUUCUCAUGAGACAUCAAAUAAAUUUCAUUUUUUUAUAUUUAAAUAGUUAGGUAAGUUUGAUAGUGAGUUAUAUUUUAUACAUUAAUUCAUCUUUUAGAAUGUUGUCUACAAUAUAAACAGUGUAAUUAAUUUCAUCAUUACAGAACAGUCAUCUUAUAAAAUAACAUAAAAAUUAUUGGAUCACUUGUAUGGCACCACUGAUUUGGACUUGGUAUGGCUCUGUUUGGCUUCAUAGAAAAAAUUUGGACCCAAUUUGAAUGUCUUGCAUAAAAAGAGAUACGUCCCACUUUGAAUGAUAUUGAAGAAAAAAAUUUCUGAUGAAGAAUAUAUUGUUGGCAGGGUCAUGCAGGCCAAUAGGGAAACGAUAAAUUCAGAAGAAUGAGUCCAAACCAGUGGGCUUGAAAAUUAAGAAGAGAAUUGCUGUAUAAAACAAUCAUUUCUUAAUCGAGUUCACUUUCUGAAUAAUCGUCACUUUGAGAAUGCAUACUUAGGAAGAUGAUGAUCCUUAAUGGGAAUAAUCAAAGGCAUCAAAAAAUUGUUCUGGAACAAUUCUUGAUUGUCUCCAGUAAAAUUCAAAGUCAAAAGUCAAAAGUCCAGUCGGUCAACACCAAACCAGGCCAGUCCAAAAGACAUUAAUUUGCAAUCUAGAAUCUAUGAUGAGGUGGCGAAAUCAAACCUUGGCUUUUCACCAGGGAAUGGUACUCUGAAUUUGGUCAGUUCACUGUUUCGAGUGAAUAGGGUGUAGUAAUUAGUAAAUCAUAUUUUAGAUUUGUGUCACAAGUUACAAGGGAUAUGGGCUGACGUUCAAUUUUGGCGACAAUUUGUGGGCCCGUAUAUUUGUUGAGAUGUGGAAAUUGGGUGUGUGCUUUUUUCUGCUACCACAUAAAUAUAUUUCUUUGAAUUGAAGAGUGUUUCAGACCAUUUUUUUUCAAGUCACAAAUGGACAACUGAUUGAGAUUGUAUUGGUGAGAGUAGGAGUUUAUUUUGGGCUGGUUGAGCGAAGUUGAAAGUCGAGUUGGACCUAACCCUUGAAUUCAGCAGACUACAGUCCGAUCCUGUAUUUUGGAUUUAGGGAACCUUCUUUCCCAGAAGCUUCGUCUGGGUUUUAAAGUCUAAAUGUGGCUACUCUUAAACAUUGGAGAAAGGAUGAGCGUUCACAAGCAAAUGGGUAAUUGUGGAUGGUUCAAGGACCUGGCCAGCUGGUCUUCAAGUUUGGAUGCCGGUUUGGGCCUGAGAGAGUCUUUGCAAAGUGACUUCACUUCAGCCUAUGAGAUCAAGAUAUCAUGGUGAUGUCCGAUCACUUAGGUUUCAUUUUCACCUCGGAUUACCGUUACCAUGUUCAUGAAUAAAAAUAAAUAAAUAAAUGAAGCCUUAUAGAGAAAUUAAUGAAGUGAGCUAUACAAGCAACUGGGCCAGGAGCCUACAAGGCAGAAAUUCCCUGCCCUAGACUAGGCCGAAUAAAUUAGAUGAAUGAAUUGGGGAAACCUGGGCCAGCCACACAUCCUCCUGAAGGCUGAUGUCGAACUCGCUUACGAGGAAUGGACAUGGGAGAUUGGGCUGGGACCAAAUAACCAAUUGACAGCCCUAUCCUUGUGGCAAGACGUCAGUAAAAUGGUUCAUUCUGAUUUUACGCUGCCAUUCAAUUUAAUUUUAAUUUUUGUUUAAAGCGAUGUACAAAUUGAAUGGUGUCUAGUCACUUAAAGAGUGGUUCAUAAUACACUUAAUUUAAACAAAAAAGAAAUUAUUAGAUAGGGGAUUCUCCAAUAAAAACCACCCCAUCUUGUCAGCAAGUCCGGAAACUUCCUUCACUUAGGGCGUAUUUGUUUUUUUAACUUUAAUAUUAAAGAAAGUUGGUUAAACCUUAUGACACUUUUAUAUUAUUUUAUGAAUUUUUUUUAAUUUUUAUUUUAAUGGAAUUUUAACUUUAAUACAAGUUGGAGUAAUUCUUAUCUUAAAAACAAAUCAAAAUUACUUUAAUUUUAUAUAGAAAUAAACUUACAGUAAAUUUACCAUGAAAAUUUCUAAGUCAAAUACACCAUAAGUGCUAGUAUUUUAUAAUAUUUAGAAACAUGUUAAAUUAUUAUUAUUAUUUUUUAAAAUUAUUAGUUUUCAUAUUAGUUUUAGGGAAACUUGUGCUUUAGGUCUUUUAUUUGCAAAUAAUAUGGUUUUCAAAUCCUAAGAAUAGAAAAUAUGAGAAUCAACUGUUAAUGUGGAAAAUAAUAUCAAUUUUGUGCAAUCUCUAUUGACUCAUUUUUUUGUGCCUAGAUUGCCUUCACCCACUUCCAUGUCAACAACCACAUUAAUAGAUUGUUUUUUUUUUAUAAAACAAAUAAUUAUUAUGUUUAAAAUUUUGGGGAAACUCUCUAUCUCUCUUACUUCUUCACUACAUCCGAGACCCAUCUUCCUUAAACGUUUGCCUCUCAUUUUGCCCUAACCCCAAAUCUCAUAAAUUUCUCAUUUUCUUGCCUCAUUUGAAAUAUGAAGAUGACCGAUUCUCAAACAUCUCUGUCUCUCUCUUCACGUUUUGACCAGUCUAAUUGGAAACCCAUUUUCCAAAAACCUUCUUUCUUUCAUUUUGCCCUAACCCCACUAUCUCCCUCUUCAAGACCUAAUCACCCAAACUCGAUAUCUAUCUUCCCAAAACCUUCAAGCAAACUGAACUAGACCCAUAUCUUCUUUUUUCAUCAUCAAAGGUGAAAUUUUUUUAAGGCUUUUGGAAACCGAAUUGGAGCUUUCCCUUCUUCUGGGAUUAAUCAUUCGCAAGUGAGUUUUCCAUUUAAGGCUUUGUUUGGCUGUUGAAAUCUUGGGAUCAAAGGUCUUUUAUUUUCAGGUUUCUUGUAUUUUGCUUUAUUUUCUUGUAUAUAACAAUAAUCAUUGUAACAUAUGCUAGUAGUUACCCUUGGUGCAACUUUACAUUUCCAAAUACCCUAAAGUCCAAAGCUUUUAAUUCCCUUUUCAAAGCUUUCAACUUUGAAAGCAGACUAAACCAUAAGAACUAUGAAACUUAUAUCUCUAUCACCACUAAUUAAGCAUGUCUAUGAAUCCUUCCACUUUAAGUCACUUAUUCUCAAACCAAGAAGGGCUCCUCUCAUUCUCACCCCACCUCAUCUAAAUGAGGGAAAUGAUCAAUUGCAGCCAUGCUUUGCACCAAAUUAGAGAAGUGAUCCUCCCAAUCAUCCAUUACCAAAAAUUGAUCAUGCUGAUGAGAUCAUAAGAGUCUAUUCGGAACUCCCAGUUUACUUGCCUCUUAUCUCAGGAUCCUCCAUUACCCCCUGUCUUUCCAACAUCAAAUCAACUUGCAAACAAUUCCUUUGUAGAUAAAAUGUUUUUAAUAUUGCAAAAGGGGACUUAUCAUAAUGGUUGAAUCGAUUUAUUUGAUAUAAUCACUCAAAUUCAAGCUUAAAAUUGAUCAUAAUAAAAUGUUUUUAAUAUUGUUAAAAGGAGAUUAUAAUGGUUUUAUUUGAUAUCAUUACUAAAAUUCAAGCUUUCAAACAUGCUCUACAAAGAAGUUCUAAAAGACUACAAGAAAGAGUUUCCACUAAAGAAAAACAAUGAAACCAUUUCUACUAAAGACAAACAAUGAAACCACAGAUGCUUUGUGAAAUAUGUACCCGCACAAUCCAACAAACUUUAGAAAUUCACAAACACUACCUAGAAUUUUUGCUGACCAGCAAAAAAUUUAUGCAAUUUAAUUCUUAUUGUUAUUAUUAUUUUCAAUGUGAACAAAUAUGAUUGAAUUAUGAAGUAUUUGGCCAGAAGAGGAUCUUGCCUAAUUAUAGUCAUUAAACAACCAUUUAUACCAUAGCCUCUAGACUUUAAAAAGUUUAUAAAACUCAAGGGCUUCCACCCAAUUUCUAGAUAUCUCCAUAACAUUCUUCUGACUAUUAGAAAGCAAUUACCACUUUAAUUUUUCAUUUCAUGAGUGUUCAAUUCAGAAAAAGACCAGGAUCGAACUUGCGAUCAUGCAGUCGAAAAUCCACCUGUGCAUGAAACUAUUGCCUCACGAUUGCAAACUCAAGUUGGAGUCCAGUAACAACUCUAGGUUUGCUGAUGUGCUCCAUUUGAAAUAAAGGAACUAAAGAAUACUUUAUAAAGAUUAAUUACCUUCAUAUUUUAGGUUGGGGUUAAGGCAAAAUGUGAUAGAUUGAGAGGAAGAAAAUAUAUCUUGUUCAGGAAGCCAAUAUUUUGGAGUUCACCUUUCCAUUCGAGUCCACUCUGCUAUAGCAAAAUCAGAGUCACAACUAUGCCUCUUUAAGCUAUCCUUUAAUUGGAUGAAUUGCAGAUUUGGUUGCUGAGAAAGUGGAUAAGAAAGAAAAAUGCAUACUGUAGCUUGAGAUUAAGAGUUUGUUUUCUAAAAUGAGAGAAAGGGAAAGAGAAAAAAUGCAUAUUGUAGCUUGAGAUUAAGGGUUUGUUUUCUAAAAUGAGAGAAAGGGGAAGAGAAAUGUUCGACAACUUUGAGAUGACAAAUUUUUAGAUUUGGAAAAUUUGAGAUGAGUCUCAGGUUUUUUUUUUUUUUUUUUUGUCUUUGUCUUUGUUUUUUUUUUUUUUUUUUGUUUUUUUCCCAAAAACAACCUGUUAAUGUGGUUGUUGACAUAGAAGUGGGUGAGGGCAAAAUGGGCAUAGAAAAAAGAGUCAACACAAAGUGCACAAAACCCAUAUUAUUUUCCACAUUAAUGACUGAUUCUCAUAUUUCUUGUUCUUGGGAUUUGAAAACCAUAUUAUUUGCAAAUGGACCUCCCAAAGCACAGGUUUCCCUUAGUUUUAUGUCUCCAUCUACAUUUUACAUAUAAAUAGAUUAUUUUAUAAAAUUUGUUUUGUAGAUAUAUUAGUUAAUAAUUAUAUAAUUAAUGAUAUAGAAAACAUAUAAAAAUCAUAUUUAAAAAAGAUAAUUACAUAUUCCUCAACAAUCCAUCCCAAGAAUUCGAGGUUGAGUUGAAAACAUGUAGAGUCUUUGAUGUUAUUAUAAUCAUAUCCAACACAUAUGAUUAUUGUUUAUGAGAUAUUAUUAGAAAGUUUGUCUUAAAAUAAUUGAUUUAUUACCCACCUUUAGCAAAUGCCCAUUUUUGCGUCUUUCAAAAUUUUCAUUUUUUUUUUGUUUAAAAGAAGUAUUGUAAAGAAUGAUGAAAUAAGAAAUUUGUUGAGAAAGUGUGAGUAAAUAAUUUUACAUAAAAAGAGAUUUAAUACUUGAUAAAUAAAAUAAUAAAAUCAUGAUUUCUAGUUGUAUAGGGCCGGGUGGAUGGAGUGGCUAAGAUGUAAUUCUUGAAAUAGAGGAGACAACAUCAAUGUAUAAAAGUUUAACAGAGAAGGAAAGUGUGUUUGAAUGACUUUAUUUUCUUCAUUUAAAGUUUUGACGAUGAGUGUUUAUACAAGAUAAAUUUUCAAAUGAUAGGACUCCUAUUUACAUGGAGUUUGUGAUAUACUAUGAUUAUACAAAUUUAAAAUUCAAACAGAUUCAUGAGUUGAUAGGAGUCUGCUCAAUACGCCCCUUCAAAAUGGUGGGAGAUAGCACACCAAUCUUGACUCGAAGGGCCUAAACUCGUGCAGAAGAUGAGGGCUUUGUUAGAGCAUCGACAAGUUGAUCCGUGGUUGACAUAUGGGACACCUUGAGCUCACCUGAUUAAACCUUGUUUCAAACAAAAUGAAAAUCAAUCGCCGAUGUGUUUCAUGGAGAGUGAAACAUGGGAUUUGCACAAAGAUAUGUUGCACCCACGUUAUCACAAGAGAUAGGAGGUGGUGAUAAAUUUGAAACACUAAGUUUUGAGAGAAGAGAAUUAACCCAAAGAACCUUUGAGGCUGUAGAGGCCACGACGUGAUAUUUCGCUUCAGUGGAAGAGCGUGCUAUGAACUUUUGUUUCCUCGAUGACCAAUACACAAGAUUGUGACCAAGAAAAACAAUGGGAGCAUUGGUGGAGGAUCUGACAUAAGGAUUCCUUGCCCAUUCAACAUUCGAAUAUGCAUGUAGAUUGAUGGGCGAUUUCUUAUGCAAGAACAGACCAUGCACCAUUGUGCCGACUAAGUAUCUAAGCAAUCUUUUAACACAAGACCAAUGUGUUGAUGUUGGAUGGUGCAUAAAUUGAGAUAAUUUAUUCAUCAAGAAGGUGAUGUCAGGGCUAGUAAGAGAGAAGUAUUGAAGGCUUCCAACAAUUGACAUAUAUUUAGUGGGACCAGGAAAAGAGGUGUCAUCACACAGAUUUGGAACAUUGUUGAGGAACAUCAAUGAUUGAACUGGUUUGGUAGCCACCAUUUGUGUUUUCUUAAGAAGCUCUCGAAUGUACUUGAGAUAAAAAUAAUCCUUUGGAAGUAUGUAUCAUUUCAACACCAAGAAUAAAAGAUGAAGUCCUGAGAUCCUUAAUGGAGAAUUUGACUGCUAAUUGAGAGAUCACGCGAGCACGAAAAACAUUAUUGUUACUUGUUAAAAUAAGAUCAUCAAUAUAAAUAAGUAGGUAAACAAUGAGACCACUCUUUUUAAAAAUGAAGAGGGAUGUCUCGGUUUAGGAGUUGACGAAGGCUAUUGAGAGGAGAAAUUGGCAAAGUUCAUGAUACCAUGAUCGUGGAGCUUGUUUAAAGCCAUAAAAAGCCUUACAAAGUUGGCAAAUGUGAUGAUGUGUGUAUUCGUGAACCCAGGAGGUUGAAUCAUGUAAACAUCUUCAUGAAGUGUCCUAUGCUAGAAUGCAUUAUUAAUGUCCAAUUCAUGAGUUGAUAGGAGUCUGCUCAAUACAAUGUGGGAGUGUGAUUUCAAAAUUAGGGUAAUUUCGAAAUGGAUUUUGUAUUCACAAGUUGAAUUUCAAAAUUAUUUUGAAAUGGUCUUUUAACUUUAAGCAGUUGUGUUCAAAAGGUCAUAACUUCUUCGUUUCAAUUUUGAUUUACACAUUGUUUAAAACAUUGGACUCUUUACUUCCCGAGCUUCAAAACGAUAUAUAGUAUGCUCAAAAAUGACAUCAGGAUUGGUUCAAAUUUCAUCUUGAUAUUAGAGUACAUGUUGUGAUUAGAUUUUGAGUUCCAAAUUUCCAUGUAAACUUGAUUGCAUUUGCUUCAAACCUCCUUCAUUAUGGUUGCUUGCCCUCUAUCUCACUUUGCAACAUUUGUUACUAGUAUUUUAUGUCCAUGACUUACUCAUUUCAACCUUUCUUGGAUUCUUCAUGGUUCACAAAUUAUGGAUUCUUCAUGGUUCACAAAUUGAGUCUUUCAAUUAUGCAUGUUUAACUCCUAUUUCCUUGGUUGAUAAUGACUUUUACACUUAUCAUUUUCUUUUAUUCUUUAAACCUGAAUUUAGACUUACAAAAAAAAGUUAGAUCCAUAACUAGGGUCUUAGCAUCAAUUUGAGUUAAGUUGGAUGAUUUGAAAAUUUUAUAUUACAUAAAUCAUAUCAUACAUGUGCCAUUGGAGUGCACAUUUUGGCUCUAAUCAUGUUCCAACCCAUUGUUUUACUCUUGCAUGAAGUAUGUGGCCAUUGAUUUUAAUUUUAUUUGCGAUUAGGUUCAAAAUGGUGCUUUUGUGUUGCUCAUGUGUCAUCAGAAGAUCAACUAAUGGAUUCUCUAACAAAACUACUACAUCAUAGUCAUUUUUUUUUUUCUUAAGACCAAGAUUGAGAUCUCCAAUCGGAGCCAACUCCAUCUUGGGGGCAUGUUAGUGAAAGAUAAAAUUUAUCUUUAAUUUAAAUAUUAAUAUUUAUCAGUUAUUAGUUUUAAUUAGAGUAAAAGAUAGAGUUUAAAUUGGAGUAGGAGAUAAACUUGUGUUUGAACUAGAAUAGAAGAUAAAGUAUAAAGAUUUAUGUUUGAAUUAGAAUAAAAUAUAAAGUUUGAAUUAGAGUAGAAGAUAAACUUGUUCUUUAUUUGUAUAUAAAUAUUCAUCAAUUCUUGAGAAGAAGAUUAUUUCAUAGUUUUUCUAUCUUCUUUUUUCUUCAUACAUAUCUGCAAGAAAUUGAAGAUUUCAAGUAAAAUAUUUUCUGUUUUAAAUAGUGAAAAAAGCUAGAAAUUCACUUUGUUAUCUCUUGGGGUAAAUUGACAAGGUUUAACGUUAAGAAGGUGAAUUAUUUUUUCAGAAAAACUGAAGUAGCUAGGAUAUCUGGCCAGUUGUGAUCGAUAAAAAAGUUGUAAAAUCUCUCAUAUACUAAACAGGUUUUGGAUGUUGGUAUGGUAAAUCCAUCUGCAGUCAUUCGUCAUCUCAUCUAGUGAGAUGUUUGGGAGGUGGUGACCGCCGGAUUGGGUUUCAUUUGGUUAAAUCUGUCAGUGGGUUGGCUACUACCCGAGCCUCUUGCUUUGGGGGAGGUGGGUUCUAGAUAUAAUGUUCAAACCAUUUUAGUUAUCAUAUGCAUGACAUGUAAGCAUAAUCUCUUUAUCACUUCUUCAAUGGGAGUUCAUGGUUAGGAAUUGACUUCUUUUCUUCUGGGAUGCUUGGCAUGUAAUGGACAAAGUUACUUUUAUAUCGAUCGAAUUUCUAGUAUUAUAGUGAAGACUUACCCUUUUGACAUUUUAUAUCGAAUUAUAGAAGAUGAAAGGGACAUACAUGCAAUCGACUGACGCUUUAGUGAAUAUGCUGAAAAUAUGCUGAUGCUGUGGAGAUCGUAUGAGGACAGAGGAAAAAGAUAGAAAUGGAUAUAUAAUUAGACCUAGGUUUUUAUUAAAUGAGAUGGGGAACAUAGAGUGAGGGAAAAUCAAAAUUUUUGGCUGCAGUUCACAUUGGUGAUAUUUUGGAUUGACAAAGACUAACGACUUUUCUAUUUUUCUUUUCGGCCUGACUGGAUAGUUGGACAUGGACAAUACAGAAUCCACAGAAGGAUUGUUGGGACCGCUGAAAAUUAGCUAGAAGAAGCUGAGGAAGUAGUCUACGUAGUCAAAUACCAAACACAAAGAAAGAAAGAAAUGGAUAUCAUGGAUGCCUAGAGUUAUACUCCUAAUACCGUCACAGGUAUUUUUCUUUCCUCCUUUUUUUUUCUACGAUAAUUAGAGCAUUUCUCCUCCUCCUCCUCCUCCUCCCCCCACCCCACCACCAAAAAAUAAAAAAAUAAAUUAUUGCAAGUAACACUUCAAAUAUUAAUUUAUACAUUCUAAAGUAUAUAUUCAUGAAAUAACUUGAGUAUCAUACAUUAGUUCUCAAAAAAAAAAAAAAAAAAAAAAAAAAAUUACUGGAAGAGAAAAGUUUAAGAAAACAUAAAAAUAUUCAACUACUAUUUUAAAGAGAAAAUUUAAUUUUUACACUAUAAAUUUGAAGAGAACUUUUACAUGCAUCUUAUAUAAACUACCAUUUUUUGCUAAAAGGCUUAAAUUUGUCAAAAAUACCCCUUAGGUGCUUAACGUUCUGGUCAUAAUAUAAUUGGCAUCUUUUCUCAAACAUAAGGCCUGUGUGUGGGAACAAGAUUUAAUGUUAAUGAGCUUCGCCACCGACAUUUAGUUCCAGAAAUCAUUAUUUUAAUAGAGUGGGCUCAAUUUACAACUUUAAUUAAACUCUAACCAACUGCAUUGUGAAAUGAAUAUGUUUCUUUCGUGGUGAAUCCAAUGAGUUGGGAGUCAAACUUUGCUUCAUUGUGUAUAGAUGAAAUGUUAAGACUCCAUGUAACCUCAAACAUUUCCGCAAUNNNNNNNNNNNNNNNNNNNNNNNNNNNNNNNNNNNNNNNNNNNNNNNNNNNNNNNNNNNNNNNNNNNNNNNNNNNNNNNNNNNNNNNNNNNNNNNNNNNNUUCUUUCGUGGUGAAUCCAAUGAGUUGGAGUCAAACUUGCUUCAUUGUGUAUAGAUGAAAUGUUAAGACUCCAUGUAACUCAAACAUUUCCGCAAUGAGCGGGAGUUCUAAAUUUAAUAAUUGAAAUUGUCAGUGGAACCAGUGGACAAGAGUUGGUUUGUGGUUGACAAACUUAUCCGUUUGAUCUUUACUUGAACAGUUCCAGUGUGUGGAUGGGUACUGAUGAAGUGUGCGCAUUUAUUUUGAGAAGCCUGCUUGUUCGCAUAGAUUUUAACGACAUGAACAUUGUGGUAAGGUUAGAGAGUAAUGCGAAUGUAGGAGCUUAUAUUAGAAAUGACACAAACACGUAAAUAGAAGUAAUCUAUAUAUGAUAUUACUCAUGGACUACAAGCAAAGAAGUACAAUACAUGGAGUAAGUGAUGAAAUGAGCAUUCCUCACUACUACUGCUUGACUGAUGGAACAUGAUGCACGAGAUAGCAUAAGUAGUAGUAGGAAGCAGCUCUUAUUUGUGGCGUCGGUAUACAUCAUACUAGGUAGAUGGUUCAAUUGGCAUGGAUGGGUGGUGGAGCCUUGAAGUGCUUGUGAUGGGGAGCCCACGGCUUCUUCUCAGGAGUUGGUGGCUUCUUGUAUGGAGUUGAUGGAGGUGUUUCUACUGGAGGGUGGCCAGGGUAGUGACCCUGGGGUGGUGAAGGUUCUUUUGUCGGUGGUGGCCUCACUAUUAUUGGCGGUAGAGUUGGUGGCUUGGGCGUUGGCGGUGGUCUCACUACUCUUGGGGGUAGAGUUGGUGUCUUGUGUUUUGGUGGUGGAGGUGGCUUAACAGGAGUUGGUGGCUUGUAUUCUGGGGGUGGUUUCUCCACCGGAGGUGGCUUAUAAACUGGAGUUGGUGGCUUGUAUUCUGGGGGUGGCUUCUCCACUGGUGGUGGCCUGUAAACAGGGGUUGGUGGCUUAUAUUCUGGGGGAGGCUUCUCCACUGGAGGCGACUUAUAAACAGGGGUUGGUGGCUUGUAUUCCGGGGGUGGCUUCUCUACGGGAGGUGGCCUGUAAACAGGGGUUGGUGGCUUCUCCACCGGAGGUGGCUUAUAAACGGGGGUUGGUGGCUUGUAUUCUGGGGGUGGUUUCCCCAGUGGUGGAGACUUGUAAACAGGAAGAGGUGGUUUGUGCUCAUAUGGGGGUGGCUUGUGGUCAUUAGCAAGUGAGGGAGUGGUGAGGACCACCAAUCCAAGGAACAACACGAGUGAGCAAGCAGAAGACAUGUUUGGGCUCUGGUGAUGCACAAGUAGAAGAAAUGGGAACCAUUUAUAAUGCUUCGAGACCUUGGUUAGCACCAAAAUAUGUCAAAAUCUUGAUUACUUCAUUUCAUACAUAGAUUUAAAAUUAUUUCAAUCAACCAUGAUCCUUAAUUUUCUGGGUGGUCCAUAAAUGUAAUGGGGUCAAUUUGGGACCUAACAAGCUGAGAAGUUUGACAAUGCUGCAAGGCUUCAUCCGAAAGUCCGGGGAAGAAUAUUAGGAGUUACACUCCGUUUCCUUUUUUGGGUGCAUUUUUCUCCUUUAACAUUCUAUUCCCUUUUACAUUAGCAUUUGAUCUUAGCUCAUUUCAAGUACAAGUUUCUUGAACCCUAUACCAUUGUCAAAGUUGAGUAACCAUCUCUACUUUGCUCAAGAAACAUAAAAGACAAUGACAAUAAAGAAAAAGGAGAGAGACCAUACGUGACUUGGUUUAUAGGUGGCUUUGUGUUGACAUUUGAGUAUGGAAGCCGACAUGCAUCUUAGCUUCGAUUUUAAUUAAAUUUGUACAUUAGUGUCUGUGUCAUUCAUUUUGGUAUAAAAGGUCUCUUGAUUUCGUAAGUUUGGUAAGAACCGUUGAAAAUAGCAGUAGCAGCACAUGGUCCACUUUCUUUCACAAAAUAAUUUUAAAAGUUUAGAAGCAUAGGAGGUAACAUUAGUGGCCUUGUGGCUCAGCCACGAGUACUAUGUGGUGCUCGAGAAAUUGAGUUUAAUUUCCUUCCGAUAGUUCAUGAUAAGGUCCGUCACUGUCCUGAGACAGAUUGCGUUUUUUCUUUUUUCCUUUUUUAGUGUUUUAUUGACUAGCUAGGUGUGACUUUUCCUACUUUAAGGCACGAGGCAGAAAAGAAACUGGGAUUUAGUGCUUAAGAAGGCAAAUUUAAUUCGAUUUGGAUCUAAAAUUUGCCAGCAACAUGAGAUUUUCCAGCCUAUCGUUGCUCCACAUAUAGACAAGGCACUUGUAGAAGUGGCUUGUUUGUAGCCAUUCCCGAUAUUUGGACUCACUUGAUUCACCGGACACUUUGAUAAAAUUUAAUAUUUAUUAUUUAAUAAUUUAAAUUGAUUUAAAAUUAAAUUAUACCGAAGUUGUGAUUUAAAAAUUAUUAUUUAAUUCUUACUUUUAAAUAUGAAGAUUAUUUGAUAAAAAUAAUUUAAAAUUUAUUAUAAAUUAUCAAAUUAACAUAUUUAUCCUUAUAAAUUAUAAUUAAAACAGAAAAGGUCAAAUGAUUUGAGUAUCCAUAGAUGUGGUAAAAUAAUAAAAAAGAUUAUAAAAACAAUUAUGAUAAAUAAAGAUAAAAAGUAAAAUGAAUAUGUGAAUUUAAAGAAUAAAUUAAUUAUUUUUAUUUAUUACUUAAAAUUAUUUUUGACUUUAAAUUAUAUUAUUAAAUUAUUUUACCAAACAUACUUAAUUUAGUUAAUAAUUUAAAUUUAAUUUAAGUUAUUAAAUUGAUUCACCAAAUACCCACUUAAUCAAAGACUGAAGUAUACAUUAUUUGGCCAAAUGCAGCUAUUGAAAUUUAACUUUUUCCAAACUUAUUCAUUUUGUGGAAAUAUUUUUAGAAAUGAUUUUAAAAAUGCACUAUUCUGUGUGUUGAUUUUAUAUUUUGGCAUUAAUCCAACAUAGAAAACGGUUCUUAUUUUCGCUGUUAAAUAGGUACCAGAUCCUUAAUUAGUGCCGUGAAUCCGGCAGCUUCCAAUGAGUAAUUUGGACUUGGGUAUUGACAAUGUGUGGCCAUGCUUCUACUAUUUUAUUAUUCUUGAAACAUAUAUGAUAUAUUGGACUUUAUACAGGGAAAAAAAAAAAAAAAAGUCUUCACCAAAAAUGAUUCCUCCUAAAAAAUAGACUCCACAAACUAGGUUUAACAGGAAAAUGAUUCUAAUCUAGUAGUUUCCAGCCACAUGAGCAUUUACGUAACAAUAGUAUAGUUGAUAACGACUUUUAUUUUAUUUAUUUUUAAAUAGUUAAAGGGAUAAUUUUUGAGCUUAAAUUUUAUUUUUUUAUUUAGAAACAUUUUACUUUAUUUUUUAAUCAUAAUUCUAUUAUAUUAAUGUUUUAUUUUCUAUUUUUUAAUAUAUAAGGAGAUACUAAAUUUAUGUGAUUAUUUUUUAAAAAUUUAGUAUAUGAAAUUAAAUAAUUGGAUAUAUAUACAUAUAUCAUAUAAUGUUUUUUAAGUGUGAUUUUUGAACUUUUUAGUCAUUUUAUAAGUUUAAGCUUUUGAUUUUUUUUUUUAAACUUUGGUAUUUUUUAUUUUAUAUAAAACUAUUUUGAUUUAAUUUUAUUAAAAAAUAUUGGUAUUAUAAAUUAUUGUAUUAAUUAUUUUUUUAUAUUAUAAUGUAACUGGUAUAUACUAAAAAAUGUAUGCAAGUUCAAUUUAAGUUUCAAAUUAAAAAAUUUCAUUUAAAUAUUUAAUAACUUGUUCAUAAUAAAAAAUUAAACAACAUAAUACAAAUGAAAAGAAACAUAAAAGAAAAAGGAAAAAAUGGUCCUCUCUGUGUGUCACAUUACUAGGUCAUCCUCUUUUUCUAUGACCCUUACAAUAGAAUGGCAUAUUUGUCAAAUCUACUUAUGAAAGUUGGAAUGUUUCUACAUGUGUAGGGUCCAUUGGAACUAAUGGAGGAAAGGCUUAACGUCUAUGUAAAUCACAACGUUGCCUAGGUGGGCAUAGAUCUAGUUGUGUAACAUGAGAUGGUGUGAGAGUACAAUAUAUGCAUUGUAGUCUCUAUGGGAAGAGAGAUAGGUAAUGGUAGGGUGGUAGACGGUAGGGUGAUCUCUAAUAUAAUGACAUUUGAUGUGGUGGCUUCUAAGAGAGGAGAUAUAAGAGAUGGUAGAAUGACAUUUGGUGUAAUGGUCUCUAGUGCAAUGACAUGUGAUAUGGUGACCUAUAAAGAAGAGAUAUAGGUGAUGGUGAAGUGGUAUGUGGUGUAGUGACCUUUGAGAUAGAAAAUAGAGGUAAUGGUAGGUUGGCAGGUGGAGUGGUCUUUGGUGUAGUGACAUCAAUUAUAAAUGUCUCCAAGGGAGGAAAUAAAGGUGAUGGUAGGUAGUAAAUGUUGAGGUGGUCUUUGAUAUGUUAUGCUCUAAGAGAGAAGGUAUAGGUAAUGAUAAUAGGGAAUUUGACAUAGUGGUGUUGGAAAUAAAAAGUGAAAGUGACCGUAGAGGUGAAAGGGCAAGUGUAAAAGCCUCAAGUACGAAUGGAGUAAUUAAUGUGGAUGGUGCUAACAUAGUCUUAGGUGGAUACACAAAUAGUCAUAGUCAUCAACUAGCUUGCCCACCAUCUGUCUUUCUGCUAGUGAUAGGUUACAUCUUAAUAGUAAUGGCCAACAUAAGUGGUGUGGAUCCGAUUUUUUUACGUGUGUCCCCACUCAAUCGACAAGACUUAUUUUUUAUUAGUGAAAAAUUAAUUUUGGAAAAGUUGGAGUCACCACUUAUUUUAUUUUAUUUUAAAAAGGAAAGUAAAACAAGAAAGAGAACUCUAAAGAAGUGACUUCAUAGUUUUGGAAAAGUUAGUCUUAAAAAAUCCAAGUCUUGGUCCGGAGAUCAGGUUACUUAUUGGGAAGAUACCUCUAAGAGGUAAUACCCCUCUAAACCCUAAAGAAGUCUCUAAUGACUAAGUUGAGGAGAAUGUGGUAAUUAAUUAAUUGAUUGAGGGUACCUAGGUAGACUAAGGUGAUUUCAGAAUUAACAUACCAAGCUAGAAAGUCCAAUCAUGAUCAUAAAAGAGAGUCAAAGUAUGUACCUGAACUGCUUCUCAAACGCUAUCAUAAAACAUCAAAGUUAGUAUAGAAAUAUAACACAUAAUAUUUGUUUUAUCCAAGCAAAUAAAGCAUACAUCUAAGCACCCAAGAAUCACAUCAAGUAUGGAUAUAGUCAUCAAUAGCAUACGUGUCCAUAGAACUAUCGAAAGUAAAUGUGGAGGAGCGUAUCUGGACAACAUAGAUAACUUAUAAUGUGCUUCCACAAGACAUGGGGGUUAGAUAAAAGUUAUAAUAAUAAUUAGUAAAUGAAAGAAUUCUAGCAUGUUUGGUAUCUAAAUAACAUAGCAAAAAUGAACAAGAGUACACGAAAACAUCAAUUAUCACACGAGUCAUAUUGGCUAGUAUUUAAUCAAUAAACCAACAAUAAAUGACUAUAAACAUAUAAAAUGACAUAUUCAAAGAGACCCAAACAUAAAGAGCCUAGAACACAAGCUUACACUAAAUUUAGAAAACUAAAACAUGGAAUUUUAAAAGCAUAAAUUAGCAAACAAAUUGAUGGAAACUAAAUUUAGAUAACUUAAGAAUAUUUUUCUUAUCCUUCAAUUUAAAUCAGUAAGCCAACAAUAAAAAAUUAUAGAAACAUGGAAUAUCAAGAUCAAUGGGAUACCUAAACUAUAAUUUUUAAAAGAAAAUAAACUAAGCAUAAUAUCUACAAAGCAACUAAACUAACAUUUUUUUAAAAAUAAAUUAAACAUGACAUUAAUGGAGUAACCAAACUAAAUUAAAGUAAACUAAAAACAUUUAUGAAUUUUCAAACAUGGAAUCAGCUUUCUUAGUAAAUUAAAAUUAUUAAAAUAAAAUCUAAGCUUAAAAAUGAAUUAAAUACUAACUAAAGCAAAUCUAAAACCAAAUAUUUAACACAUAGGAUCAAUUAUAUUAACAAACUAAAAUUUUAUAAGAACACUUAAACCUAAAGUUGAAUUAAAAACUAACCAAUUUUUAAAACUAGAUCUUUAACCCAUAGGAUCAAUUAUAUUAACAAAUAAAUAAUAAAUAAUAAAUAAAUAAAACUCAAACCUAAAGAUGAACUAGAAAUGUACCAAAGUAAAUUCAAAACAAGAUCUUUAACACAUUAGAUCAAUUAUAUUGACUAACUAAAAAAAAAAAAAAAAAACACUCAAACCUGAAACGAUGUAUUAGAAACUAACCAAAGCAAAUUUAAAAUAGAGUCUUUAACACAUAGGAUCAAUUAUAAUCACUAACUUAAAUUACAAUUUUUGAAACAUGAACUAAUUAGUGUUGGAUUAAUUAAACUAAUUAACUAAAAAAAACUAUAAACUAGAAUACGGUGAAUCAAGAAUUCAAAUCAACAAACAUAAAAUAUGGGUACAAUGAAAUGAAAAUCUAUUAAACUAAUAAGACGGAAAUAUGACAAACUCAUGAACCCACAUUUUGAUCAACUAGGAAAUAGAAAUUAAUAGACCUGUAGCAUGGAUACAAUGAAAUGAGAUCAGUUAAAUUUAUUUGCCGAAAUUCUAAAAAACACAUACACUCAAAUAAGAUCUAAAUCUAAGACCAAGCAAAACUCAAACUUUCUCAAUCUAAUGCAAUGAAUCAAAACUAAAAUUAAAUAGAAAUCAAACCAUUUUUUUUUUAUCUAAUAUAAUAAAUCAAAGCUAAAACUAAACAAAAUCGAAUUUUCUUAAUUUAAUAUGAUGAGUCAAAGCUAAAAUUGAACAAAGUUCAAACCUUUAUAUAAUGGAUCAAAGUUAAAUCUAAAUGAAAUCCAUACUUCCACAAUUUGAUAUAACAAAUCAAAAAUAAAACUAGAUAAAAAAAAAGUCAAAGCCUUUCAACUUGACAUAGUGAAUCCAAACUGAAACGAAACAAAAUUUUAACUUUUCCAAUGAAACCCAAUAUAGAAAAAAUUAGCUUACCUUCUUUAGAAUAUAUGUAUGGGCCAUAAAGAAGUCACCUUGGUGCAUGUGUUCCUCACUUUGACGCCAAUGGACGACUUUCUAUGGUAGCAAAUGGAGAUCCUUUUUGGUGGUAACUUGCGUGUGGAAACCUAUGGUACAACCAAUGUCAUCUUUUAUUGUGCGUGUGGACCAAUUUCUUCUCGAGAACUCAUGUGUGUUGUGCUCAAAAUAUGUUGCCUGUGAGAAUCUAUUGGUAUACCCCACAUAUGGUUUCCUUGAGAGAAUCUGUGGUUGUGUGUGGGCGUUUUCUUCAUGACAGCAUGUGGAUGUUCCCAUCUAUGGUAGAUUGGUUGUGAUGCUUUAGUGCAUGGUCUCCAUAGGAAUAGUGUGUUAUGGAAAUUUGGUUUUUUUAUUGGUGCAUGUUGUCUAGACUUUCCCAUAUGCGUGGACUGUGUGUUCAUGCUUUUCUUUUCGGAUGGUCGCCUGUGUUAAUGUGUGGCGGUGUCUACAAUGAAAGAUACAACCCUUUCUCUCCUUCUGCGUGAUAGAAAAGUCAAUCCCCCAUGGUGCGACUAUGUUCCCUCGUCCUUUUUGAAAAAUUUUGGUGUUUUCCCCCCAAAAAAUCCCCUCCAAAAAUCUAAUUAUAAAUGUCUGCUUUGGCCUAAUGUGUGUGCUACUUUUUUUUUCCUUCUUUUUAUGGUUGUGCGUGCUUUUCUUGAUACGUGGCUUAUUUCUUAAGGAUAUGAUUCGCUCCCAAUUGGUGUCUCAGCUGAUUCAUGUCCUUUCAAUGGUCCCUGACAGUGGUGCCAUUUGAUUCGUGUCCAGCUGGUGUCCCUUGAUUGUGGUCCUCAGAAGGGAGUAAUCAAUAAAAUUUAUAACCUAUUACACCAUGUAUUAGGAUAGCCUUAGCUAGCAUAGCAUAGUGGCUCUAGGGUCGUUUAUUGGGAUGAGUUUUCACUUCACAAUUGAUAUUAAUUCAAGAGCUGAAUUGGUGCCUUUUCAUUUCAAGGUUAGCUUUAAAAGAAAACAUAAUCUUUGGUGGAAAAAGGUUUGGUUUUAAACUAACCAAAAAUAGUAACUGAUUUUACUUACAAAGAAAAGUGUUCUUUGGAGUUUAGAUCACUAGGCUCAGGUUCCUCAUACAAAAAGGAGAGUUCCGAUCAUUUGUUUCUUUUCCUCGCAUUAGAGAAUUAACAUAUAGUUAAUUCUCUAACCGGUGCGGUACAUAUGCUUCCCAUUAAUGGGUUCAAACACUAAAUACCUCUCACUGAUGCACCUUGCAAUGGCUCGUGCCUCUCACCUAGCAUUUAUCAUUCAAGGUGAUCUUUAACCUUGGAUUACCCAUCAAAAGCUCGCAAGAGAUAACUAAAGGAUGUCUCCUUAGAGUCCAAAAGCUUACCAAGUGUUGGUUAUUCUAGAAAAUCCUACCUUCAAACCACCUCCCAAAGGCUCGCAAGAGAUAAACAAGUGCAUCUCAAUGGAUGAAGAUCACUUGCCUUACCAAGUUUUGGCCCAGAUGAUUUAAUGACAUUUUAAGUUAACUAAAAAGAUAAAAACCAUUAACGGGUCACACUUUCUCUUCAUUAAAAACUAAAACAACAAAACUUCCAAUUUAUGCAUGAGGAAACUUACCUGGCUUUCUUCACUUCAAGAGAUGAAGAGCCUAGCCACUCAUCAUUUGAGGAAAAAUCCUCAGAGUUUGAUUUGCUAGAAAUAAAAAUAAUGAGAAAACAAAAAUAUAUAUAUGAAAAACAGAGCAAGUUCUCUGUAAUAUAUUUUUCUUCCUUAUACAAAAGGUUGUCUCUAAGAACAAGUUCCCGAGAUCUAUCUGAUUGUAAAUAAAAUUACAACUAUAUAUAAGAGGUUAUUCACCCCUUUGUUCUUUCUUAAAGACUAAGGAAUCCUAUGAUAGGUGGGUUACAAGGAGAGUUUGGGGAUUUAGACAUCAAAUAUCUAAAGCAAAAUAUCUCAAGAUGUUAGUCGGAAAUAUCAGGAAGCUUCAGGAGAACACCGCGACACUGUAUACUGAGAGAAAAACUCUCCGGGUAAGCUCUAUCAAAGGAUCCAGACAUGUCUGACUGGGAAAGUUGAAACGUCCUUCUCUCCCAUCCGGAUGUGAGAUAUCCGGAGAAAGUGAAAUGUCGGUCGGACAGAAUUCUUUCCCCGGGUGGAAUGAGUUGUGUUGCGCGUCGCAAGGGGGACCGUCUGCGUGUACAAGUUGUAGGGACCCCUCUCCCGGAUGACACCGAGCGCGUAAGGCUAUCCGGAUCAACUCCAUUCGGAUUCCCCAAGAGGACAUGUGGCGUGCUCCCCUAUCAGGACUCCCUUAGGGAGAAGCACACGACACUCGUGAACAUCAUACCCGGACGAUAGCAUGUCCUAUCCGGAUGUGUUGUCCGGAUCAUUGACUAAAGUGAGCAAGCCUUGCUACGUCAUUCGGACAGCUUGCCACAUACCAUGUUCCGUCGCCAUCUGAUGGUGUGUCCGAACGCCUUGUCCGGACAUCUUUUGCUCCUUGCAUUCCGGAUUUGCUUAUGACAAAGGACUUCAAAGCUUCGGUUCUUCAUGUUUCUGAGCUUUCCAUUGCUUUGCCAUGGAUUCCAAAGAACUCUCCUUAAUCACGGAUUGCUUUGGUGAUCAAAAAGUUAUCAAAACACAAAAACUUAACAUAGUUUGAUUAGAAUUGAUUGCAAGGGUUCUUAAUAUGUUAAUUGGGUUAAAAGGUGAUAACUACUACUCAAAAGUGUUUAUAAGAAUUAAUUACAAGCUAUGAAAUAACACUUUUUGAGUAGUAAUCAGGAUACAUCCUAGUUUUUCAUGGAAUUGAUAGUGGGUUGUUGUGCAUGAAUGCCACCAUUUCAACUAUGCUGUUGUUAUUUUUAAAAAAAAUAUGGAUUAUGCGCGAGUGGCAAUUCUCCACUAUGGAAAGUGGAUUGCUCCUUCAACCCAUGCAUGGCUACGUAUUCCUAUGUCUUUCUACUUGUGUUUGAUCCUCCAAAAAAAAUUUCGGUUUAGUGCUAGUAGAUUUUAAGUGGUGGAUCCCCAUUUUUUGAAAAUGAAGUGGCAGCCUCCCAUUUCAAGACAAAAUGGUAGCCUGCCUUUAAUCUUUGGAGAAAAAUCUGUGCAUGACCUUUUUUUUUCCCAAAAAAUCCGUGCAUGGUGUCCUUUAAUAUUUGGAGAAAAAUCUAUGUUGGAUCUUUUCUUUUCUAGAAACAUUUGUGUGGUCUUUUUUGUUAGCCCAAGGGUUCUUCUAAUCAAGUUUUGAUGAUAACAAACCAUGGUUAAGUGACUAAUUGGUUUAAUGAUUAAGAAUCUCAAACAUAAAAUCGAAAAUUCAUCAAAGGACCAAAUGGAUACAAGAUCGAGACGCUUGGAAGACUUGUAAUCAUAGGAAACUAAUGUAAGAUGAAUGCAUGAGUGCACUUAGGAUUUUCACACGUUUCAUGCAACUUAGAAAACCCAGUUUAUUCUUUAAAACUUCAUCCCAGUUUAUUCUUUUUAUGGUUGUGUGUGCUUUCCUUGAUACGUGGCUUAUUUAUUAAGGAUACAUCCCAGUUUUUCAUGGAAUUGACAGUGGGUUGUUGUGUGUGAAUGCCACCAUUUCAACUGUGCUGUUGUUAUUUAAAAAAAAAAAAAAUGGAUUGUGCGCGAGUGGCAAUUCUCCACUAUGGAAAGUGGAUUGCUCCUUCAACCCAUGCAUGGCUACGUAUUCCUAUGUCUUUCUGCUUGUGUGUGAUCCUCCAAAAAAAAUUUUGGUUUAGUGCUAGUAGAUUUUAAGUGGUGGAUCCCCUUUUUUUGAAAACUAAGUGGCAGCCUCCCAUUUCAAAACGAAGUGGUAGCCUGCCUUUAGUCUUUGGAGAAAAAUCUGUGCAUGACUUUUUUUUUCCCAAAAAAUCCAUGCAUGGUGUCCUUUAAUAUUUGGAGAAAAAUCUAUGUGGGAUCUUUUAUUUUCUAGAAAAAUUUGUGUGGUCUUUUUUGUUAGCCCAAGGGUUCUCCUAAUCAGGUUUUGAUGAUAACAAAUCAUGGUUAAGUGACUAAUUGGUUUAAUGAUUAAGAAUCUCAAACAUAAACUCGAAAAUUCAUCAAAUGACCAAAUGGAUACAAGAUCGAGACGCUUGGAAGACUUGUGAUCAUAGGAAACUAAUGUAAGAUGAAUGCAUGAGUGCACUUAGGAUUUUCACACGUUUCAUGCAAUUUAGAAAACCCAGUUUAUUCUUUAAAACUUCAAUUUCAUUAAAACCCGAGUUUUUAACUAAUGUACCUUAGGCAAAAUGUUUUAUAAUUGGCUUAAUAAUUCACCUAAAUACAUUUUCUAAGUGUUAGAAAAGAAAGGAAUUAAAAAAAGGUUUUCGGGGCAAAAAAGGCUCAACCGGUCGAGGCUAUGGUCAACCGGCUCAACCGGUUGAGGAACCAAUCGAUCGGUUGUGCUUGUCCGAUCGAAGACCAAUCGAGGGAUGCCAAAAAAUUUCUCUCUCUCCUAGUGGCCUUCUCUUCCCGGUCGAGGUUCGGUCUAGGCAACGGUAACAUGUCAAGCAUUAAAUGCUCCGACGACUAGUGAAUCGGUCGACCCCUAGCCCGAUCGGACGAGGUUGCCUUUUGCUGUUUUUGACUCCCGAGCUUAGAAACCUAUAAAUUGAGAGCUCCACUUCAUUUAUUGAUAAAAGAGAACACUUGCAUUCAAUAGUCUACCUACCUUUUCUUGAUCAAAAAGCUCUCAUUUCCUUCAUAGUGCAUUAAAUCAUCACUUGCAUAUCCUUUAGUGCACUAUUGUGUGUCAUCCUAGCUUUGUUUUGUAUUUGAGCUAUCCUUAAGCUAGGUUGAGGGAUUAUUUCUUAUAAAAAUCUGAGUGUUAAAGCCUUCAAGAGAUUUGAAUCUUGAAGAGAUUGUGUAAGAGCCCAUUGGAGCCGGAGUCCAAGUGUAAGAAGAUUGGAAGCUUGGUUGAAGCUUCAAGUUAGUGGAACCCUCACUCGGUUAGGAGGUUGAGGAGAGUGGACGUAGGUAAGGAAGUGUCGAACCAUUAUAAACCCGAGUUUGAAUUCUCUAACUCUAUCUCUUUAUUUUGCUUAUAUUGUGUUUGAAUUUGUUGUGAUUGAAAAGAUUUUAAAAACCUAAUUCACCCUCCCCCCUUUUGGGUUUUUUUUUCUUAAUUAAGCAUAACCUUUGUUUUCUAAUUUUCUUUUUAGGAAAAUCCAUGCGUGGUAUGUCCAAACUCUCCAAGUGGCAGUCUGCCUUCUUCUAAAAAAUUUGUUUCUAUUUCUUUAUUCGACUACCUUCCAUGUCUUCCUAAUGAGUGCUUGUGCUCAAUGGUCAAUCCCUGGUGGUUGCCUCCUUUUCCCAUAUAUACGUGUUGCAAAAUCAACAUCCCACUAUAUGUGGGUUGCCUCUAUGGCAAGUUCACAUUUCCCACAUGAAACCUAUGAGUUUCCACCAAAAAUUGCCAUGAAAAAGUCUUUAUAUGCAUCUCAUGCAAUAAAAAGUCAAGCCAAUACUCAUCUUAUCUCGAAAAAUAAGUAACCAAAAUCAAGAUCAUGCCUAAGUGAACUAUGCCAAAAGAAGUGUCCAAGUGACCUAUUAUGAAAAAAGUGCCUAAGUGACCUAAGGUGAAUGUGUGUAAGCUGGAAGGUGUCUAGGAUGUUUAGGACAAUGCCUAAGCCUAAAAUAGGGUUGCCAAGGGUCACAAUGGGGUUAGAUAAAUCUCUCAAUCAGAGUCUCCAAGGUGGCUCAUAAAAGAUAAGCUACACGAGUAAUGAUGGGCCACCAGGGAAUUAUUGUAAAGCACCAAACGAACACAUAAUAGGACAUGUGUUAGAAUGAAAAAAUGGAGGGUUUACAAGUGGUCUCAUGGAUGAGCUUGAUAAUUUAAAUGACUCACAUAAUGAACGUAUGUGAUGUUUCUCUCCAAUAACAAGCAAAACAUCACUAGCAAUAUGAUGAAUGUCUCCUAAAUCACUUGAAGUAGUCCUAGCAAAUCAAUUAGAAAAAUCACACAUAUUGCUCUAAUGUAAUAUUAUAUACAUCUGUCAAUGAAUGGGAGAACUAAUGACACAACCAUCAUGUUGAUAUCUCGAACCCUCUAAUCUCAUAUGUAGGUGGGAUCACACUUAGAAACUCAUAACACAGUAAUGACCAAUCUAAGUCAAAAUGUGUUGGUGAUCGGAGGCCCAUGAAUAUGAAGUUCUAGGAUGAUAAUGACAUCUUAUAAAGUAAUGAUCAUCUCCUUAAUAGAUAGGUGAAAUGUGUGUGUCUUAGGACACCAUCUCUCAACAAGACUUGUGAUCAAUCCCCAGUCUAGUGUAACAUGCCUAUUAUGACAUCCAUCGUAAAAUCUAGACUAGAUAAUAUAAGGACAAAUGUGAGGGUUCAUCUCCCUUUCCCACAUAAAUUUAAAAAAUUAUUAUUGACAAGUUAAGACCAAACUAAGUUGCAAAAUAUAAAUAAGUCCAUUAGAUAACAAAUUUAUGUUUUCUCAUUUUCUCAUUUUUAAAGAGAUAUUAUGUGCUUCCAUGUACAUACAUGCUAAAGUCAAUUAUACGAGACUUAUAUCCAUCUUGUAGAACCAAAUCGAACCUAUCUAAUAGAUCCAGAUUAGAAGUAUGUCCUCUAUACUCCAUAUUUAUAACACAUUUAUAAAGAUAAAUGCUAAAAAAAUGUUAAAGAUAUAAAUUUAAUGAACCAUACUUUAUGAUUUUAAUUCUCAAUUAUUGUUCAUAUUUAUAAGAGAAAAGUUAAAAAAAUUGAUAGAGUUUUCCCUCUAUCAUGGACAUUAUCCCAAAUAAAAAUAAAUUGAUUAUGCAAAUUACAUUAAUAUUUGUAACCAAAUGAUCAAUAACUAUCUUGUAUCAAUUUAGUAAAUAAAUUUAAGUAUAUCUUUUCAUUUAUGACUAACAAAUAACUCAUACUUGUCCAAUAAAAGCCACACCUAAUUUCUAAAAUUUUGUCUUCACCUCAAGUGAGUGUUACAUUGAGAAAGAAAAAAUAUGAAAGAAAAAAUGAACACCUUUUUCUUUUAAUAAAAAAAGGCCAUAACGAAACAUUAAAUCUCACUGUUACACCUAUCUUCAAUGGAAACAUGAGGAUGUGAAUGGUGGCGGUGAUAUUCUUUGCUUGAAGCUCAUAAACAAAUAUUCCUUACUAAGCCUAUGCCAUUUAGUAUUUCAAUAGUGGACCCCCCCCCCCCCCCCCCCCCCCUCCUUGCAUUUCAGAUUUAGCAAACUUAGAACCAAAUAACAAAGUGCAUUUGAACCCAUAAAGAAGUAAUGAGACUCUCCUAUAUUGGCAAUAGAAGAAAUUUUUGGAGGUAUAGGAGAUUCACGGAUGAAGAAGUUGGGCCCCAAUUGAGAUAAGACCCAAGAAAAGAUGGGGUAGAGAGGGAUGGUUGGAAAUUGUAAAGUAAGAUUUUCAAAAUGUAGUUGAUGACUAAGAUUUUGACAAUUUAAAAAAGGUUUAAAAAUGUAGUUAGCAAUCGGGGUUUUGUAACAUUUAAAAAAUAAAAUAAAAUCUCAGGCCACAUGGUAGCCCAUGUGAUUCAGAAGCUUGAGAAUUAUUUUAUAAGAAGACUUAAUUUGUGAUUUUUUUAUAACUAUAUUAUUUUUUUUCUUAACACACGAAAAAAAUUAUGAAAUAAGACAAUUUUCCUAAGAAAGCAUGUAAGUGACUCUUGGUUAUUUUAUUUAACUUCUUCUAGUUUGGAGAGGAUUAAUACCUUUGCUUUUACUCACUUGCUUGGAUAUGUACACGUUGUUCAUGUCACUUUUCAUUUAAUUUUCUGAUUAAGGGAAUUGGAACCGUACGUAACUGUCUUUAUUCCCUCUGAAACUUGGACUUGGAGUUGGACUUUCAAUCUCAUCAGUCGUGUUUCCAUAAAAAAGAAGAUGGAUUAACCAAUUUUCCUAUGCCUACUAAUCAUACACAAAACUCCACUUCCAAAUAAAAAGGAAUGGGAUAUCACUUGUUAAUAGUGGCUAAAGACUAUUAAUAACCAUGCAAAGAAAUGUCACAUUUUUUGUUCUACGCAAAUUUUAUUCAUCAACUACUAGAACCAUUUCAUACAAUAGUAGCUUUUCGAUCCUUUGAUAAAUGGACACUUGAUGUGAUAACACCAACUACACCUAUAUAUUCAAGCAAUCAUGCGUAUAUAAUAGUGGAUAUGGAUUACUUCUCUAAAUGGGCAAAAGUUUUGUCAUUCAAGGAAAGUGAACGAGGAAACACAAGUUUACUUUCAUCGGAACUAAUAUUAUAUAUUGAUAUGACUUCCCAUUAUUACUUACGAUGGAAUAUGCUUCCAUAAAAUGGCCUAGAUGAACAAACUAUCCAAGAAGUUUGGGAUCAAAUAAUAUAUAUAUAGUUCAUGUGUGAUUCUUUGGUUGACAACCUUGUUAAGGGGUGAGUGAAGCACUUUGGGCAUACCACAUACUACAUGCUAGACUUCCACCCAAGCUACCCUAUAUUCCUUAUGAACAAAGUAGAAGUUGUCAUCUCUCUUGAAUACCAAAUCCUUUCACCUAAUAAUGCUAUCUAAAAAGGUCUUAAAAAGGAUAAAAAUGCGCAUAUUUGAAUUUUUGAAUUAGGAGUGCUACUUAAAAAGAAGCUAGAUAUACAAUAAUAGAAUGUUAUCAAGCAUAUCUCUUCAAAGUUUUUGACCAAAAAAUAUAUGAUUUCUCAUUUUAGGUAGGAGACUUAGUACUCACUAUUCAAAAACCAAUUAUCAUUACUCAUAAAAACUAAUAGAAAGUUUGGGCCAAAGUAGGAUGGACCUUAUAUUAUGCAACAAUUAUGCCUAUAAAAUUGUUGCAAAAGAGGUUUUAGAAUCAAAUCAAUGAAUGAAAAAUUAUUAAAGCAUUACUAUGCUUGAAGGCUAGUCAUUUUCCCUUAAAGUGCAAUAUUAAGUUGCAUAGUACUAUGUGGAUCCGCAUUUUUCACAUGCGUUCCCACUCAUUGUCGAGACUCACUUUUUAGAAGUGAAAAAUUAGUUUUAUUAAAGUCGAAGUUGCCACUGGGGAUUUGAACCCUAACAAAAGGUUCAAUUUAAGGAUAAAAAUAUCGAUAAUCACAUAUAUAUAUAUUGGUACUUUGAUUUUAUGAAUAUAUUGAAGAAAUAUGGACAAAUAUUUUGACACAAAAUAUGUACAAAAUAAAAAUUAUAUAAAAAGUAAAAAUAAAUAUUUUAAAAUUAUUUUUUUAAAUAUAUAUAUAUAUAAUUUGACAUAUUUGAUAAUAAUAUAUAAGGGUCUCCAAAAAGCCCGUGGCCCGCUUUAGGCCCGGUCCGACCCGACAGGCUAAAGCCCGGCCCAAGCCCGCCGGGCCCAAGCUCGGCCCGAGCCCGUUUAUGGGUGGGCCGGGCCGCGAGCCCGUAGGCCUGCUCCUUUAAAAAAAAACUACAAAAAUAAAAAGUAUUAAAAAAAAUAUUCAUUUCAAAAUUUUAUUCAUUGAAUGUAUAAUUACAUUUGAAAAUGUGGGAAAAGUUUACAUCACUACAAAAUAAAUACAUCCCAACUAGGUUGGCACCUAUUUAUUUGUCAAUCAUCUGUAUUUUUCAACCACAAAAAAUAAAAAUAAAAAUAUAAUAUACAUUUAGUCAUUAUUUUCUGGCGGUGAUGGCGAACUAUCAUGCAUCCAUGAAGAUCUUGAUAAUUUUAAAGAUUCCAUAUCGGUAAGCAUCUUUGUUUCUCGAAUGGAAUCAUACAUCCUUUUAUCUGCUAUUUCCCAAUCUUUCACACAUAUCCCUGCUUUAAUAACAUCUGACGCUAAGUUGCAUCGUUUUUUACUAACUACUCUUCCACCUGCACUAAAAGCAGCUUCUGAUGCAACUGUACUCACAGGAACUGUUAGUACAUCACGAGCAAUUAUAGAAAGCACAGGAUAUUUGUGUUGAUGUGAUUUCCACCAUAUUAAAAUAUUAAAAUCUUCUUGAUCUUCAAAUGAAAUUAUAUCAGUAUUAAGAUAUUUAUCUAAAUCAGAUGUAUUAUUUGGAGAAUUAUUUGUUGUCUUUUUUCGACUUUUCAACAUUUCUAGAGCUCCUUUAUAAAAAGAUGAGGAGUUUGUAGAUGUAGGUGGUAAUUUAAUAGUAUUAAUAUCAUUACCAUAUUUUUCUUUAUAAUAGUUAUAUAAAUUAUAUAAUAAUGAAUUUAUUUCAUUUUUAAUUUCUUCAAUUUUUAUUUGGUCAUUAAAAUAAAUAAUUGUUAACCAUUCAUCCAAAGCUUCAAAUUUCAAUCUAGGGUCCACAAUUAAAGCAAUAUAAAAAAUUAAAGGUAUUUCUCCCCAAUAUUUUCUAAAUUUUUAUAUCAUUACAAAUAUUGUAUCAUUAAAUAUUUCAAAACUUAAAUAUUUUUGAAGUACAAUAAAAAUAUUAGUUAUUUGCGUAAUAACUCGAUUUGAAGUUGGAUAAUAUACACCACAAAAAAUGUUUGUUGAAGUAUCAAAAAUUUCAAAAAGAUCUCUUAAAACAUCCGCAAUAUGCCAAUCAUAAUCAUUUAAUGCAUAAAUAUCUGCUUCAUAAUCAUUGUUAAUUAAUUGUAUUUCAUAUAAUUCGACUACUUUUCUAUAUUUUGUAAUAUUUUCUAAAAGUUUAUAUGUGGAAUUCCAUCUAAUAGCCAUAUCCAAAUUUAUAUUUUUUCUUUUCAUAUUUAACAUUUUGCAACAAUCAAAAAAUAAUUCAUGUUUUGCUUGAAAACUAUUAAUACUAUAUGCAAUGCCUCUAAUUUUUUUCCAAUGUACUAUCAACAUUUUUUAAUCCAUCCUUUACAAUUAAAUUUAAAAUAUGUGCACAACAACGCACAUGAAAUAUUUUAGCAUGAUCUUCUUUUACUUGCCAAUAUCGUUUUAGUCUAUGUAUUGCUGCAUCAUUAUUAGCAGCAUUAUCUAAUGUUAUUGUCAAUAUUUUAUCACGAAUGCCUAAAUCUAUAAUUUCAUCAUUUAUUAAAGAUGCUAUAUUUUUACCACUAUGUGGAGUAUUUAUUAAUUUAAAUAAAAUUAUUCUUUUAUUUAAUUUCCAUUCAUUAUCAAUGUAGUGAACAAUUAUAUAUAAAAAACCAGUAUGAGUUAAAGAUGUCCAAAUGUCAGAUGUUAAACGAAUAUUUCCUUCAAAAUUUGCAAAAUUUUUUUUUAAAAUUUCUUUUUGUGUAUAAAUUUUUUUCAUAAUAUCUCUUUUAACUGUAUUUCCAGAUCAACCUUUAAAUUGAGGAUUAAUACCUCGUUGAAUUGUUCUUGCAAAAUCAUGAGUUUCCAUCAUGUUGAAAGGUUGUUCUGCUCUUAUUAUAUAAUCAAUCAUUUCUUCACAACAGUUAGAUUCAUCAUAAGAAAAUGUUUUUAAAUUUCCACUUUCAUUUUUACUUAAUUGCAUAUAAUUUCUAAUAUCUACAUUAUUUUUAGUUUUACAAUUUUCAUGAUGUCUUUUUAAAUGACUUGUAUCUGCAUUUGAGCCACCAGUAAGAAAUUUAUUACAAAUUUUACAUUUUGCUUUUAUUUUUUUUUUAUUAUUUUCUAAAAUUAUUUCUAUUCUAUCAAAAAAAUUCCAUAUAUUUAAAGUAAAUUUUUUGUUUGAUGAUAUUUCAUCACAUGGACUAGACGAAGAAGCACUUGUCAUAUUAUAAUUAUUGAUAAAAUAUUAUGCCAAAAAUAAUAAAGUAAUAAAUAUAAAAAAAAAUGUAACAAAAAAAAUAAAGUAGUAGGGGUGAAGUAUGUUACUCAAUUAGAGAACCUAUGCAGAAAUUCCUAGCAAAUUUGAACUCUUGGAGCCACCAAUGCUUGUUUUGCACCAUCAACAAUAUUGUAUAAUUUGAGGGAAAAAUAAAAGAAUUUAAAAUAUUGUAGAAUGUGAGAGAAAUAGAGAGAAUUUGAUGAAAAAAUGAAAAGGAAGAAAAUGUAUUUAUAGGAAGGUUAAAAAUAAUAAUAAUAAUAAUAAUAAUAAUAAUAAUAAUAAUAAUAAUAAUAAUAAUAAUAAUAAUUGGCCAUGUGACCGUUGGAGGCUUAGCUCCAACGGUCACAUGGGCUGGAGCUAGGCUCCAACAGUCACAUGACCGUUGGAGCCUUUAAUUUUUUUUUUUAAAAUAAUAUACUUUAUUUUUAUAUAUAUAUAACUAACUCAAUUAAUAAACAUAAAAAGAAUAUAGUUCAGUUGGUUAGAACCUUGAAGUUUAAACAUGAGGGGAGGGGUUUGAAUCCCUCCCUCUCCCUUAGGGGCUUUUUUAAAAGCCAUUUUGGCUUAUUUCAAAAAGCCUGUCGGCCCGACCCGCCCUGCAGCCCGCGGGCCUAGCAUUUUAGCAUGGCCUGGUCUGUUGACUAGUCAAAUGGCUCAUAGGCUCGGCCCGAACUGGGCCGCGGGCCUCUUAUUUACGGACCGGCCCGACCCGGCCCGCCCGUUGGAGACCCUUGAUAAUAUCUUCUAUAUUAAGUUACAUUAUAGUUUAUUUUACAAUAUUAUUAUGAUAAUAUGUCUAAUUUUAAAAUAUAUUUAAUAUUAAAAUUAUGAUCUAUUUUAAUUUAAAUGUAUUCAAUGAUAUCAAAUAAAUAAUAAUAUAUGUAUAAUUCUUUUAUUAUUUAUAUUUAUUAUUUUUAAUAAAUAUAUAGAUUAUAUAAAAAAGACCGGAUAUAUCUUUUCAAAUUUUGUAUCGCUCUCCAAGGAUAUUAGAUGUAUGGGAAUUUGUAUUGCUAUCUACGGAUACGUUGAUAUAUGGGUGAUUUAUCAGGAUAAUUAGAAAUUCUAAUUAUGUAAGCAGGUACGGAGUUCUGUGUCGGUGCGAUCUUGUCGACAACAGCUCCAAAUUGUGCAUCUUGCUCAUAGAGAGUAGCGGAAUGCACCAAUCGUAGGCUCAGAGUACCACUGAGUCGUCUGGCAGAGACCCAACUGAAGGUGCCUGUGUUGUUCCUGAUCUGAUCAGGCUUCAAACUACAAGGUGGAAUACUGGUUCCCCUAUAUCAGAAGCUGGAGAUACCCACCCCAUAUGCUCGUCUGGAUGUGCUCCUACCCUUUGAAGCCUUCUUCCGAGUCAAGUCCGAAUUGAUAAGGCUAGUGAGUUCCCAACCAACUGUACUCAGCAUGCUGCCAGGUGGAGACCCUCCAUAUUUGAUGGCUUCCUAAUAUUAAAAUGCUGACCACUGGUCUUCAUGUUCCACAGGCUUAAUUGUGUCCUUUGCUGAAAGAAUGGAUAGUGAUCCAUUUUAACACAUGAUUCACGCCGUCUUUGCCAUUCUUCAUGGUCUAGCCCUUUUAUAUAUAUGCUUCCUGAACUGUUGCUAUUAAUAAAAUGUGGUAUCUAUCCCGUACACCUUCCUGAUGGCCAGCGAAUGCAGAAGCUACAGAAACGGUUCCAUCUUUUGCUUCCGCCACUUUGGCAUCCUCCAUGAUGAGAUCGAAGGUGAAUAAUCAUAUUCUGGGGAUUUAUGUCCUGGAUAUUCUCAGUAAUGCCCAAUUUCCUGGUGCCGGCCUCAUUUCCAUGGGAACUGAUGGAUAACUUAAGGCUUCUACCAUCUGCGUGGUUCGCUUCUAACACAGGAAACUUCACGGCUAAAAGCAAGAUACCAAGAACAUCAAGGCUGUGACAAAAAUUAGUAUUUUUAACUUGUAGGAAUUUGAAAGGCAACCAACCAUCUAGCUCUGUUCUUAAAGCUCCCAUAGGAGGAUCAGAGGCUGGAUUGCUCAAGAUGAACUCAUCCAUUGUUGCACUUAAAAAGAAUUGGCAUGAAUUGUGGCCGCUCUAAUAGGUUCCCUAAACCAUCAUCCAAGUGGGCUUGCGGAAGGUAGCGAGUUUAAAACACCUAGGGCGAUGAACAGUGGACUGUGAUGCUCACAAAAGAGAAAAGGAAGAAUUCAAUAAUUCCUAAGAAUCCAUUUGCCUGUCAUCCAAAUUUUUAUAUUCUCUUCAGUCUGACGCGUUAUGCCAUAUAUUAAAAAUAGCGGCUUCUUCCAAGCCGAGACAGACUGUGCAAAGUUCGCAAGGCCAAUCAUCACCAUAAUCUGAAGUUGGCCUCCUCAAUCGCAGCUUGUAUCCGAAUGCUCACUUCACGGGAUGGAUUGUAAUGAAAACUAAUCUCAGUCCCAGCUAUGGCAGCAUCCUCACUUGACAGCAUUUUCUGCAUAUUCUAGAACAAAGCAAUAAACCCUCAAAGGCUCCUUCGGAUCAGAGUUAGAAGACUGUCCCUCAGGAACGUGAACACUAUGGUGGUUCUGAUAAGCAGUGAUAUUGCAUUAGAGCCUUUUGGAACAAGAGGAUCUUUUCAGGUGGAAACUGUAAACUGCUUCAUGUUGGGCUGCAACCUUUUCUUCAAGCAAUACUUUCUUUCUGUAUCACGACUUAUGUUGCUUCCGGAGCCAUCCCGUGUGGACUGCCCUUCAGUGAAAGAAUAUGUGUGUUGACAUGUUGGAUUGUAAUCUUUGUUCCACUCUAAUGGCUUUUGGUCCUCCUCUUUCUCUUUAUGACAGAGAACCAUUUAGUGAUCCAUCUCUAUAUUGUAGCAUUGCUGGUGCUUUGCAAUACUACACUCUCACCAAGCAUAACAUCUAUUUUUCCGUGACCAAAGUAUGUCGGUUUAUGCAUGCGCAAACUCUUAUUCAUUGGCAAGUUGUCAAGCGUAUCUCAUGAUUUCCCAAAGCCACAAGUUCUUAUGGUCUUUCUGUUCAAGCUUACAAUGAUCUAUCUUUUCUUGGUUAUACUGAUGUCGAUUGGGCUAGUUGCCCUGAUAACAAGCACAAUACUAGUGGGUACAACACUUUUCCUGGUCCUAAUCUCAUUUCAUGGGCAUUUUCAAAGCAGAAGGUUGUGUCUCACUCCAAUAACGAAUCUGAAUAUAGGGGACUCACUAAUUAAUGUUGUUGCCAAGGUCACUUGGAUUGAAUCUGUCUUACGUGAGUUGCGUGUUUCUCUACCCCAACCACCAAUUUUGUUGUGUGACAACAUUAGUGCUACACACUUGGACAAACCAUGUUGAAAUACACUAUCAUUUUAUCCAUGAAAGGCUUAUGCAUCACACACUCAAAAUUCAAUACACCUCUUCUAUAGACCAACUAGUCAAUGCUAUGACCAAAGCUCUUCCUUCAUCUCACUUGUACAAUCUUCAGUGCAAGCUGAUUGUUCUUCCCAAACCACUCAACUUGAGGGGAGAUGUUAAGCCAAUUUAAUAAAUUGAUUUCUUUUGGUUAAUUUGUUAGAAUCAUUUUUAUUAGAGGUUUGUUUGUACAAUUACAUCCAUUUAUCAGGAGAGUACACGUGUACAACUCCUCUUUUAAUCUCACCAUUGUAUAUAUAUGAUACACGACCUUACUCAGAAUUGCAUAACAUUUCCUCUGCUCAUUCCUUUUCUUCUUUGAAUUUUCCCUUACCUCACUGAUUUUGAUUUAUACCUGGUGUUUUCACCUUUGGUCUCUACCUUUCUAGCCAGUUUUCUAAUUAAUCCGUAUAUGGUAUACCUGUCAACUAAUGAGGAGAAAGAGAAAAGGGGAUUGCUGUUCCACCAGCUACAUAUAAUAAUUAAUUACAAUCAUGGUAAUGGAUCCUGAAAUCCAUCCUUUGUGGAUUUUGUACGGAAUAUUGUUGUUAUGUAUGUGGGCUCACUUAGAUGUAUAUUGCUAGCCUGUCUGGGAAAUGUGAUUGCAGGUCCAGAUUAUGAUGUUGAUAUUAGUGGGAUAAGCAAGAGAUGCAGUUAACACGUAUGUGAUGGACUUGAGUAACUUUUCCAUUUCAGUCCAUUUUUUAAGAUUAUGCUUAGUCUUAUUACAAGGAAAGACCAUAAGAAUCAUGAGUCAUUGGCAAGGUAAUAUCAUUCCCUCUUUACAGGCUUCUUCACCUUUUGGUUUUUUUAAUAUCCAUCAAGAUCUUUUAAUUGGAGGACAAUUACAAGUAUAUAUAUAUGUAUUAAAAGGGGAAAAUAUUAAAACAGGAAAUUUUAGGGAAAAUAUAAUAAUUAUUUCUUCCUUCUUUCCCAUAUAGAACUACACAAAAUAAAACUUUAAUAAUUUUUUCUUAUCUUUUUUAUUAUUAUUUUUUCUUAGAAACAUCCGUGGUCUCACAAGCUUGUAAUCCUAGAUUGUUAGGCUCCUUUAACAGUGCCCCAACAUCGUGGUCCAAUGACAAGCUUCCACGCCUUAAAAUCAGAAAAUGCCAUUAAACUUUAUCAGACAUUACAGUUCAAGACAAAGCUUUCAUUUGCUUAAUGUGAUAAUGAAAUUGUUAAUUUCAUUUCGUGGGCAUCUAAAUUUGGACGAGCAAGACCUCUGAAUUCCCUGUUUUUAUCACCAGCAGAGGAGAUAAAAUCUUAAUGGUGAGAAUCUCCACGUGAAAUUUAUGUGUACUGUCAACAUAUUUUUGUUUAUAUAGUCCAGUAGCUGCAGGAAGUCUAGAUUAUAUAGGUAGCAGUAGCACUAUUUAUAGCACUCGAUAUUCGCUGUAUGAAUACAUUAAACCUUGUUUUCAAUACGCAUCACAAGCAAGUACUAGAUACUACAAGGAGUGACAGUCGCAUCAACAUUUCUUGAUAAUAGCAGUGACUGAUUUAUACACAGAACAGUACUGUACACGUACCAGUCACCAGAGAUAGGAUCUUAUUCCUACAUACGACUCUUAUUGAUCGAAGUCACUCAGUUGGGGUAGCCUGGAGUUGGAGGUUUGUGUGGUGGCUUCUUCUUUGGAGGAGGCUUUAUCUUUGGAGGCAUCAUCUUUGGAGGCAUCUUGUGUGAGUCUUCUUCAGCAUUCUCUACAGGAGGAUGGCCAGGCUUAUGACCCUUAGGUGGUUUGCCAACUGGGAUUGGUGGCUUGUGUCCUGAGAGUGGCUCCUCUUCUUCGGGAGGUUUGCCAACUGACGUUGGUGGCCCGUGUCCUGGGGGUGGCUUGUGUUUUGGGGGUGGUUUCACUCCACCGGGAGGUUUACCAAUUGGUGUUGGUGGUUUGUGCUCAAUCGGUGGCCUCUCAACUGGGGGGCGCUUGGGGUAAUCAGCGAGUGAAGAAGUGGUGAGAACCACCACUCCAAGCAACAACACUAGCAAGUAUGUGGAAGACAUCUUUGAGUUUGGCUCAGAUGGUGUAGAACUAGAAUCCUGGGUGGCCUUUUAUAUUAGUUGGGCCCUAUGCCCGAACGACAAGUGUCAUGGUGACACAUAAAGUGAUGGGGUCGAUUUGGGCCUACCGGAUUUGAAAACUUGGACAAUUCGAGAAGCGUCUCCUGACUCCGGGUUGUAAAGUGAAAGAUUAGGUAUCGACCAUUGAAGUAUGAUCACAACUUUUGGCCUUUGGCUCUCUCUACUGCCGUAUAGCUUUUUUCCUUUGGAUAUUUUUCUUAGCUAGACACAAUUAUUGAGCAGUCUAAUCUCGAAAUGGGAUUAGUAUAGCUUUAAGCAAAUUUAUUAUAGUUAGUGGAGGACUUUUAAGAGUGCAGACGACAUUUAACACAUGCAUGCAGUAGUAUAGGGGACAUAACACUAUUCUUUUUCCAAAGAUUCACAUGAUUUUUAUAUUAUAGUAUUGGCACAUUGUAUGUAGCUGGUUUUGUGGUUAAAAUUCCAUAUGUAGACACUGGCGUUUCUCCAUUUCUCACAAUUGAUGUUUACCUCCACGAUUACUAGAUUAGAUAUACCAAACAAUAACACAUUGUAUAAUCUAUCCGCCCUUCAAAAUCUACUGUAUGAUGAAAUGUUUCAUGUGUGUGUGAAGUGUUAGAAAUGCACUAUAGGCAACAUCAUCUUCUUUUGUCUAGGCUUGGGCCUCAAAUUAUACUCCCAUGCCAUGAUAAAUUUUCAUGUGCAUUCUCUAAAGAAGAGUGUCUUGAAUGUGCCAAAUCAUUUUGAUUGAUUUUAUGAUGUUAAUUGCUCCGCAUAUGGAUGGGUAUGUGCUUUAUUUGCUUAUUCAAUCCACAAUUACCUUGAACUGAAGUCCUAUUGGAGCUCUAUUAUUUUAGCAACGUCCUGUCAAAUAGGCUGCUAACUUGGGGUGGUAUGGACCCAAUGAUCCAUCUUAAUCUUGGGUUGAUUUUGUCUGACUCUAUCUAUCUCAGAGAGAACCAGGAUCACCAGUGCUGGUCUGCUUAAAGAAGACUCAGUACUGGAUUAAUAUUGGUUUGGGUCAAUAGCUUAUAAUGCAUUGAAUGCAGAAUAAACAAGAUCAAUGAAACCCAAAACACACUGCCCACACAACUUCACUCUGGUGUCUGUUAUUCAUCAAUUCUAUUCCCACAUGAACUGGUUCAAGUUUAAGAAAAUGACAACGGAUCCACUGUAUUAACUUGGUUUUGCUUGGUUUUGAGCUAGUUGCCAAACCAGCCAUGAGUUUUACCUCUAAUGUCAAUGAACAAACCCCAAAUGAACAACUGCAACAGCUUAAAGAGAAGGAAUGGAGAUGAAAAUCCCUGUUUCUUCUCAUUCUGGGGACAAAUUAGAACAUAACUACAAAGGUUCUAUUAAUUGACUUACUCUACCAUGAAUUAUGGUUCUUUGGUUUUCCAAAUUUAAAUUGUACAUGAGAUUAUUUUUUUCCUUUAUAUAUAAACAUAUUAAGGUUUUCUUAUUUCGUGGGCAAAUGCGCUAAGGAUGAAAGUCAUUUCAUUUGGCUGCAACAGCAUCUUAUAAUCAACAUGCAUAAGCAGCAGUUUUAAUUGAUCGAUUGAACACCGACUCACAAGAAUAGAUAGAAUGGUACAAGACAGCUCUUAUUAAUUUAUACUCGUUACUCAUUUUAUGUAGCCCCAUUAAGAUGGCUGGCUGGACCACCGAGGUCUGGGGGUGGUGUUGCUUGUGUGAUGCAGCGGGCCGGGCAGACACUUCUCUAGUUGCUUCUAUUUGGAGUUAGAGGAUCAGUCUCUGCCAACCUUGAGGACUCUCUACCUCAGAGGGUCCAGGUGGUGGACUCUGGUGUCGGUAGCUUUGAACUCUCAGUAGACUAGUGUGUCUUAAUCAGUCACUGCCAGAGGCUGGCGUAGGCAGUGACGAUAAGGUGAGACAAAUUACCGAAUAGUCAAUAUCGACUGCACUUGACCAUUAUAGAUUUGUUCUGACAAAAGUGAGAAAAGGGAGAAAAUCGGAUGUUGACCUUUAUAGAAAAAGAUAAGAUUUACUGCAACACAGAGCACUGAUUUGUUACUUGGAAACCAAGUUAUGCUAUUAGCUAGCCUCCAUUAGCAGCAGGGUACCUUGCUGCCUGAUCCUAAUCUGAGUUCCCAAGGUUUCAAUCUUCGUUUGUUAACGCUUCAGGAUUUGGAUAUUUCAGCUUCGUUUCUCCAUUUAGCCAACGCUGCCUGGUUUGGAUUUCAAUCCUCAUCUGGAACAUUCUUUUUUCGGUCUGAUUCAGGAAGUGUUUGGUGAUAGUUGAUUAAAAUUAAACAGUACUAUCAUACAAAUAAAGCUGAUCUAAUUUUGGUGGGCAAUAUACCAACUCAUUUAUUCUUGAAAACACCAUGGGGAAUUGGAGGUCCAUCCGAAGUACUAUUUGAUGGGACUCACAAAAAGAACAGGUGCACAUUUAUGAGAUCCGUGGAAGAGAUAACUAUGACAGCUAUGCAUGUACAACAGAUUUAUGUCGAGUUCACCUCGUAGAUAUUUUGUUUUCAGUGUCGGUGGACCCCAAAAUGGAAAUCGGAAAUUAAGGUUAUAUUUAUUUUUUUAUUUAAUUUUAAAUAGAAUUUUAAUUUUUAAUAAUAUUAAGUAUUAAAUUAUUUUUUUAAGGGUAUUUUAUUUUUAUUAAGUAUUAAAAAGUAAAAAAAAUUAAUAUGUUGCUUUUUUAUUUUAAAAAAAUUAUAUAUUUUAAUUUUUUCUAUUUACUAAAAAGUUUAUAAUAAAUUAUAAAAAAAUAAAAAAAUAAAAAACUUAAAUUCUGAAAAUAAAUUAUUUUUAAUAAAAAAAUCCAAAAAAGCAAACACCACCUAAAUUUGAGAUGACUCAAAAUUUUAUAUUUUUUUUCACCUAAAUUAUAUUCAUAAAUUUAAAAUUAAAAAAUUAGGAAGUUGAAUUUUAUUUUGGAUAAUUGGAAACUACAAGAAAUCAAUAAAAAUAUUUGGAAAAAAAAGAAAAAGAAAAACUAUCUAUAUAUUCACCCCCUUCUAAGAAACAUAACUUUAGUUUUUAACUAUUUUUUAAAAUAAUUUUUGAAAAAUGUUAUAUAAUAUUUUAUAAAACAAAAAAUCUGUUUGACAAUUUGAUAUGUCUUUAACUUAUUUUUAAUAUUUAUAUAUAUAUAUUUUAAAAAUAAUUUUAUAUUUAGAACUUUAUCUUUAAUUAUUAUAUAUAUUUAUAUAAUUAUUUUUUUUAAAACAACUCUUAAAAAAUAAGUGAAAGUAAUUGAAAACAACUCAAAGAUAUUUGAUGAAAACACUCUAAUUUGUAUUUUUGAGAAUAAAAAAAUAAAUAAAUAAAUUUCUAGUUAUCAAAUGUAUUUUUUAAUUCUUUUAUUCUAAAAAAUAGAAAAUCGUUUUUGAAAAUAAUUAUUAAACAACAUUCUUAAAAAUUCACUCGUUACAAUCUAGAUUUAAUGCAAGAAUGAUUGAAGGAGUCCUCCAAUAGAACCCAAAGUUAUAAACAUGAACAAGAAGCCCUAGAAACACCAAAGAUCUCAUAUGGUAUAUAUAUGAGCUUGAUUGAGAACUGUUUUAAAUUCAGUUUUUUUUUUUUUUUUUUUUUUUUGUUUUCAAAGUCAAAACAAGUUUACUUUUAAUUUUUACUUCUUUUUUUUAAUUUUAUAAAUAACAGUUUUUUAAUAAUUUAUUUUGAAAACAUGAUUAUUUUUAAAACUUAUAAUGAAAAUAGGAAUUUUUUUUUUAAUAUCAUGGUUAUUUUCCCUUCUUUUAAGGAGGGCUAUUUUAAAAAUAAAUUUACAAAUAUGAAAAAUGAUUCAAACUAAAGCAGUACAAAUAAAAAACAUUUUUAAGAAAUAUUUAAAAAUAGAGAAAAUUAUUUGAGAACAUUUGAAGUCCUUAAAUAGACUUUUGUUUUAGAAAAGGCAAGAUAAUUAUUUUUGAAAAUUGUUUUCAUAAUGAUAUGCAAAAACCUACGUAAAAACCAUAAUUAUAAUCGGCCACAUAUCAAAUCUACUAAAUAUGAAAAGUAAGUACAUAAUUAUAUUUGACUUAGAUGCAAGGAGGAAAAUGUCGCGAUAUUAUCGCCGAAAUAUCGUGUGUCGAAGGGUAUCGACACGAUUUUUCUUGCAGAAAUAUCGGCCAGUCGAUUUUUCGGGAUAAAUCUCGAGAAAUCGGCAAUUUAUCGCGAUAUAUCGGCGAUUUUUCCUCGAUAUAUCUUCUGGUCAACGCGGGUCAACGGAGUCAACACGCUACAGUGAAAGUCAAAUGUGCUACAAUGUCCCCGCUACAAUCACCUCCCCAAACAAAUUGCCAAAUUGCUUCCGAGGGGAUUUGAACCAGCCUUCUUGCCAUUUGGGCUAACUCGCCCUUAUGAUAUAUAUUGCAUUAAACAUAUAUAUACUUAAAGUCCUUAUAUAAAGAAAAUGUUAAAAAAAUAUUUUAAAGAGCAAAUUAAUUAUAAUUAUUUUAUAAUUAAAAGCAAAAUUUUCUUUUAAUUAAUUACCAAAAAUAUAAAAAUUAUAUAAUUUUCUUCAUAAUGUUUUUAAUAUCAUUAAUAAUUAAUUAAAUAUUAAAAAAUUAUAUAUAUAUAUAUAUAUAUAUAUAUAUAUAUUAUAAUUUAUUUUAUAUUGUUUAAUACAAUUGAAUUAAAUGGAUCAUAUUUUAAUAUUAAUAUAUAUUUUAAAAUUAGACAUAUUGUAAUCAAAUAUCAUAAUAUUAUAUGUAAUUUAAUAAUAAAUGUACACUUAUAAAAUUCAUAUUUUUAUCGAUGCAUACAAUAUUAUUAUCAAAUAUGAUAAAUCAUGUUAUACAUAUAUCAAAAUUUUCAAUAAAAUAACUUUAAAAUGUCUAUUAUACUUCUAAUUAUAUUAUUAUGAGGUUUUCUUUACAUUUUCAUGAGUUUUAAACAAUUUUAAGCACCAAUAUUUUUUUCCAAAAUAUCCACCGAUAUAUCUCCGAUAUAUCCAAUAUAUCUCCGAUAUCUCCGAUAUAUCCGUAAAAUCGAAGUACCGAUAUAUCCGUGAUUACCGAUAUUUUCAUCAUUGCUUAGAUGCAACCUUCUUCCAAAUGACAUACUUUAGUCAAUACUUAUAUUUUUUCGUUUCACUUCUUUGAUACAACACCUCAUGGAUUUAUUGUUUAAUUUAUUUGUAAUUAUAAAACUAUUUUUCAUUUUUAAUAAGACUUGAAUUAAUUUAAUAAAUAUUAUAUAAUUUGAAUUUAUAAUUCUUUUUAUAAAAUCAAAGUAUAUUAAAAAAAAAACAAUUUAUCCGAAGAAAGUUUUUUAUUUUUUAUUUUUUAAAACCGAUUUUAAAAAUAACUAGCUAGACACCCUUAUUUUGAUAAAAUACGAAAUAAAAGUGUAAAAACAACAUGGCCAAAUAGGGGCUUAAAUUUUAUUUUUAAAACAUUUUUUUACACUAAAGUGCAUUUUAAAAACACCAUCAAAACCAACUACAAGUUAUGCUUCUUCCCGUAAUAGAAAUAUUUUAGGCCAAAAUAGAACCUCCCCAAAUAAAGACCCUAUACUAAACUCCUUUUCAUUUUAUUAAUACAAAAGUGGGGAAAAAAGGUCUAUGCUCACCUAAAAAACAUGAAUAUUGUGAAUUCACCAUUUCUAUAAGGAAGUUGAAAACUUCAAAAUUUUAUCAACAAAUUCUCUAAAAUCCUCAAAAUAUAUAGGGCCUGUUUCACAAAGUUUUUUAAAAUUUGUUUUUAUAAAUUGCUUUUAAAAUAUAGAAUAAAUAACAGUUUUUUAGAUUUUUUGAAAAAUAAGAGUGUUUGGUAAGAUGUUUUUUUUUUUUUUUUUUUUUUUAAGAAUUAAAUAAAAAAUAAAAAAAUUGUUUAGAUAAAAGAAUUUGUAUUGUUUUUAAAAACAAUGUCUUACUUUUAUGUUAUAAAAAUUUUAUUAAUUUAAUUUAUAAUAAUAUGAAAUGAAAUUCAAGUUAAGUCUUAUUAAAAAAUACAAAUUAAAUCUAUAAUUAUGCAUGAGUUAAAGAUAAAUAUAUAUUUUUUAAAACUAUAAAAUAAAUUUUCUAUUAUAGUGAAACAAAAAUUACUAUAAAAUAAAAAUAAUUUUAAUAUUCAUUUUUAAUACAAGUCAAAUAAGUACUUUAAUUAAUUUUUUUUAUCAUGAUUUCUUAUGUUUUUUUUUUUUUCUAGAAAUUAUUUUAAGUAAUAUAACUAAUUUUUUUUUUAAUGUUUUAUAAAAAUAAGGAUAUUUGGCAAGUUGUUUUUAUAAAAGGAUUUUAAAAAUAAAUGGAUUUUUUUUUUUUUUAAAAAAAGAACAAAAUGAUUUGUUUGAAUAAAUUGUUUUGAUUUUGUAAAAACAUUUUAAAUUCAAUUUAUAUAAUAUUAAUUAAUUAAAUUAAAUUGAAGUUUUAUUGAAAAUAAAAAUAAUUUUGUAAUUAAAAUUAGAUUAAAAAAUAUAUAGGUUUUAAUAAAUCGUAAAUAGUAAUAUUAUAAUAAAAUUAUAAAUUAUAUUUUUAACAUAAAAUAUACUAUUUAUUACAUAUUAAAAAAAAUAUUUUAUUAUAUUAAUAAUUUUAUGGUAUUAAUGAGUUUAUUAUUUAAGUUUUAAAUUAUUUUUAAAAAUUAAUAAAUUUGUUAACAAAUGCAAUGUACUAAAUGUGGUUUAAUUUGGAGUUAAUUUGUUUAGGGAAAAAAAUAAAAAAUAAAAAUCUUAUGUAAAAGAGAAAUAAUAGAGUGUGUGUGUUUUUUUUUAUUAUUUUUAAAAAUCAGUAAAAAGAACUUUUACUUAUUGCCUAAAAAUUAUUCUCUAUUUUAUUUUAUUUUUUAAAUCUAGAAAUAGAUAACAAUAAUAAAAAAAAUUAAAAAAGAAAAAUGUUUUUUAAAACUCAGACUUAUAAUUGCUUUUGUUUCUCAUUCGCACCCCUGGAUUCCUGGAUUCUAAACACAAAAUUAAGUUGAAUCGUCCAUCUAUCUUGUAAGCCAAGAAUUCACAUAGAAGAAAUAAUCGGAAUUUGAUUUGAUAUCAGAUUUAGAGUGGCUCACUACUCAUGCAUUGUCCCACAAUAGUAAUGCUUUGGGCCGAGAUAAACCCAUUUGUGGGCCCAAAUAAAACCCCUGGUUUGAAAACAUCGAUUUUACAGUGGCCCAAAAGAUUAUCUAUGAGGGGAAGAUAACUUGGAAGUCAAGCAAACACAUUUAUCGCUAACUUUUCUCUAAUUAUAAAAUUAUAACUUGGUCUUCUACACGUCUCACUUAAGAGGCGGAGCCACUUGGCACUACCUUUCCAUAUUGUAAAAGGAGAAGAAGCAGAAGGAGAAGAUUCUUAUGCCAUUCCACACACCAUGGCUAGUACUGCUAUGCUGCUUGGCCCGCCGGCUCUCCGCCAUCCUAAUUCUCCCGCCGGCACUGUCUUUGAAGAUGGGGUCAUUCUAACGGAUUCCCUGAUCGUCCGCACCAGUAAUCUGGAGCUUUCUGAAAAACCGCCACUGGAAUCCCUGGCGUAGUGCUCUGUCAGUGGGGAUAUUGCUAUGGAUUGUUUGGAUUCCCAAGCCCACAAUCUUCAUCUUCCCGGGAAACCGCCGAUGGGCUUAACGGAAAACAAGUCUCCGACCUUUUUGUCUUCCGGGAACCCGUGCUUGGACUUCUUCUUCCAUGUGGUUCCCGAUACGUCGUCUGAUGAUCUGAUCCGACGGUUUGAGUUGGCUUGGGAAUUCAAUCCGCUGACGACGUUAAAACUGAUAUGCAACUUGAGAGAGGUGAGAGGCACCGGAAAAUCUGACAAAGAGGGUUUCUACACGGCGGUUCUCUGGCUCCACGACCACCAUCCCAAAACCCUAGCCUGCAAUGCUAGGGUGUUGGCCAGCUUCGGUUAUUUCAAGGAUUUUCUCGAGAUUCUCUACCGGCUUCUGGAGGGCCCUAAAAUUCGAAGAAUCGAAAAGAAAGACUGGCUGGAUCGAAAAGGAAGGAAGAAAAAUUCCCGGAAAAGGAACUCAAUAUUCAAGCGAGAAAAUAGGCCUGGAGUUGAAUUUCCUGUAGAAGAGAAGGAUGUGGAGUAUAUGGUGGAAGAAUUUGUGGAUAAAGAAAAGGCUAGGGUACUGAGAAAGGAGAGAGAACUUGCUCUUGCCAAAAGAGCCCUGCACAAGUAUUCUACUGAUUCUAAUUAUCAGUUCUUACAUGAUCAGAUUUCAGAUUUAUUUGCUGAACUUCUGAAAUCUGAUAUUCAGUAUUUAAACUCCGGUGAGCUUUACAAGAUUAGUCUCGCAUCCAAAUGGUGUCCCACAAUUGAUUCUUCUUAUGAUAAAUCCACCUUGAUAUGUGAAAAUAUUGCUCGAAAGGUUUAUUCUCGCGAGGAAUAUAUAUCCAGAAUACCAAGGAAUUGAGGAGGCUCACUAUGUUAAUAGAGUCAGGGAUAGGUUGAGAAAACAAGUACUUGUUCCAUUACGUAAGGCCCUGGAGUUGCCAGAGGUUUUCAUGUGUUCGAACCAGUGGGGAUCACUUCCCUACAACCGUGUGGCUUCAGUGGCCAUGAAAUCAUACAAGAGCCUCUUCUCAAAACAUGAUACAGAGCGGUUUGGUGUGUAUCUUGAGAAAGUGCAAACUGGGAAGGCUAAGAUUGCAGCUGGUGCAUUACUUCCCCAUGAGAUUAUAGCUUCAUUGAAUGAGGAGGAUGGCGAGAAAGUUGCAGAGCUUCAGUGGGCGAGAAUGGUGGAAGAUUUAUCAAAGAAUGGGAGGCUCACAAAUUGCAGUGCGGUAUGUGACGUAUCAGGAAGUAUGAGUGGAACUCCAAUGAAGGUGUGUGUGGCUCUGGGGCUGUUAGUUUCAGAGCUCAGUGAAGAUCCAUGGAAAGGUAAUGUAAUUACUUUCAGUGCAAGUCCUGAGCUUCACAAGAUCCAAGGAGACAGCCUUGUAUCCAAGACUGAAUUUGUGAGGAUGAUGGAAUGGGGUGCGAACACUGAUUUUCAGAAAGUUUUUGACAGAAUCUUACAAGUAGCAGUGGAGGGAAAUCUGAGUGAAGAUCAAAUGAUAAAGAGGGUUUUCGUUUUCACUGAUAUGGAGUUUGAUGAAGCUUGUGGGAGGUAUAACUAUUGUGAAUAUGACUAUGAUAUGGAGGAAAUUGAUGAGAGUCAGAAGGCAUCUCAGAAGUGGGAGACAGAUUAUGAAGUGAUACAGCGGAAAUUCCAGGACAAAGGAUAUGGAAAAGUUCCGGAGAUAGUGUUUUGGAACCUUAGAAACUCAUCAGAGACUCCAGUGAUGGCCACAGAGAACGGGGUGGCCUUAGUAAGCGGGUUUUCGAAGAAUCUGUUAGACCUUGUUUUUGGAAGGAGGUGGAAUUCUGACCCCUCAGGAUGUGAUGGAAUUAGCCAUCUCUGGUGAAGAUUACAAGAAACUUGUUCUAUUUGAUUAAGAUAUCAAGAGAUUUAUCAAUAAUAAUAUGUUUUUUUUUUUCUAUGUGAAAUACAUGUAAUAUUAACUAUGGAGUUAUCAAAGUUCUGGAAAUUUAAUUAUUUCUUCUUUUCAAGUUUUGUUUGUCUUUGUUAGGAAUUCCCCUUGGGCGGACCCAGCUGGGGACUUGGAUUGAGGAAGUAAGGAGGCGAAAUUGUGUUCUUCUAUGGACAGAGAAAAAAGAUAAAAAUAAAAAAUAAAAAAGGAGGUUAUUUGCAUUUGGAUGUCAUGUGGUUUCAGGGUACAACUACAAGUUCGAAAUUGUACAUAAUGUGAAAAUUCCUGUGUGGAGAACAGCAUAAAUAUGUAUCUCAGUGUGUUUUGUUUGAGCUAAUUGGCAAAUUCGCUUUAAACAUGGUCACAUGGAUGCAUAUUUAUUUGUGAAAUGAUAGUAGUCGAUUACUUGGUCAGUAAGGUUUGUAUCUCUAACUCCAACAUCUUAUUGUAGUCUUUUAAAAUGUCAAAAGUUUAAUGCUAGCUUGAGAAAUUUUGGAAUGGAGACAUUCUAAACAAAGUUAAUAAUCCAUGAGACUUGGUAAAACCGAUCAGAUGAUGCUUACGUACAUGAAUGCCUUCUUUAAGCCGUAUCCUAUUUUCAUUGAAUGAGACGUGCCAUCUAGUUUUGUUCUUGUCUUGAUUGGAUCAUGAUCCCGGGAAUUGAUUACUGUUCUGAAUUUGCGAAUGUUCAAGGUAUUAGAGAAAGUUAAUAUUAUCGUUAAUUUACAUAUUAGUAUUUAUCUAGUUAUUAUAUAUUAGUUUGAAUUAUAAUAUAAUAUAGAAUUUGAAUCAAGUUUACUAUUAGUUUGAAUUACAAUAGGAAAUAAAGUUUGAAUUAUAGUAUAACUCAAAUAUAUUUGUAUAUAAAUAUCCAUCUUUAUCAAUGAGAAUAGUAAACCAUAUUUUUCUCUAUCUUCUUCUUUCUCUAUAUAUAUGGUAUCAAAGCCUCCAAAUCCUAAACCUAGUCUCAACUUAGAGCAAAUUUAGGGUGCAGGGUUUAGGCCCCGCCUCCCCCAACCCUUACCACAAAUGGUAGUGACCUUGUUAUGCCUAUGUAUUGUCAAUGCCUCAUUUUCUAUGGUCUUCAAUACAAUAUCUAGUUUCAAUGUCUCUUUCCUUACUAUCUCCAAUGCAAUAUAUUGAUUUCAAUAUCUCUUUACAACCAAGAGCUCCAAAUUUUCCUGGUUCAAAUCUACCAUAAUUUUUAUUCUCCUUUGCUUUUUACCAAUAUUAGUUCCCCUAAUUUAAUAUAUAUCUCUUUAUUACCUUCAACUCUACCUCUCUCUUUCUUUAAAAGCUUCCUCAAAGAUUUGAUUGCUUUCUUGCAUGUUUUGGGAAAACAAACAUGCUCAUAUUCUAUUACCUCUACUUGAGAUCUGCCUUAUACUCUACCUUCUUCUUUACCUCCUAUAUCAUCUACUACAUUAGCUUCAAAAACAUUAUUUAGUUUGAUGCUAAAUAAGGCUCCUAAUCCUACCCUUCCUUCAACUAACUUUCUUUUACAAGUCCCUCAAAGUUUUUUUUUUUUUUUUUUUGGAAAUUUGGCUUAGAAAGAUUUCAUUACUCUUACCUAAUCUUUCAACCAUCAAGUCGAAUCCACUUAUCUCUUGAAUCCAAGGAGACUACCCUCCACAAAAACAAGGAGAUUGACCCCCACAAUAACAAAGAGAUUGUCCUCCAUAGAAACAAAGAGAGCUUCCUUCAUGGAAGCCGAAUACAUCGCAAUCUAUUUUCUUUCUCUCAAGAUCAAAUCUCCAAUCGGAGCUCCAUCUUGUGGGGAUAUAUUAGAAAAAGUUAAUAUUAUCCUUAAUUUACAUAUUAGUAUUUAUCUAUAUUAUAUAUUGAAUUAGAAUAGAAUAUAGAAUUUGAAUUAAGUUUACUAUUAGUUUAAAUUACAAUAGGAAAUAGAGUUUGAAUUAUAGUAGAACUCAAAUAUAUUUAUAUAUAAAUAUCCAUCAUUAUCAAUGAGAAUAGUAUUCCAUAUUUUUCUCUUUCCCUGAGGCUUCAGAAUGUGAUCUUGAACAUUUGAUCUUUUGGAUUCUUCUUGUUUCGGUGGUUUAAUAUAAUGGAAUGUUUAAUUAUAGCCUACUUUAUCACCAUGGAUGUGCUCCUGCAGAUUUCUUGAGGGUGAUGGUUAUUUUGUCAUGUUUCUUGAAUGGUUUGCAUCAGCUGCCUGAGCUGUUGUUGCUGGUCACUUUUGCAACCAGGGAAAGAAUCAUGGCUUUGGAGAAGCCAGCUUCUGUUUUUGUUGCCCAGCUGUUAGUUCACUAAGAUUGGGGGUCCUAACAUGUAUGUAUAAUCAUAAGCAAGGAAAUUUUAUGUCUUACGCUAGAUAGGUACCAUGAUAUGAUGUUUGAUUGAUUUAUUAACUCUACCUGUUUCAAAAGGCAUCAACAUUAAUUUUACCCUUUUAACACAUUGGAUUGUUUGACCUUACGAGAUUUUCUAUUUCUGUACUAUUUGAACUGCAAUCGUUAUGGUCCUUAGGUCUCUAAACCUUCGUUUAAAAUAAAAGUAAGGAGCACACAUAGUAAAAGUUAAUUUUGGGUAACUUUUAAAACAAAGAGAAAAGUAAAAGUUGUUUUUGAGAAAAACAUAUAGAAAUUGAAAGAUUUUUUAUUUUGAGAAAAAAAAGUCAUAGAAAAGAAAUAAUAUCCCCAUAUAAGUAGAUAUGAUCUAUCCGAAGUGUAGCUACUCUCCUGGAUUUAUUCUAACAUUUUAAAAUUUUUCUCAAUGGGCAAAGGAAUAUCAAAUCAAGCUUGAGUAGGAUUAAUUUCUUAAUUUUUAAAAUAACUUAUAAUUAAAAUUUUUUGGUGUUUUCUUUUUUGGACAAUUUUUUAUGAAGACUCUGAAUCAUGCAAGAGAUAUGGUUAUUUUAAAAAAAAAAAUAAUUUAAAACUCAAAUACAUAAUCAAUGUCACAAAUUUAUAAACAAAAGGUUUUUAAAAAAUACUAUUAUUUCCCCUCUACACAUAAUUUUACUUUUCCGAUUUAUUUAUUUUUGUUGGAAAACAGUCUUCAAAUCAAGUAAAAUUAAUAUGUUAAAUUUGUUAAACAAAUAAAUUUUAAAAUACAAUUUGGAACUCAAAAAUCAAUUCAAGUAAUGCUAAAAUUCAAAAAAUCAAAUUUGGAAUAAAAUGACUUUGUAAAUUUUUUUACUAAACAAAUGAAUUUUAAAUCAAGUGAGAUUUAAUACAUUGGAUUUUUAUGAGAAUAGUAAUUUUAAAAAUUAAUUUGGAACUCAAAAAUAGACACAAUAAAUACCAAAAAUCAAUGAACCAAAAUUGGUUUGGAAUAACUCCAUAAUUUUUUAUUUAUUUAUAUAUUUAUUUUUUUGUGCACACGAAUUUCUUACUAAGCAUAUUGCUUCCAAAUUGAGAAAAAUUUACUAUUUAGAUUUUUUUAAUGAGUUUAAUGGUAUUUAAAAAUAAUUCAAAAAUUCGAAAAUUGACUAAUUUAAUAUUAUAAAUUCAUAAACCAAGACUAAUUCAAAAUGCAUUGGGGGCUAAGGGGGUUGAAAUUAAUGCUCCAUUUGGUUGUGGCCACCAAUUGGCAAUGGCCACCAAUCAACCAAUCAAGGUGGCUAAGGGGGUUGAAAAUAGGGACAAUGGGGUGGGUUUGGGACAGGACACUCAUAUCCCAUUCCCAUCCCAAUUACACAGUUAUUUCCCAUCCUUAUUCCAAACUUGUGUUGGGGCAAGUUGAUUUGUUCCCAUCUUUGUUAACGAAAUGACUAAUAACCUCAUCCUCUCCUUGUCUUAGAUGUACAUUUUCUCAAAUUUGGUCAGGUAUGAUUGAUUCAAGCCCUAACCUUAAUUGGUAAUGAGUGGAUACCACACCUAAUUGCAUUCUUCUUUCGUUGCAAAAUAAUGAGAUUAUAAUAAUCUAGCAAAUAAGAAAAAAUAGUAUGGAAGUUCAAAUUAACACCAUAACUAUCAAUAAUUUUAAGCUUAUAGAUGACUUAAAUGAUUGAAAACUAAUGCAAAAUACUAAAAAAAAAAAAAAUCAUCUAAAGAAUUCACAAGAGAAUAGAACGAACAAAACCAAAUAGGAACAUGGGUCAACAUUAGUUACAGAUUUUGAUCCCUUUCAAGGCCAAUCUUUGAACCAAGACUUCAUCAAAUCUACUACUUCAAAGGCUUUUGUGUUCUUCUUGAGUUGUACUCUGGAACAAAGACUUCGAGGUGAUGCUUUAGAUGAUUGCAUUACACAUAUUUAGGGUAGGGAGAUUGGAGAAGCUUGAAGAUGCCAACGAUGGGUACAAUUGAGUGGUCAAUAAGAACAAUGUGGCCUAUGACUAGUUUGAUGUCAUGGUAUAGGAGUUUUGGGCAUUGAGGUGAAAGCAAGAGCAACAUGGAAUUGAUUUCAAAGUCUUUCAAUUAGUGUAAAGGAGGAAGAAGAAGUGGUAUUGAUCCUAGAAAUAGUGUUUUAGGUGUUGCAUUAGAGGAAAAGAAAAAGAAAAAGAAGGAACCAUUGGAAUUAGUACGAGUGUGAAGAGAGAAGUGUAUACAUAAGGGGAAGUAAAAGCAAAGUUCUAAAAAUUUAUUUUUUUAUUGGUGGUGUAUGGUUGCAUGAUUAUCCCUAUAAAUAAUAGGAGUUUUUUGGUGUUCUACUAGUAGUUGAAGGAUAAUUUCAUAAGAUAAUAUUUAGAGCGGGGUGGGGUGAGUUGUGACAAAAUCCAUACCCGUCCCAAACAUUGGUUCAGGUUUUUAAAAUAUUUUCAAACUUAUCAUAUACCCAAUUUUAUAUUUCAUACUUGUCCUAAUAGAGACAGGUUAGUCAGGGUUACUUGAGUAGCCUACAAAACUAUCAUCCCUAGUUGAAAUGCUCUUUUUGGCAGUGGCAGCUAGAAGCUCGAUCGAUUGACCUACAAGACUAGUUGUCAUCAUUUUAAAAAGAGUUUUGGCUUUGGUUGUGAGUGCAAUUGAAUCUAAACUAACAUUUCCUUAAUGCAUCUACUUCAAUCCUAAACUUCUUACUUAAGCCUCAAUUGUUGUUAAGAUUUUGGAAAACCCAUUUCCUUAAAUUGUAAAUUUAAGAAAAAAAAAAUUAAAAGUGAGACAUUUCUUGAUUGAAUGUUGUUAAAGGUCCCUUGGAAUUAAGACUUGGUUGAAGCCUUGGAAGAUUAGCAGAACUCUCAACUUAUGUUUGAACCUUGAGGAGAGUGGACGUAGGCCAAAAUUUUGUCAAACCAUUAUACAAAUUGAGUUUGAAUUCUCAUUUCUUGAUUUCUUAUUUAUUUGCUUUUUCUUAUUAUUACUUGAAUUGUCAUUUGCAUUCAUUAAUGUUAAAAUUGGUUAUAAUUAGCCAACACUAAUUCUCUUUCCCCUUCCCUUAAUUUCUUGGGUGUAAACCUAGGUUGGAUUAACUAGAUUUUAUCAAAUCUAUUAAGAUGGUAAAAGAAUAAUUAUUCUUAACAUACAUAAGAUCAUCUUCAAUCAAAUGACUCAUUGGCUGAUAUGUUGAAUUUGCUUAUUACUUGCAACUCAAAAUUGUGUUCUAGUUGAUAUGUCAAGUCCUGAGUGUAUGGACAUUAAAUUUGUAGUACGUGAUGAGUAUUUAGAUGGUCCAAUUCCAAGAAAGUGAUUGAAAACUAGUUCAAGAAAGGUGCAAAAGGGAAUUGUUUUGGUAUUUUCGUUUUUAUUCUUGAAGGUGGCAGAGCUAAAAUUUGAGAAAUCAAGCAAAACAUACUGAAAUUACAUUGAAAGAAAGAAAAUGGGAGUUAAUGUCUUGCAGUACAUGAUAAGGACUUCAUGCAUGUAGUGUGACCCAUGUCUUGGACUGAUGCCACACUCACGGUUACACUUAUACCCUUAGUUCUCUCUUUACUACCUUAGCUAACCUAGAUCAGGUUAUGAGAUAGGCACCUCACCACACCAUUACUUGCCCAUUAAUUAGUGACAUUUUCAAGCAAUGAGGUAACAUGGUGACACCAAGAGGGUAUAUUCCUCACCCCCAACAAGCCUAGACCUGGUCUAAAAAAAAUGGAGAAAAAUGACGUGUUGUUAUGCAGAAAUAUAGCAACCAUGCCUUCCUCAUUACUUAGAUUCAGAAUGUGAAGGUGAAAUUGAGAAACAGAAACUCUUGAAACCAAAAUGAAAAUUGAUACUUUUACGAAGAAUUACAACAACAUUAGAGGAAGACUACAUUCUUCCUCUUUAUUCCUACAUUUCUACACUACUUCUACUCCACUCCAUAUUUCUACAUACAUCUUUAAUCAGUCUUCCCUCCUUUAUAUAGAGCCAUCUUCACACAAAUUCCGCAAGGUAGAAAAGAGGAAUGAAACUUGGAGCAAGGUUCGACUACUGGCUGUAGCUUGUCAAGGCUGAAAGUGAACUUUUUUUCUUGGCUUUUCUGGGCAUAGGUAGUAACUUGUAGGUUCCUUUUUGGAAUGAAAAUGGUACGGCUAGAACAUGUGGCACUCUCUUGUUGGAUGAUGUGUCAAGCAUGUGGCAGCCAUCUAGUGGAGAUUAUGUCAAUUUUGGGAUGGAGAGUUGGCAUCCAAUUGCAAAGAAAUAUGACAUCUACCAACAUGCAAUGUCAACCUAUGUAGAUCAUAUGAAGAUAGAGAGGAAAAAUAUAGAAAUGGAUAUAUAACUAGAACUAGCUUUUUAUUAAAUGAGACGGAGAGCCAACAAUGAAGGAAAAUCAAAAUUUUUGGCUCAUAUCAAAGAAUUCACAUUGUGUUACCCUAGGUUUUCUUAAAACUUACUUUUAUGAUAAUAAAAAAUCAUUAUUGUUUAAUCCUUUGUUUUAAACGCAUGUUUAGCAGGUUGUAAAAUGUAAAUAUCUUUCGAAAUUCAAAUAUGAAGAUAUGACAUCAUUUCAAGCAAUAUAGUCUCUAGGAAUUAAUGUAAAGCUAAAUUAAGGUGCAAUUAAGUUAGUUCAAUGCAUUAUUUUAAGAAACUUGACCUAUCAAAACCUUGUCUUACUUCAAAGCCUCUUUUUCUUUUCUUCCAACUAACAUUUUAAUAAGUGAUCGCAAAAGUACAAAAUUAGAUGAAAUCCAUUUCAAUGGUUAAAAUGAUCAAAUUCAAACUUUUUCUAAGUAUCUUUUAAAAGCAUCAAUAUUGAAAGACAAUUUUAUAUUUAGUCAAAGCUUGGACAGAGCCAAAAAGCACACAAAAAUUUAUAUUUUCUAGCUCUCUACCUUGGAUGGUCUCUUGAUCCUACUUGGAGAUGUGCAUAAAUAAAAGGAUUUGAAAAUGACAAUUGACUAAGUAUGUAGUCAAUCAAUUACUCAUUGAUUGACUAGUUGAUCAAUUAACUUUGCAACAUCAUAUGCAAUCCUAAUAGCUAGUCAUCUAAUCAACUAGGUAGUAAAUCAAUAGGCCAAAAAUAUGUUUAUAAUGACUAUUUUGUACAAAAACCACUUAUAUAGUUAAAUAUAAUGCAUUUCAUUUAUAAAUCUUCUAAUUCUUGAAUAACAAUCCUAUCAUCCUUUGAAAGUUUUUAUUACACCUUUUCUACAUUUGUUCUAAAACUUAUACAUCACCCUUAAUUGUACCAUGAGAACCUAGCAUUUUUUUUUUUUUUUUUGUAUUUCAUCAAAGUUAGCUCUUGUACUCAUUGUUGUAUUAUUUUUAUUGUAACUUAGAGAGCGAGUGUUUUCAAGUGAGUGAAAUUGACUUGUAAAUAUUGUAAAGAUUCAUUGAUAUGUAUCUCAAACUAGGUGUACAAGUUGAAACAUUUGCUAGUAGAUUUUCUCAAGAUUUAGAAUGAGCUUAAGGCUAUCGAAUUAGGUGGGGUUGCGCCAAACCAUAUCACAUCGUUGUUUGCACCUUUUUUUUCACUCUCUUUUACUUAGUUGCUCUAUAUAUAUUGUCUAGCAAUAUCCUAAAGGCUUGAUGGGCUAGGGAGCAUCCCUCUGAAUGAAAAAUUUUCAUUCAAUUCUUAGUUGUAUUACGCAUAUAUAAAAUGCCUCAUUGUUUUAAUGGUAUUCAGUCGUGGCACCACAGAUAUGGACAUCUAAAUUUUAAAAGUUUGAAACUUUUAGCUAAAGAAAAUAUGGUGCUUUGCCUUUUUGGAAAGCAUGUUGAUGAAAUCCAUGAGAAUUGUAUACUUGGAGAGCAACAUCGAGAUAACUUUUUUUUUUUCUUUUUUUAUAAUGCAUUGUUUGUCCAAAUUCCGUACAAAUUAGGCCACCACAUGUUCAUAAUUCUCCCUUCUUGAAUUUGAAAACUCGGACAAUUUGACAAUGCGACACCUAAGUCCGGUUUUUAAAUGCUAAAGUGAAAGGGCAGGUAUGGACCAUUGAAAUGUGAUAACAACUUUUGGCCUUUUCCUUUUCUCUGUAGCCAUGUUGUCUCUUUUUAAUUUCUUUUGCAUGAUUUUCUUACCUAAACAGAAUCAUAGACUUGUUUAAUCUCUAAGUGGGAUUUCAUCCACCUUAAGCUACUGUAUUAUAUCUCGGUGGAGGACAACCGACAUAGAGCACAUGCAAGUGGGUAUAUGGGACAUGAAAUAUCUUCUUAUAAAGCUUGUUUUGCAGUUAAAUUAAUUGGAUAAGUAGACACUGGCGUUUCUAAAUUUCCCACCUAAGAUAAUGACCUUAUCCUUGACUGCUAGAUACACAAACAAUUAUACCUUCAAAAUCUACUGUGAAGUGCUUCAUGUAUGUGUGAAGUAUUAGAAAUUUCUUUCUUGGCAACUUGUUUUUUUCUUUGCGGUCUACUGAUAGGUUUGACUAAAAUUAUAUUCCCUGUCCUGCUAAUUAAUUUUCACGUGCAUGCUCAAAAGAAGAGUAUGACCUUAGUGCACCAAAAUCACUUUCAAUAAUUUGUGAUAAGUUUUUUUGCAUGACAUUAACCUUAUUCAUUUAGAUAAUGUUUAGUUCUCAUAAAUAUUAAGAAAAUGAAAAUAAAUAUUAAGAAAAAUAUUCUUAUAUUUGAUUGUAUUAUGAAAAAUAUCAUAAAAAAUCAAAUAUAAUUAAAAUUAAUUAAUAAUUUAUAUAUUUUAAAAUUAUUUAAUUUUUAUAUUAAAGAUAUAAUAUAAAUGAAAUGAGUUUUAAGUAUUAUAUAAAAAUGAUUUAUUUAUUUAUUUAUAUAUAUAUAUAUAUAUAUAUUUAGUUUUUCUCUUUAUUUUAUUUUCCUUAUGUUUUCCUCACAUUUUCCGGAAUCAAAGAUAGGGAAAUCCACAAUUACCUUCAACUGAGUAGAUUCUAUUGUUUUAGCAAUGUUAGGCUGCUAACUUGUGGUGGUACGAACCAAAUGAUCCAUGUUAAUCUUGGCUUGAUUUAAUUUGGCUCUAUCUCAGAGAACUCAAGGAUCACGUCAACUCUGGUUUCUACUAUUCAGGUCCAUUCCCAGAUGAACUGGUUCAAAUUUGAGAAAAUGGUAACAGACCUUUAGUGAUAUUGGUUUGGAGCCAGUUGCCAAACCUGCCCUGAGCUUUACCACUAAUGUCAAGGGACAAAGCCAUUUGAACAAAAACAAUAGCUUCAAGAGACUGAAUCGUGGAUGAAAUCUGAUCCACAUUUCUUCUCAUUUUGGGAAAAAAUGAGGACUUAACCACAAAGAUUCUACUGCCUCAUAGUGCUUUUCCUGAUCUAAGGUUGGCUCGUUUCCCAAAUUGUGAGGUGCACGUGCCACUCUCACGCUCAGGAGUGUAUCCACGUGGUGGACAUAAGAUGGUGGCUUAAUAUCUGGUGUCGGUGGCUUUACUUUACUAGGAGAGUAGUGUGUCUUCAUCUCAUUCACUGCCAGAGGGUGGCGUAAGCAGUGACGCUAAGGUGGGGCACAGUCAAUAUCAUUUGCAUUUGACCAUUAUAAUUUUCUCCCGGCUUUAAAGUAACCUUAUCGUGAUAAUGGAUUACUAGCACUAGUUCAGAUGACAGUCAUGUUAAAUUCGGACCAUGUUUGUGUCACAUUAUCAGCAACCAUGUGCUUGUGGUUCAUGCUAUCUGCAACUAAACUUGAUAUAUAACCAGGUGAACUUCAAUCUAAAUUCUGGAAGUACUCAUGUGAUAGAUGGUGCCUGUCUGCAGUGAGUGUAUCUAUAAGAGGGAAGGCUUGGCAAAUGUUCAGUUUUCUGGGAAUUCAACAGGGAUCUAAAAUAGAUUGUUUUCUUUGCUGAUUUCAAUGGUUGAAAUUUGAGAAGAUUGUGUCCACAUAACACAACUAUUACUGGUCCUUCUGUUGCAAUUUAUCCUCUAAGGCUCUAACAUGUCUUCCAAUUCCCACUUCCCACUUCCCUGUUACUCCAGGAAAGCUGUUUCUGUCAUUGUGAAGAAGAAAAGAGACUGUACAUAUCGAUGCUUUUAAGUGGACUGGAGAAUUCAUAUCAGGUGGUCUGCAGCCAUACAUGCCACUUUGUGAAGGUUGGAACAGUCAAUCACUAGGCUAUAUUAGUGGGGCCCAGCCACUUCAAUCAAGGACAAGUCUUCAUACUUAAAGUCAAAUUCUGCCUUUAGUCUCAUUAUAAAUUGCUGUUUAAAUAUCAAGCAAACAUUUGUUUAAUGCGAUUAAGACAGCACUAACUCAAUACUUGUUCUAUUUUUGGAUGCAAAUGCUUGAUAGUUUCAUCAUUGGAGGGGAUAAAGGUGCAUUCAUGAUUAUGAAUACUUGUAGUUAUAUUUUCAUUCUCUUUUUUCUCAAUGGGACUUGUUGGCACAAUUUUGCUGUUCAGAAACCUACCUCUCCAUGGAAAAUCAGUUGUGAUUGAUAUUACUGGAUAUAUUCAAGAAAGCUAAAUGUAGAUAGCACAAAAUAUUAUCGACAUAAAUAGCAUUAACAGCGUACGUAUGUCUCAAUGCUCAUCAGCUAUAAGCAAGGGGCAAACACUUACUAUGAGCAACUUACGUCAAAAUUCCGGAAUAGGACAUAGAAGUGACAGGUCAGUAAAUAUAGAACACUGCAUAUGAGUCACAAGAAAGGAAAUUACGGGUACAUAGCAGCUCUUAUUUUACAUCCUACUCAUACUGAUCAAAGUCACUCAGUUGGGAUGGGUGGGAGUGGGAGGUUUGUGGGGUGGCUUGUGCGGAGGAGUUGGCAGCUUCUUUCCAGGACCUGGUUGCUUCUCUGCUGGAGUUGAAGGAGGCUUAAUCUUCCGAGGUGGCUUGUAUGAGUCUUCAGCAUUCUCAGCAGGAGGGUGACCAGGGUUGUGACCACAAUGUGGUGGCUUCUCUCCCUUAGGUGGUUUGCCAACUGGGGUUGGUGGCUUGUGUUCCGGAAGUGGCUUCUCUUUGUGUUCAGGAGGUGGCUUCUCCACUGGAGGCUUGUGUUCAGGAGGUGGCUUCUCCACCGGAGGCUUGUGUUCAGGAGGUGGCUUCUCCACCGGAGGCUUGUGUUCAGGAGGUGGCUUCUCCACCGGAGGCUUAUGCUCUGGUGGUGGCUUCUCCACCGGAGGCUUAUGCUCUGGUGGUGGCUUCUCCACCGGAGGCUUAUGCAAUGGUGGUGGCUUCUCCACCGGAGGCUUGUGUUCAGGAGGUGGCUUCUCUACCGGAGGCUUAUGCUCUGGUGGUGGCUUCUCCACCGGAGGCUUAUGCUCUGGUGGUGGCUUCUCCACCGGAGGCUUGUGUUCAGGAGGUGGCUUCUCCACCGGAGGCUUGUGUUCAGGAGGUGGCUUCUCCACCGGAGGCUUGUGCUCUGGUGGUGGCUUCUCCACCGGAGGCUUAUGCUCUGGUGGUGGCUUCUCCACCGGAGGCUUGUGUUCAGGAGGUGGCUUCUCCACCGGAGGCUUAUGCUCUGGUGGUGGCUUCUCCACCGGAGGCUUGUGUUCAGGAGGUGGCUUCUCCACCGGAGGCUUAUGCUCUGGUGGUGGCUUCUCCACAGGAGGCUUGUGUUCAGGAGGUGGCUUCUCCACCGGAGGCUUAUGCUCUGGUGGUGGCUUCUCGAAUGGGGGAUGCGUAGGGUAAUCAGCUAGUGAGGGGGCGGUGAGAACCACCAGGCCAAGCAACACUACUAGCAAGUAUGUAGGAGACAUCUUUGGGUUUGGGCUCAGAUGGUGCAAAACUAGGAGAAUUGGCUAGCCUUUUAUAGCGGAUCGUACCCAAUAAUGAAAUGACACGUGUCAUUAUGACCCAUGUGUCAUGUGGUCGAUUUGGGUCCUACAGUGUUGAAAACUUCGACAUCCACUUUUUUGGCCUUUUGCUUUCUCUACAGUCGCCUUGCUUUUUCCCUCUUUUCUUUUGUUUUCCUCCUGCCCCAUUCUAUCAACUAAUCACAAUUAUGUAGUUGUUUAAUUCUUAAAUGAGAUAUUAUCCGUCAAUCAUAUUAUCUUUUAUCAAGAGAGAACGGAGUGAAAAGUGGCAAUCCAAAGAAAGAAGAUCCAUAAUGCAGCUGUAAUUUUAUCGUUUACUUUUAUCUCUAGGACCACUGCAUUUUUGUUGAGAGGUGCAAUAAUACACGUCUUUAUCUGCCAUUCAAUGUUUACAGUAAAGAGAGGGCACAAAACUCUUCACUGCUCUGCAUGUGCCCCAAAAAUGCAAUUGGACAAAUUAUGAUUUGCAUGCUAAAAAGAGGCAAAUGAGGUUAAUUAGCACCAAAAUUAUUUUGUUUUCUGGACACCCCGGGGCCCUUUGGUUGGUUUGGGGGUCAGAAAAUGAACAUCAUAGGGGGUUUUUCCCUAAUGUGCAUUUGCAUUUGUAUCUGAUGGCUUUAACUCGCCUUGUUACUACAAAGAAAUUGUCACAGAUAGGAACUUAUUCCAGGCUGAGUAUCUCCGCAUGGACCCUAUAAAAGAAGACAAGUCAUAAUGAACAUCUAACCUUUGUUCAAUUUGAUUCAAUGCCCCUAUUGUGUCCAUCUCACAAAUCUGAAUUAUUAUAUCCAUUGAAUACAUAAAUUAAUGAAGAAAAUAUGAAACCCAAGAUACAUCUCUGCACAACCUCAACCCUGGUUGCUAUGUUUCACUUCUAUUCACAUGAGGAUAUUGAUUACGGAAUAAGGAAACCUAGCAAGGGUUUACUCGGCUCUGGUUUGAUGCUAAUUGCCAAACUUGCAACAAGCCCUGAGUUUGACACCUAAUCGAUGGGCGAAUUAAAAGUCUCCUCCAAACAUAUAUUCCACAGCUUGAAGCUCACAGAAGAUGCUAUACAGGCAGGGAAAAACCUUCAGAGUUAGCUACCAAAGAUAAUUAUCAAGGAGAUAUCACCAAGAGAAUUCCAUGGAGUCUGAAUCAAAGACAAAUUGCUCGCUCGUGGGGGUUCUUACUUAAUUUCUUUUGGGUAUAACUCACUGAGGGCACUGGCUUUGUUAUUUGCAUUUCGCAUUUAGAGUUCUGUUCUGGAAGGUUUGUUCUGGAAACAUAUAAAAGGAGCAUCAUUUUGUUCUAGGGUAACCCAUAGUUGUGAGUGGGUCCAUUUGCAUGCUACUUAGUUGAAAAGUUGGACAAUUUGCUCCGACGCCUACCUCCUGGAUUCCAUGCUCGGAUAAAGCAAGAAUAAUAAAAUAUUUAUAAUUUACAAAUGGGGGAAAGAAAAAAAUGUCAACAACAAACUAGGAAAAAAGAGUAGUAAAAUUUAUGCCACAUGCUAUUGAUAGAAGGGGCAUGUAUUAGAUCCAUCACCAUUUGGUAAGAUUUUAGUAUUAUAUUUUUCAAGGUUCAUUAUUUGAGGGUGUGUUCUUCAUCUCUGUUGCAUUGCUUCUUACUAGGCCCACUGAGGUGGGUUCUUCACCUUUUGUAUAUUCUCUGCACUAGAUCAAUGAGAAAGGGGGAAUUUUGGUGAAUUUGCAGCCGUUGGAUGAUUGAUUCUAGGCUCAGUCCACCAAUGAUGCUCUCUUCACUCUUUCUCAUCUAGUGUCAUUCACAACUAUGUUUUGAUUCAUAUUUGUACUAUCAAAGAUAUCUCAUUAUUCUAGCUCAUUAGGUAGAGUUCCUAAUCUUCCUCCUUUUUGGUCUAUGGACAGUAUUGGCUUCAUAUUAAGAUCAUGUUUCAAUAAUUGCACAUUAAUGAAUGGAUCAUGACCCACAUAAACAGAGUCAGGGUUGAGUCAGUGAACCCUAAAAUUUCACAAUUCUAAAUUUGGGUUCUUUAACAAUGCAGGGUCAAGGACGCGUGGUGAUGAAGGAAAGCUGGUAAGCUCAGUGUUACUUCAAUUCCUGCCAUGUAGGAUGGUGAGGAGAUAUUCACUAUGCAAUUAAUAAUAGACAAUAUUCACUAUGCAAUAAUAAAGCAUAAAUUAAGUUGAAUGAAAAGCAUUUUCUUUGCAAGGAGUUGAUUUUGGUUUCAUAGUUUGUUCAACUGCUAUUUUGGAUAGGAAAGUGUGAGGAGAAGAAAAUAAAAAAUAAAAAUAAAACAAAAAAUAAAAAAUAGAUUUUAUAAAUUCAUUUAAUUUAUUUUUUUUUUAUAAAAAUUAACUAAUUUAAAAUAUAUGUAAAUUUCUAAUUAAUUUAAUUACAUUUUUUUUUUCAGUUUUUCAUAAUAAACCAAAUAUUAGAAAAUUAUUUUUAUUAAGACACCCAAGAUGAGGUAAUAUGCAAUGAAAACAUGAAUUAUAUUAAAAUUCAAAACAAAUUAAGAGAAAUCGGAAAAUAUACAUAGAUAUCUAAACAAAGAAAUUUAAAGAGAAGGAACCACAAACUUUAUUUACAUAAUUUGAAAAUAAAAAACAUAAAACAUACUUAUAGUAAGGAGAAAUUGAAUAUCUUACAAUGGAAGAAGGGAGAAAAGCUUUGAAGAAAGCUUUUGCUUGGAAGCUUACAUGGUGAGAGGUAGAGAAAGGAGAGAGAGAGAAGAAAAUGAAAAAUGAGAAGUGGAGAAAAUUGGAAGUUUUGUGUGCUUACAACUGAGGAUAGAGCCUCCUUAAAUAGCAAAAAAUGGAAUAUUAAAUAGUACCAAUCAGGAGACAAAAUAUUGUUUGCUUUUGAAACCCGUGCAUGAAUAGUAAUCCCGUGAGUGAAUAGUGAAUAAUAAAAGUGAAUAGUAAAAGUCACUUUCUACUAUAGCACUUUAGACUUUUUCAUCGAGAAUCUUACUUUCGGCUGAGUGAUGAUAGCUGAUAGGUUGCUUUGGAUUGUGGAGUCAUAUGUUUGAUGUUUUCGGUGCUGAAACCGCUUAGUUGGAGAAUAAUCUCGUCAGUAGAGCAUCAUGAGAAGCUUGAAUGGAGAGAGCUUAAUGAUGCCAUAUGAUUGGAAGGAAUCCUAUUUUAAUUUCCUUAUUGGAGGGAGAAUACCCUCACAAUCAUCUUCAUUAUCUUGAAGGUAGUUUGAUAUAGAGUCAUCUGACUCAGCAUAAGAGUCCUCUUGGGAGAAGCUUGAACUGCUUUUGUCAAGGAUUUUCUGAAAUUCUUGAGGGGUUUUUGCUAUUGCUAACAUGGUUUGGAGUUGCUGUUUCUUAAGAAGAAACUGUGCAAUAUCAUAAGAUGAUGAAGCUUGUGUAGGAUGCUUUAGGAAAUAUUGCUUUAUUGCUUGUAGUGAGGUAUCAUUUUUCAAGGCAUCCCACCACUUAGACUUGAAAGUCCUUCCAAGGGUUGGAAAGGCUGCUGAUUCAUCUGCUAUAAUGAUAUAAUCCCACUGGACUAUCCAGGCAAGGCCAAAUUCACUAAAAAAGAAUAAUAAUUGGGGAAAACUGAAAGUUCUCUAGGGAUAACAAAAGAACUUUGGAAUAGCUCAAAGCCAUCCAAAAUGGGUUUUGGGAGAAUUUUAAUAGUUGGACCAAAAUAUGUCCACCAAUUGUGGAACCAAAAUGGAAAAGAGGGGAGUUGAUGCUUAGAUGGGAAAUAGAACAUCCCUGAAUGAUGGAAGUCCUUGUUCUGGAUCAGAAAAGCAUUGAACCAUACUCUUUGGUAGUCUCAAUAAUUGAAAAUUUUAGGUUUUGAAGGCUUAGAAAAUUCUCUUGAAAAAUUAGGAUUCCCACCCCACUGCUUAACUGUAAGGAUUUUAUAAAUAUGGUAAGUGGAGAAUGCCAAAUCCAAAUUGCUGAAUUUAUCAGCAUUGUGCUUGAUUUUAACAGAGCCGGUUUCCAUAAGGAUUGCUUCAUAAAAUUCUCUUGUUUUUAAAAGAUCACCAAAGGGAUAAUGAAAAUUUUCAUGAAAAGCUUUUGCUGCAAUAUCUCUAGGGUUUUUAGAGAAAAACUCUUUUUCAAUAACCAAAAGAGGUUGAUUUAAAUCUUUUUGCCAAUAUCUUGCUUUUGCUGAAAGAGGUGUGGGGUUGGCUACCACCACAAUUUGCUUAUUUGAAAAAGAAGAGCUUGAUGCUAAUUCAUUUUGAGAGGGAUUAGCUUUAGUAACCUGCUUAAAGGUCUGAGACACAGUAAUAGUUGGAUACUGAGUAGCCUUGACUGGUUUAGAAGGAUUCGAAGGAUCAUAGUACAAGGACAAAAUCUUAUUAGGCAUAUGGUCAGAAGAAUGAAGCCUUGCUUCUUCUUCUAGCUCAACUUGUUGGCUCCAAAGUAUUUUAUGGGGAGAAGGUUCUUUGCUGGUUUUAGAAGACUAGGAUUCUGGAAGUUUAGGAGCUUGGGUAUUCUUUUUAGGGGCCAUGGUUUCGUGAAUCCUGUAAAAUUCACAAGUUAAGAAAUCAGGGCUCGAAGAAUGUUCUCCUUUAAUAUACUCAAUUUGUAAAUUAAAAUUGCUUAAAAUAGCUUGAUAUAUAGCAAAAAUAUGCUUAGAAGUUAUAUUCUUAACAUCCUUUUGUAAAACUAAUUUUGCAAAUUUACAAUCAACUCUUAAUAAAAACUUUUGAUUCAAAAGAUCAUCUUGAAAUUUUGAAAUGCAUAAAACAACGCUUAAAGUCUCUUUUUUAAUGAUGUUAUGAAUGAGUUGGGUAGUAUUCCAGGUUCUUGAAGUAUACCUAACUAACAUCUCAAGGUUACCAACACUUUGCUUAAGAAUCCCACCAUAACCUAUGUCUGAGGUAUCGAUCCCAACAAACUCAAAGGUUUCUGGAUUGAUAGAGCCUAAACAUGGUAGGGUCUUGACUUUGGACUUAACAUCAAUAAUGAAAACAAUGGUGAAAACAGAAAACUGGUUAAAGUUUUCAUCCAUUAUAUUCUGGAAUUCUGAGGUGCAUUCUUAAGAUCAAAGGGCAUUAUGAACCAUUCAUAAUGUCCAAGAGAUACCACAAAGGUGGUCUUAUUUGGAAUAGGACACCUAAUCCAACUUAAUGUAUCAUUAAGAGGCAUGUAGUUGACGACUAGUCUAGGUGUUCCUUUUUCUGAUUCAACUUGUUCCUGAACAUAGAAGGUUGAACAACUCCAAAGGGACUUAGACUUCCUUAUCAACUUUUUAUCAAGAAGAUCCCAAAUCUCCUUAUCACAAUAGCUUAACAAACCCUUGUUCAUCUGGAUAGGUCUUGAUUUAGUGGGAAUAUUCUUGUCACUAAAGUCUAGUUCAUAAGGUAAUUCUACCUCAUGUUGUUUCCUAUGCCAAAAUGCAUUAGGAAUGUUAGAGCAAACUUCUUCAACAAUCAGAUUAAUUUCUUGCUCAUGACUUUCCUUAGCUUGAAUCACCUGAUCCCUUAAGGUGUUUAUAUUUUUCUUAUUAGGUGGUUGGCAAAUUCAAAAAUAAUUUCCUUAUCUAAGAGCUUUGUUCUUAUACUUUGGUCAUCUACCCACAUGGGAUAGAUGGAGCUUAAAAAGGGGAUUCCAAGGAGAGCUUUCUCCUUAAGAUCCUUAACUAGAAUGAAGGUUUGCUUGAUGCAAAUGCCUUGGUUAUUUAUGUGAGCAUCUGACAGCUUAUACUCAAUGUCAAGCCUUUUACCAUUAGCUCCAAAGAGAGAUUCUUUGGUUUUCUUACAAAACUUAAUAGGACCUAGACCUUCUUGUAGGCAAUUCAAAGCUGUUCCUGAAUCAAUCAAAGCAACAAUAUCAAUGACAAAUUUACUCUUAAUUACUAUAGUAAGGGAGACUUUCCACCUCUGGAAAAUAACCCUACUAACAGUAUUUAAGUAUCCAUCCGUCUUUUCAUCAUUAGCAUGUGAAGAUUCUAGAACCUCUUCAAGGUUUUCCUAGUUAUCAACAAGAUUUUCUAUAACAAUCCUAUUUAUUUGUUCUUGGAGAUCUGAAAAACCUAAGCUUGUGUAUUGUCUUAAAUCUUUAAUUUCCUUCUUAUACUGUCUUACUUCUUCUUGAAGAUCCUUAAUGGUUACGUCUUUGGUAGACUACUGGUUAAAUCUUCCUAAGAUUUCAUUUAAGUUAUAAGAAUUUACUGUCUUCUUAAUCUCUUGCUUAUCGACAAAUUUCUUAAAAACUUCAUAAAGAUCUUGUUUAGUUUUUUCAUCUUCAACUUUCCUUAAAACAUCUAGGACAAGUUCUUGAUCUUGGCUUAUGACAUUUAUAGUCUUAGGUUGGCAAUCACAAUUAUCCUUAAUGUAUUCUUCUUGGUCACUAGAAGUUUGGCUUGAGAUUUCCUCACCACUACUAUCUAGUUGGUUAAUACCAUUUUCAUUAUCUGAAUCAAUCCUUGAUUCAGACUCUGUGGAAUUUAACAUUACUUUACAAAGCAUAUCUUUUAAGUCUUCUGUGACAUUUAAGUUAUUAAUUUUCUGCUUAACCCUACAAUCUUUCUUAUAGUGGCCUAUCUUACCACACUUAAAACAAACUGGCUUAGAUUGUGAAGGAGCUUCUAGCUUUUUAUGGGCUUCUUUGUUCAUCAUUCUUUGGAUGUGCCUUUGUUUCUUAGUUUCAUUCAUCCUAUAGUUGCCAUGAGUUCCUCUCUUGUUGUGAUAGGACUUUUCCUUACUAGGCUUUGUACUUACUUGUUUCUUACGUUGCUUAGAGGGGGGCUUAGUUUCUUUUUGGUUGAAUCCAAACUAGCUACAAAAUGAACCAAACUCAUUCUUGUAGAUCCUUUGUUCAUUUUUCAUCUGUUGCUUAAGCUUAAAGUCAUUGCACAGUUUAAUUGCUUCUGAUGUGACAAUGCUUAUAAUUUCUCCAUAAGAAAGCUUAUCAUAAGGGAUUUGUCCAUUAAACUGUUCCCUUAUCUUAAUCCUAAUCCUCUCAGAGAAAAGUCUAGGUAGUCCUAAGAUGAAUUUUUCUUUCCAAAAAGACUGGUUAUAGUUUGAUCUUAGUAUGACUUUGGUUAGGAAAACUUCUCUAUACCAUCUAAAGUCAUGAAGCUUGGGACACUUAAGGUUGGUUAAGAGAUCUACAAUCUUAUCCUUAAUCUUUGCAGGAUCUCCAAUGAAGUGCUUUGAAAUUGAAUAGAUUAGAGUAGCCACUACAUCCUCUAUAUCUUGUCCAUCUUCAUCCUUAACCACUUCAUUUUCCUCAUUAAUCCUAUAGGCUUUUAGGAUACCAUUUCUAUCCUCAAAGGUGAGAUAAUUAUCCCACCAACCCUAAAGUUGACCUGUAAACCCAACAACAAUUGUUUGAGCUACAGCAUGGCCUGACAAUCUAUUGUUUAACUUAUAGGUUGUACUAACCAUGGUCAUUUCUUGAAGCUUAGUGAGUAUGUUGUACUCAAUCAUACCAUCUAUGUUCCAUUCAUAGAUAGUGUCACUAGUGUAGGAAGCUUGAGUAUGCUGGUUUCUUUCCUCAUACUACAUAUCAGGAAAAGUUGGUCUAGGGUAGUAAUUCCUAGUUCUUGGUUGUUGAUAAUCCUCAUAACUGUUUGGUUAGGAGGUUCCUUAAAAAUCUUAAUUAGUUCAUCAGCCUCUGCUUCAGAACUAAUUUCUCCUUUAACCAUAUUGAUUCUCUUGUGAGAUGGUUGAGGUGUCUCAGAGACAACAAGGCUAUCCUUAACCUUUUGGCUUAUCCUAUCAAUGAGGGCUUGAUCAAUAUGGAGAUUCUCUAGGAAUUUCUUAGAGAAUUCAAAAGGCUUAAAUAAAGACUUAUUAUCUUUCUUAACAAACGUAGUCUUAAUGUAGUCUUGUGUUUCAAUGAUAUCCUCAAACUUGUUGAGUUGAUCGCCUGUAGUCUUAAGAAACAUGUUAGUGUAGUUGUUUUGUUCCAUGAUUCUUCUAACGUCAACAACACUAUCAAUUCCUUUAUUCUUUGGCCUAGUCUUAAAAGGUGAAGCUUUGACUAUGGUUCAAUUAAUGUUCUUUUAUAUCUUAGCUUCUAGAGGGUGGAUGGAUUCUAUGAUAGUAUCGUCACUAGUUUUCCAUAUCUUAGUUUUUUUGGAUGUGUCAUUGACACGCUUACUAGGGUAAUCUAGAUAUUCCUCUUGUUUGAAGAGUUCAAACCAGAUCCAAUACUUAAUGUUCUUCUUUUCUUGUCUUAAGUAUGUGUAGAAUUCUUCUUGGUAGAGGGUUCUAAUGUCUUUAAGGACCUUGCUAAAGAACCAAACUCUCCUUUUCUUAUUGACUUCAGAAUAGAAGUCUUUCCUUAAGAGGUCCUUGUUGAUUCAAAGUCUUCGUUAAUUAGGCUUACAGUGUUAAUCAACUGAGAAUAAGUAGGAGACAUAUCAGGAGAUUCGUCCUGAUGUGAUUCUUGAGUAAACUCAUUUUCCUCCAUGUAAAAGGGUUUGGCCACGUUGGUGUGACUUCUAACACCUGUUAGCUUAAUAUUCUUAGGAUUUGCUGAACUAGAUCCUUCCUCUAUCCUAGUGGUUCUUAUUGGGAUAGAUGAACUUGAAGCUCUAGAGGGCUCAUAAUAUGAAAUUCUAAGGCUGCUAGAAUGAUGAAAAGAGUUGGAGAAAAUUAGAUCUCGUUCUCCAUCAGGAUAUUGAACAAUCUGUUCAAUUCUUUCAGAUCUUUGCUCUAUGGCUGGGACAACAUUAGCAAAAUGCCAAUUUUCUGGAAACUCAACCUCAUUCCACUUGAUUUUCAUGGGGACUAUGAAAUUAGACUUGUUUAUCAUAUCUAAGUGGAAGAUAGUGGUUUCACCCUUGGGACUGGUGCACAAUGCUCCAAAUCCAACGCUUAUGGUCAUGCUCUUAUAGGCAAAUCUGGUGAUGAUGGAAACAUGAUUGUUUCCUUGCUUGAACUUAAAGUCAUGGGUCUUAACAUGAAGGACAACUGAAUCUAAGAUGUUGACAUCUCUUAGUCUAACUGUGAAGUUAGGGAAACACUGGAAAUAAACAGGACCAUCAUUUAAUCCUGCUUGGGUAGCUCCAAUAAUAGAAUCUCGGUAAUCAAGAUGUCUAUUAUCUCUUAAACACAUGACAAUAAAGGUGUUUAGACCUAGUCUUGUCAAGGGCUUAGCUGCAACUUGAAUCAUGCCAAAGUGUAUGAAGUUGUAGUCUCGCUUAUGCUUAUCAAUGGACUUACUAUCCAAGAGUCUUAUGACUUGAUCGUCGUGUUCUAAACUUACUGACAUUUCAGGGGUUUUAAUGGUGUAAUCUGUAAAGAACUUAAAGGUUCCUUUCUUAUAAAUUUCUUGAUUAGGUACCUUGGGUAACUUCCAAUCAUCUAAAUCAUCUUGGAUCUUAGGAUAAUUGAUCUCUUCAUUGUUUACUCUUGAGAAUUUGUGGAUUUCCUAGACAUGGUUCUGAAAAUCAAACUCAUUUUAAGGUUUUAAUCUAGAGCCUAAUAGCAGAUUAACAGACCUAGUGAGUAAUCACCCCAACCCUUUUCCAACCUUAACAAACGCCUAUCUCCAGCUAACAAUGGGCUCAACUCGGCAAGGAUCGCACUCAGGCACACUACUAUCUUUCCUAGGAUAGAUCAAAACACCCAAAACAAACCCGACUUCCUUUUCCUAGGAUAUAUAUAGUAUUUUGGGUUUGAGUAGGAGUUCAUGUUUUGUAUGUAAUUGUAGUCUACGUUGGACUAGGUUGUUUGCUCCUAAUUGAAAUAGGAAUGGUUGGUGUCACAUCUCAUUCAUUUUCUCAUCUAUUUCCAUGUUUAGAUAACUCAAGUAAUCAUAGGAAUGAAAUUAAGAAUGAUUUGAGGGAAAUGAAAUCUCACUUGUAAGUGGGAUCUCAAUUCAUCAUUAAUAGAAGGUAUUUUGAUUACAUAGUGCAAGUUAUUUUUAAAAACACUUUUCAAAAAUUGAAAAACCAAAAACUCUCUUGGAUAAGUUGUUUUUAAAAAGAAUUUUUGUAUUUUUAUUUUGUAAAAAAAAAAAAUAGUAAUUCAAUUUAUAUAAUAUAAAUAGACUUUAAUUUUAUUAAAAAUAAAAAUAAUUUUUUAAUUACAAAUAAAUUAAAAAAUAAAUAUUUGUAAUAAAAUAUGAAUAGUAAUAUUAUAAUAAAAUCAUAAAUAAAUUAAAAAUAUUUUUAAAAACAAAUAAGUUUAAUUUUUUUGAGGUACAAAUGAGCCAAAUUUUUCAUUAGGUACACAACCAACAAUUUUUAUUGGAAACAUUCCUCAAAAAAGAAUUCGUUUCCCAUAUAGCAAAGAUAUUUAUUAUUUAGUAUCUAACCAUCCGUAGUAAUCAUAUCAAUUCUACUAAGUUAUUUAAUAAUUCAUUUAUAUAUAGUACUCAAUUAUGAAUUUUUUUAUUUGAUGUAUAAUUAAUUAAUCAAUGUUUUGAAUUUUGAAUUAUUCUUAAAAUUUAAAACAUUAAUUAUGUCUAUUACUUUUUAUAGUCAUUAUAUAUAUAUAUAUAUAUAUAUAUAGAGAGAGAGAGAGAGAGAGAGAGAGAGAGCUUAAAUUUAUCUUUAAAAAUUAUUAAAUUUAUUAAUAAAUUCAAUACAAAGACUCAUUUGAUUUGAAAUUCAUUUCUUUAGUGAAAAUUUUGAAACUAAAUAGUACUUUGUUUUACUUUGUUUUUAAAUCAUACUCACAAAUAAGUUUUUAUCAUUUAGCCAAAAAAUCUCAAAGAUGUUUCUAAUUUUAUUUAUUUAUUUAUUUGUAAAUGAAAAUAAAAAAUUAGUUUAAACUAAAUAUGCGGAUAUUAUUGUUAAUUUAUUUCAUUUUUUAUUUCCAUUGUUAUUUAACAUUGAAACGGAAACAAAUAAUCAUUCCAAUCUUACAUUCUUAUAUGCAUCUAAACACAAGAAUUGAAAUCACCAAAUUCAUAUUCAAGGCAAAAUAGAAAUGGAAAAAAAAUAUUCAUUUUCAUUCCUCAUUCUCAUGUGCUAAACAUGACAUUAGUUCUACUACCUAUUUCACCAUUCUUCUUGAUAAAUUUGGUAUAUGCAAUAUUGAUCUAAGUGUGAGGUGAAUAAGAAUGAUGAUGGGAUGGGCUUGGAAAUAAGGGCAAAGUUUCUAGGUGCUAUCUAGAGGGGCAACGCGACUUUUUCAAAUUUCGAAUAUUUGUUCUCAACAUAAAGCAAAACUUUACUCACACAAUAGAUAAGACUCUGUUUGUUUUCUUCAUCCACGACUAUAUAAUGUAUAGCUCUUACUCAAGGGAUGAGCUACUUACUAUUAAGGAUUGGGUAAGAUAUUGCCUAAUGGCCAAGAAGGCAUGUCAAAAAAUAAAUCUAAUCACCAUAAAAAAUAAUAGGGGAAAAUUAAUAUAUUAUGAAUGAUGACUUUACUAUUUCUCUAUAUACAUAAUUAUAUAUUUUGAAUUUUCUCACUAGGUAAUGAGAUUCUAAAUCAACUGAAACAUAAUUAAUAAUUUAUAUUUUUAAUGAAUCUUUUAAUUUUUAAAAAUAAUUUAAAAUUUUAAAAAACAAUUCAAUUAAUUACAUAUUAAAUCAAAACAUUUCAAAAUAUUGUGUUUGUAGAUGAGUACUAAAUGCUUGCAUAUAAUAAUAAUAAUAAAAAAAUUGACUCAUUUAGAUGUUAAAAAAGUUAAAUGUUUUUCAUUAUUCAUUUUAAGUAAAAUAUUAUUGACAUUAUUAUUAUAAAAUUAUUAUUAUUCAUUUUUAACAAAAAACAAAAUAAGUUAUUCUUUUACCAAGAUGUCAAUAUCUAUAUUUUUCUAACAUAUAUUAAAAUAGUAUACUUUUCUUUUAUUAAAAAUAAUAAUUAUUAUUAUAUUAUUAUUCAAGUUUUAUUAAAAAAAUUUAUCUUUUAAUUCAUUUGUAAUUACAAAAUAAUUUUAUUUUAUUAAGAAUUUAAUUUAAUUACGCUUUUUUUUUUUAUAAAAAAAACAGUUAUGCUUUUACCAAGAUGUUAAUAUUCAUAUUUUUCUAGCUAACAUAAAUAGAAUAGUACACUUUUUCAUAUAAAAAAAUAAUUUAUGAUUUUAUUAUAAUGUUACUAUUCACAUUUUACUAAAAAUAUUUAUUUAUUUUAUUUAUUUUUAAUUAUAAAAUAAUUUUAUUUUCAAGAAUUUAAUUUUAAAAAAAUAGAAAUCAUUUAUUCUUUUACCAAGAUGUUAAUAAACAUAUUUUUCUAACAUAUACUAAAAUAAAAAAGUUUACUUGUUCAUUAAAAAAUAUAAUUUAUGUUUUUAUUAUAAUACUACUAUCUAUGUUCUACUAAAAAUAUUUAUUUAUAAUUAAAAAAUAAUUUCAUUUUUAAUAAGACUUGAACUAAAUUAAAUUUAUAAUUUUUUUUUAAAAUAAAAUAGAAAAUUAUUUUUUAAAAACAACUUAUUGAAAGAAAUUUUUUAUUCUUUACUUUUAAGAACUGUUUUUAAAAGCAACCUAUAAACCCCUUUGGGUCUGUUUGGCUAUGUUUCAUGCAACUUGUUUUUAAAAAUUGUUUUUUAUUCUUUAAUUUAAUUUUUUUUAAGUUAAAGAAUAAAAAACAACUUUCUAGUGUUUUAUAAAAAUGAGAGCUUUUGACAAGUUGUUUUUAAAAACCAUUUUUAAAAAUAAAAAAUAAAAAACUUAUUUAGAUAAAUUGUUAUAUAUAUAUAUAUAUAUAUAUUUGUAAAAACAUUUUAAAUUCAAUUUAUAUAAUAUAAAUUUAAUUUAAUUUAAGUCUUAUUAAAAAAAAAUUGUUUGGAUAAGUUUUUUUUUUUAAAUAGUUUAUUAUUUUUGUUUUGUAAAAACAUUGCAAAUUCAAUUUAUAUAAUAUAAAUUAAUUUAAUUCAAGUCUUAUUAAAACCAAAAUAAUUUUAUAAUUACAAAUAAAUUUAAAAAUAAUUUUUUUAGUAAAACAUGAAUAAUAAAAUUAUAAAUUAUAUUAUUGUGGACCCUGCAUUUAUGCUCAUGCGCUUCCACUUGUUGGCGAACUCAUUUUUUAUUUGAAAAUGAUUUAUUUUUUUAGAAAAUGACUUAGAGUCGCCACUUAUUUUUGUUUUAUUUUUAAAGGGCAAGCAAAAUAAGAAAGAAAACCCUAAGUGUGACUCCUUAUUCGAAAAAGGUAGUCUGUGUAAAACCGGAUCAGGGUUCAGGGAUCAGGUUACUUAUUGGGAAGGUAUGACAAUGACCGUAGCACUCCUCUAAGUCCUUAAAAACGGGCCUCUACUAAAAAAAAUAAAGUAAUCAUGGCAAUCAGUAAGGAAAUCACUGGAUACCCAGAACAAUUAUGCACAUGUGAGAAUUAAAACAUGCAUAAGAAUGGACAAAGUGAGAGUGGGUGCGUACCUUGACAACGAACCACAAUGCGUUAUCAAGAAAUGGGGUUAGUGCACGAUCAAUGAACAUAAAACACGUCACACAUGUCACUAAGCAGAGUGAGAAAUCAUCAGAUAUUACAAUUCAAUCAAAUUUAUUUUUAGAAGAAACAUCUGUUGAUGUAGAGCCCCUACCAAAGCCUAAUUUAUUUUUGCAUGAAUCAAUUUCAUAAAUUCAAUCGCUUGGAAUUACAGAAUUAAAUUCAUGCUUAUUUUAAAACAUCUUUUUAAAAUCAUGGAAGAUGUGAAAAUGGUUUUCCAAAGAGAAAAUGACAACUGAUUUUAUUGAAAAUGGGAUUUUGGGGACCUAAACGUUAAAGAGGGAUUAGGAAUUGAAAAUUAAAUCAUUUGAAAAUUGAAUUUUUCAAAAAUCAGUUUUGAAAGCAUGCAUGCAAGUAUGGACUGUGAAAGUGGGCCUAGGGAGGGUGGCCAUGCAAAAUGAGGUCAUACACGUGGGCCUUGGGUACAAUUGGGACUACUUUGCUGGUGCCAGUGGUGCUUGCAGCUGUCAUCCAUGAUUUCUUCAUUGGGAUCAAUUUCCAUUCUUACUGCCAAACAUUCCAUAACAAUUGACCAAACUAGUAACCCUGACCUUGCAUGAAAAUGAACGUUACCUAGAAACUCACUGCCAGUGAGAUUCAUUGCUCUUUCAAAAGGUCUCAUUUUCUUUCUCAUCCAAUUGCUUUAAGGAGCAUUCUAGCGUCACGAUUGGUGACUGCGCAUCAUCUAGAGCCUUCUUUCUUCUCAGAAUCAGGUUUGCGUGCAGAGGCCUGUGCUUGUUCAAGGUUGACCUAAAUUCAUCUAGGUUUAGAACCGACCAGUUGAGCUUGGGGAGCAACGACAAGAAUAUCAGUCACUUGCGAAGAGAAAACUCGAGAUCUUUCAAGUAAUGCCUGACAUAGAUUCCUCCAACCUGUGGCCAAUAUCUCAUUCCUUGUUGGCCAGACGCCUAUUAGGGCGUAUCUCAAUCAAUAAUAUGAUUUUUCGUUUGUUCACAAUAAAGACCGGAAGCCAUGGUUGUGAUUUAUGCAGUACAGAAGAAGUUGCCAUGGCUGGUAUCCUUACAAAUUCUGGUGUUUCUGCUAUCUGUUCAAGUGCAAAACACAACAGCUUUAUCAAGUUUGUCCCUAACAACUGAUAUUGAGCCCUCUGGAGGAAACCUUGAUAAAUUCAUAAUCACUUUUGACUCAUGCAUGGGCUGCCCAUCAAAUUUUCCUAGCAACGAGACGACUGCUGUCAUCUACUGCAAAGAGAAUUUCUUCUCGCAAAGACAAGAGGAGUUUAAGAAUACACACUAUUCUGCCAUUUCAUUUCCUCUUUCUCCACAACCAACAUAAACCAUAGUGUCUACAUUAGAGUACUUAGAAAGAGCUUAACUGAUGACCGUUUUUCCACAACCAAAUGCCCCAGGUAUGGCACAAAUUUCACCGAAAACAGAAGGGAAAAGGGCAUCAAGAACACGCUGUCCUGUAAGUAGUGGGGUAUCAGGACUACUCUAGGGAAGUUAUUUCUGUCAUUUUGAAAAAGAAAAAUUAAAGAAUGUACACAUGCUUUCAAGUGGACUGGAGCAUUCUACAUAUCAGGUGGUCUGUAGCCACAUGUGCCACUUUGUGGAAGUUGGAACAGUCGAUCACUAGGCUAUUUAGUGUGGCCAAGCCACGUUAAUCAAGGACAAGUCUUCAUACUUAAAAGUCAAAUGGUGCCUUUAGUCUCAUUACACAUGGCUAUUUAAAGAUGAACUAAUCUUUAGUGUAAUGUGAUUAAGACAGUACUAACUGAUCAAUAUUUUUUCUAAUUUUGGAUGCAAAUGCUUGCUGGCUUCAUCAUUGGAUGGGAUAAAGGUGCAUUCAUGACUCUGAAUACUUGCAGUAAUACUUGCAGUAAUACUUCAUUCUCUUUUUUCUCGAUGAGACUUCUUGGCACAAUUUUGCUUCUCAGCAACCUACCUCUCCAUGGAAAAUGAGUUGCGAUUGAUGGUACUGGAUAUUUUCUAGGAAGCUAAAUAUAGAUAUAUAGCACUCAAUGUCAACGAUAUAUAUAGCAUUAACAGUAUAUGUCUCAAUGCUCAUCAGCUACAAGCAAGGGACAAACACUUACAAUGAAUAACUCACGUCAACAUUCCUAAACAGGACAUAGAAGUGACAGAUCUAUAUAUAGAACACUGCAUAUGAGUCACAAGAAAAGAUAAUACGGGUGCAUAGCAGCUCUUAUAUUACAUAUUACUCAUACCGUUCAAAUUCACUCAGUUGGGAUGGGUGGGAGAAGGAGGCCUCUGGGGUGGCUUGUGCGUGUGAGAAGUGGAAGAAAGUUGAAUGGAAUGAAACUGAAAAACAGGGUAGAAUAGAGGUUUCUUGAAUCUUCUGAAAUCUUUAUUUUUCUGAGAUUUAUUCUCUGUUUUUGUGAGUCGUGACUCUACAUAUAUACAUGUAUUUAAAGUUAGUUAUGCCUUAUAACUAAUUAUCUAACAGUACCAAAACUAAUCAUCUAGUUGCAUGUUUCUAAUUAAUGCUAUUUAGUUACAACUAUAUAUGGCUUAACAUCCUCUCUCAAACUCAAAAGUCUAGCUAGAACAGUGAGUUUGCUUCAUAGAUUGAGAAAUUGUUGAAUAGGUAAGGCUUUGGUAAGAGCAUUAGCAAUCUGGUCAUAAGAAGGAAUGUGUUGAACCACCAAAGUCUUAUUGAGCACCUUUUCCUGAACAAAAUGGCAAUCUAGUUCCACAUGCUUAACUCGAGAAUGAAAAUAGGAUUGGCAGCAAGAAAGGUGGCUGAAAGAUUGUCAUAGAACAAAACAAAAUAGGAGAAUAAGAAGAUGAGAUAGAAAACUCCUGAAGAAGAUGUUGAAUCCAUUGAAGUUCAAAAGCAACAUUUGCUAAGGCCCUAUACUCAGCUUCAUUGCUGGAACGAGACACAACUUUCUGCUUACUGGAGUUCCAGGAGACUAGAUUAGAGCUAAAAAAGAUGCAAUGACCACUUGUACUUCGACGAUCAUCAGGGCAACCAACCCAAUCAACAUCAGCAUAAGCAGUAAGUUGAAAAUCAGGAGAAGAAUAAAAGGAAAGACCAAAGGAAGUAGUGCCCUUAAGAUAAUGCAACAAUCGUUUAACAACUUGCCAAUGAAGAUCAGUUGGUUAUUGCAUGAAUUGGCAAAGUUUAUUGAUAGAGAAAGAGAUGUCAGGCCUUGUAAUGGUACAAUAUUGCAGGGCUUCAACAAUGUUGCGAUAUUGAGAAGGGUCAGCCAAGAGGGAACCUUUAGAGGCAGAUAAAGUGUGAGAGGUAGUCAUUGGUGUAUCAAUAGGUUUAAAAUAUGGAAGACCAGCACGAGUUAACAAGUCCUGAAUAUAUUUGGUUUGGGAAAGAUGAAGAGAAGAUCCUUGCCAACAUACUUCUACACCCAAGAAGUAAUUCAGAAUACCAAGGUCCUUGAGAGCAAACUGAAAGUGUAAAGACGAAACCAUUUGGUGGACUAGCACGGUAUUAAGACCACUAACAAUAAUGUCAUCAACAUAGAUGAGAAUAAUGAUCAUGUCAGUCCCUUUCCGAAGAGGAGCUUGCUUCAGACCCUACAAGGCUUUGCGAAGUUUACAGAAAAAACCGGGUUUAGAAUGAUCAACAAAGCCUGGAGGUUGAACCAUGUAAACCUCUUCUUCUAACUCACCAUUGAGAAAGGCAUUAUUAACAUCUAAUUGUUCCACUAACCAACCAUGAGAAAUAGCAAGAGAAAGAACAAUUCAUAUAGUAGUUGGUUUAACAACAAGGCAAAAGGUUUCAAAAUAAUCAAUACCAUAUGUUUGAUUAAAACCCUUUGCAACUAAGUAGGCUUUAAAACGAUCAAUUGAGCCAUUAGCUUUGAGUUU
rnacentral:lncRNA from 1 species